UGUCGUCAUGGGGGCAAUGUCCUACUCCAUCCAAUACAAUUAGCUUCACAUUUGAGAGUUUAGAAGGCAGAGAUGAGAAGUAUUUACCAACAGGUCCAUCGAGGGGUGUGAAUGGAUCCUCAUCACCCCAUAAAACUAGUACAGGUAUAGAGAUUGAUGGCAUCAAUUGAACUGGGUUCGUCCCUGGUGGGCCUGUUACAAUCGAAACAAAUGCAUCAAGUGCCCCUUCCUCAUUGGCAGGCUCUCGUAUGAUCUGCAGUUUUGGGGUUGAUUCAUGAAUUCUGAGUAGCCAUUUUUGUAACAGGUUAAAAUGACAAGUGGAGAAUAUUAAUACCUCAACCAGUGUUUCAUCCACAGAUUCCUUAUUUGCAUAGAUCGACAGUAAAAUAUUCCUCAGUGUUUCCCUGAAGCACCAAUGUAUACACAUCAUAGAUUUUUUUAAUUUUGACUCUAGUGUUUUAGGAUAAUGAACAAUGGACUGAAUAAAGAGAAGAGAAAAUACCUUUGUUUCACACGCUCAAAUAUAGCAGAAGCAAUUGGCCUUUGCUUCAACAAAAAACCAAUGAACCAAAGCAAUGGUAACAAUAGCUUGAUUCUCCAAUCAUCAACAAUUGCCUUGUUGUUCAUGCCACCAGCACAAUUCAACAGAACAAGCCCUCGAACAAGGGUCUGACUAGAUUCUUAUGGUAGAAAAUAUAGCACGUUUAUCGUAAACCAUAGAUACCAAAAAGGAUAAUCAGGGACAAGUGUUUCUUUGCAAGCAAGUUGAAGAAUAUCUGAUGUCCAAGGGGAAGUUAAAAUAAAUAUACCUGAGGCAGCGAUAACACAAGCUAGGCUUCCAACAGAAUUACCUAUAAGCACAGUUGGCUUCUGAACAACUUCAUCCAAGAAAUCCAAUAUUAGCUGUAUCAGUGAAUCUCACUCAAGUUAGCAAGGAAAAUAACUAAAGGUCAAGUGAUUGAUGACAUAAGUACAGAGAAAGAUCCAACUUCCGGCUAGGGAACAUUGCACACCUGAGCCCAUGCCUCCAUGGUAUAUGAAUAACCAGCUGGCUUAUCUGAAGCACCAAAUCCAAGAAGGUCAAUUGCAUAAACCAUGUAGCUCUUCGCCAGGGUGCCGAUAUUCCUGAAAUUACCUCAGAGAUGACAAGAAAAAUAUCAAUUCCUCACAUUAUUUAAUAGGAUAAAGGAGUAGUGAACACACAAAUUUUCAUUCCUCUCUUCUACGGAGCGGUAAAAUGAAUACUUUUUCACUAGAUUAAGAAUUGGAAAAUGGAAGAAGCCUAUACCCAUAAAAGGGUAAUAUGAAAUGGAACCCUGAAAUUCAGAUCACUGGUUUGUCAUCAUCUAGGUGCAAGGAAUAGAACUAAGUGUUAAUGCCAAUGCACCAUGAAAUAAUGAAUAGAUUUUACUUUCAUUAUUCUUUUGCUUCAUUGAUCUUAAUUAAUUAUUAGAAGUAUAACACAUAUAAAUCCAUCCCUGGAGUUCAUAAUACAUAACAGAGUCAGAGAUAUUACAUACAUAAGGUAAAGACAUGCUCCACACAAAAAAAAAAAAAAAAAUUACAGUCGAAAAUACCCAGAACAUAAUUUGAAUUGAAUUCACAAUAAAGGAGCUACAUUUUUGUGCACCCAAUAAUCAACCCGCUAGACAAUUCACAACAAGAAAGAGCAAUCUUAUCUCGCUAACCUGCGCCAGUGAGGAAUGGAGGCACCAAAGCCAUGGACAAGGAGUAGAGGAGGAGAAUCGGGAUGUGAAUUUGGAGUUGAAGAAACCAAGUAAUUGAUGGAGUACUGACCCUUCCAUUUCCACAUUUUGCAACUCUCCCUUAUCUCAUUAACCUCCAGUUCCAGUGCAGCAGAAGCAGAAUCCCCUCCACUGCUACUGUUAGUAUAACUGAUGGUAACAUUUUGUCUCUUCUUCUUCUCCUCAUUCCUCUGCUGCAACUCCAACUGCAACUGAAACUGCCAACUCUUAUUGCUCAAUAGGGGCAAGCGCAGGCCUUUUACAUCUCCAUUUCCAUUUCCAAUCCUGAGCUUUGUUAUUGGAAUAAUGAAAGAGGGAGCCCGAGCCCUUACCAUCCACACGCUCAUUCUUCUCUUGCUUUUUCAAUUGAAUAUUUUCUGUGGCCUGGCUUGGCCUGCUCCUCCCCUGCUUCCACCUCUAUGCGACUGUGGCUAUGACAAAAACUUUUUAUAUACUUAUUUAUUUAUUGGGCUUAUUCCACUAUAAUAUGAAAAUUUUACUGAUAUUCCUCAAAAAUCAAAAUGAUAAUACUUCGUCUAAAAAAUAAUUAUAAAACAUACAUGCUAUGUUUUAAAAUUUUCAAACAAAGAAGAACUUUGUAGAGUUAAUUAACUAGAUUUAUUUUAGUUUGCUUUCUUGUGAUUUAGAUUAUUUUAUUAUAAUUAGCUACAAAGAUUGCUUUGUCAUAAGUUUAAAUUGAUUAUUUUACCCUUAUAAGGUAAAAAUAUUAAGAAUUUGCUUUAAUUUCAAUAUUUUUCUAAUUUUAUACCAAACUCAUUGUUUCUAAUACUAUUUUACUAAUUACUAGUAUGAGUUUUAAUCUUUAAUUAAACUAAAAUAGUAUCUUUAGGGCAUGAUACUCAUGUAACUUAUUGGGAUGUCAAUUUUAUGUUAUUUACACAUAAAAGUAGAGAAAAUAACAAUUAGAUUUUAUUUAAAAAUAUUAUAUUAUAAGCCACAAAAUUAGAUACAUAAAUUAUUAGAUACAAUAACUCAUGUUUAUUAUGGUAAUUUAGUCACUAUAUAUCAUAAUAAUAAAAUACUAAAAUAAAUCUUGUAUUAAACUUUAUGAUUAAAGAUGGUCAAAUAACCUAAGAAGAAAAUCAAUAGAAGGAUUUUACUGAUUAACUAUACAAAAUUUUUAUUAAUUUUUAUUUUUAAAAAAAUAUUGUGAAUUCAUUACAAUUAAUUUCUAGAAGUAGGGUGGAUUUAUAAAAUAGUGGGGUGCAAAUACCCUUACCCAAAUAUUCCAUAAAAAGUGAAAACUAUUACCUUUUUUGAUGUACUUCUCUUGAAUUUUUUAUUCCUACGGAUAAACUUUAAUUCAUCCCCAAAUAAAAUGAUAAUCUCUAAUUUGCUCUCAAUGUAAACCUCAAUUUAUUCUUCAUUUCUGUCCAAAAGAUGAGGGGCAAAUAAGGAAUGUGUUGAUGGGUUUUUUUUUUUUUUAAUCUUCUUAACAAUAAAUGGGGUAAAUUGAUAUUUUUAUACUUUUAGGUGAUAAAUUAAAGAUUUUCAUUCUGAAUUGGGGGCAAAUUAAAAUCUAUCUUAUUUCUAAAGGCACCACGUGAUUUGGCAAAAUAACUAGAAAGAUAUUUUGUUUUUAGAAAAGGUCACACAUGUCUCUUUUGAGAUACACAAAUUCUCUUUCAGAUAAAACAUUAGGAUUUGUGUGAUUAUUUCUUGACCAAAAGGGUUUGUGUUUCAAAAAAAUGAUUAUGUGAUUAUUUUGCCUGACCGAGAGAGUCAUUAUUCAAACACCAAUCACAUUUUUGUUUUAACAAACACCCUUUCAUUUAUUCUUUAAGCUUUUUUUUUGUUUUUUUCCCAAAAAAUGAUGAAUAGAUAUUGAAAAUUUUGUUUUCAUUUUUUUAUUGAAAAAAAUGAAAAACACCAAAUAUUACUGCUUCCUUGUCCAUACUUUUUCGUCCUAUAUUACCUUAAUUUUAUAUCGUUUUCUCUAUUUCUAUUUUUAUAGUCCAAUUCUGAAAAUACAGUAUUAGACACAUUUUUAAAUUGAAAAACACCAAACAUAGUGCAUCAUUUUCAUUAUAAGCAUUAACACCUGACGUACACAUUCUCCAAAUGGGAUUAAUGGGAAAAAAAAAUGGUGACUCCUUCAGAAAUGAAGUUGUACAAUUAGUUUGAAUUGAGUAGAUACAGAGACGUCUCCAUUGUGCUAUAGUGCCAUUCCUCGUAGAAGAAUCUGAUGGCGGAACAAUACCUACAGCAUCCAAUUUUUCUGGCACAAGGGGUUUUGUGAACAACAAAACUGGCUCAAGAGGAUCCUGAAACCCCACAGUUACAUUUUCAAAAUGAUGCACUGCUGAUAUUCAGAAAUAAAACAAGGAUAAAACAUUUUCGAAAGCUUACUUAAAUCAUUUUUCCUUCCAACCACAGAUAGGUCAAUAAGUCAAAUACUGGAGCUGACAGAGCGCUGGCAGAAUUAACUACAAACCACCAGAUUUAUCGUGUUAAUUGAUUGUUUUCAAUUACCACGGUAACCCGGCUCGGGUGUUACCUCUGUUUCUGUCAGUGCUCUGUUGAAUAUUUCCGUUUAAAAAUCAGCAUUCAUAUAUGUAAGUAGUAUGGCAGCAGCGAAAUAUCAUGCGUAAUAAUUAGGCUAUUAGUUCUGGGUCCAGGAAUUGAGAUAAUCAGAUUAGGUGCAAAAGCUAUAUGUACCAAUUUAUGUAGCCAUGCAUAAUAUAUUCAUUUUUGACUUGCAAAUUCUUCCUUUUCACAACUUUAGGUACAACUUUUCCUUUCCUUUUGAAGGCCCACUCCAGUAGGGGUGGGCAUUUGGUUCGGUUCAGUCUGAACCGAACCGAACCGAACCGUAUUAUGAUAAUUUAGUUCGGUUUGGUUCGCAGCAAAAAAUUAAAUGGUUCAGAAGCAUACAGAGUAGGGGUGGGCAUUUGGUUCGGUUCAGUCUGAACCGAACCGAGCCGAAUCGUAUUAUGACAAUUUGGUUCGGAGCAAAAAACCAAAUGGUUCAGAAAGCAUACAGAGUAGGGGUGGGCAUUUGGUUCGGUUCAGUCUGAACCGAACCGAGCCGAAUCGUAUUAUGACAAUUUGGUUCGGAGCAAAAAACUAAAUGGUUCAGAAAUUCUGAACCAUUUGGUUUUUUAUUUGGUUCGGUUUUACCGAACCAAAUGGUUCAAGAAAAAAUUAAAAUUAAAAAAUAGUUCAGAAUUUAUCUUUUUUUUUAAUUUCUGUUUGUUAGUUAAUACAUGAUAUUAUAUAUGUCAUAGCAUACACUUUAUUUUAUUGUUGAACUUUAUUAUUUUAAUUUAUUAUUGUUAAAUUUUAUUACAUUGGUUAUUAUUUAUGGAUUUCUAGAUUAUUUUUGGAAUUUAUUAUGUUAAUUUACAAUUGUUAGAUUUUAUUAUGUUGUUUAUUGUUUGCUAAUUUAUAGACUCAAGAUUAUUGUUGUAUUAAUAGCGUAUUAUUAUAUUAUAUUUUUUUUAUUAAAUAAUGAAUAUAUAGGAUAAAAUCAAAUCAAACCGAACCGAACCGAACUGAACCAAAUUAAUUUGGUUCGGUUCUAUAAUUUGGUUCAUAAAUUCAUGAACCAUUUGGUUUUAGGAGGAUGGUUCUGCCACGACAGGUAAUACCAUAAACAAAUGAUUUCACCACAUUUCAAGAAAGCAUUUAACUUAUGCCUCAUUUUCAUUCUAGCAAUUUGCUUGCCAUUGGCUGAUUGGAAAAAGUGCAUUUUAGUGAUAGAAUACUGUCAACCUAUAGCACGAAUAGGGGUUAAACAAAGUAAAUCCCUACCUUUACAUGUCAAAUAAAAGACUUUCGUAAUAUCAAAUAUCAAAACUCAUGUCUAGUAAAGGAUUCCCCAAUGCUGGCUCUCAAAAUUGCUUUUGUUUCAUGGAUGAGAUGAUGGUUUUUGUGGAUAUUCUGCUCAACUUGGAUCAUGCCUUGGGUCAGAUCCCAACUUGCUGCAAAGCUCACCUGACUAAAUCUUAGUUGAUUUGCUUUUCCAAACUAAAUCCAAGCAAGUAAGUACAAGAGAUAAAAGCAAAAGUUCAAGCAUCUCUUUUGAGCCUGUCACUAACAAAUGGUCAAUGAGCAAUGUCUACCUAUGACUGAGCAACAGAAUCAAUAAACAGACAGACAAAAAAUAAUAAUCAAGUCAUCUGUCAAAUGCUAGUCCAUGAAAAUCAUAUAUAGAUAUAUAUAUAUAUAUAUAUGUAUGUAUGUAUGUAUGUAUAUGUAUAUGUAUAUGUAUGAUCAUUCAUUUCUCAAUCAACCACCAAAUUGAUGUCAACAAAGCCAUGAGGAUUGUCUCACAAGUCUUUCAUUUUCCCUCUCUUUAGGCCAGAGACCAGUAAACCAUUUGAAAUAUGGAUGUGCAAACCAGUAAAUAAAUCAUGAACUUACAUACUAGUCUGCUUUCGCACUCAUUCGGAACUAUCUAUGAUACUUACUGCAGGUACGGUGUAUACAUUAUACUAAAGUGAAGGCUGGAUCAAUAAGAAAUUCAAAAUGUUUCAUCGCAUUUGGGGCUUGAUGAUGCCAAAGAAAGACCAUACCAAUUACGAUGAACAGUAAAAUGUGAACAAGAACAAGCAUACAUUUAAGAAAGCAGAGAAGCAUCAUUAAAAUAAAGUAUUCUUCUUACUAUUCUAUGUUGUUGGAAAAUGGACCAAAAUAAAAAAGAAACCAUAUAUGGUUAACGUCACAACAAGAGUAUUCGUGCAUUUGUACAUCAUAGGAUAUUGGGAAGACAUCAGCAGAGAAGUGCAAAUUUUUUUUUGGGGAAAGGAACAGAGAAGUGCAAGUCAAAAAGGAGAAAAAGUGAAAAGAGAGAGAUCAAAAGGAAUGCAAUCUAAUUAACCGUCUAAGGAGACUACUAUGCUACAUUUAGCCAUUGGUUGAAUAGGCAGCUUGUUUUCUAGUACAACUUUAAAUUUUCCAAGAUUAAAAUUUUCCUACUGAAGAAAACUAAUUUCUAAAGCAGCUAUUACCAUCUUCAUCCCAACGGUAAGCAGCUCCAUACUAAGGAAAGAGUGAAAUAAGUGUGCUUUACUUAUAGAAGCCCAUUCCUGUCCAGAGUGAUUAGUAAGUUGUUUCACCAUGACCCCCAUUAUGGUGACUGAAAAAAGAAAAAUAAAAGAAGAAAAUAUUUGCCGAACACAAUAGUAGCACCUAAGAAGUCCUACUUAAGAGACUUCAUACCCUGCACAAAUCGGAAAGUUUUUUAAAAUUUUCAUGUUUCAAAUGAAGAUUGUCCAUUAAAAAAUUACACACAUAAUGUAUGUAAAGCAAUUAAAACAAUAAAAAAAAAAAAAAGCAAGACAAGAACAAUGGCUGAUAACAGUCAAAUAAGGAGAGACCAGACCAUAGUUUUCUUUCAGUUAAUUUCUUCUAGUUGUUAGACUCUAACGCACUGUUGGGAGUAUCGGUAAACUUUUAUAAUUAGAAAUUUAGGUACUUAGGAUAAAUUAUACAGUUGCCUCGACCAUGAGCAGCCCCAAUCUUCAAUAUAAUUUCACUUUUUUACUGCAUUAGUGUCUCUUUUUGUUAGGUGCUUACUUUUGGUCUAAAAUUUUAAAAUUUCUCCGGCCGACUUGCAUUAGCAUUUGUAAUAAUAUAUAAUUUUUUUUUUUUCAAACGGAUGUGACAAUAUAUAGUUGAUGGGGUAAUAACUACUUUUAAUAUCUUGGUAUGUAUGAGUUUCAUUAAAUUUUCAGUCAGCUAGCUCCUCAUUAUCUAUUAUAAAUAACUGCAGUCCCUAAUACAAUGUCAUGAUAUUUAUAAAUGAAAGAAUUGGAGAACAAGAAAAUUUGAAACUGCUCUUUUAUCUACCAGCAACAACUAUUAGAAUAUGACAAUUAUCAUUAAUUGACUUUCAUUAGAGUUUAGCACAGAUUGAAUUCUUAAUAAGGCAGCUGACAAAAUAUUUGUUUAUUAAACGAUUGACUGGCCUCCCUCAAUUGGGGACGCGGGCAUUUAUUUAAUUUCUUUUAAUCAAGAUUGGAUGUACCUGUACAUAACCAAUAAUAUUAUGCAAAUAUCCAGAGAAGAGGCACCGAUGACUUUAUUUAUUUAUUUAUUUUGUCGAUAAGCUUCUUUGGAUGGUUGAGAAAAUAAUUUGUUAUUUUUUUAAUCAUAAUCCCCUGCGUAAUGAAAGCCUCCAUUUACUCGUUAUAUGGUAAAACUAAUAAUUUCUCUCAAUUUUUAACGAUAAUUUAUAUAUAAUUCUAGAGAGUCACGCACAUUUGGUUCAAUAAUUGGUUUCAUCCGAAUCAAAAUCUCUCUCUAAUCAAUUCAACUGUUUCUGUUGAUUAUGGCUUCUUCUUCUCGAAACAACAAGCAGUAUGAUGUUUUUGUUAGUUUCAGAGGAGAGGACACCCGCGACAACUUUACUAGCCAUCUCUAUUCUGCUCUGUGUCGACAAAAUAUCCAAACUUUCAUUGAUGACCAACUUAACAGAGGAGGCGAAAUUUCGGAGUCACUGGUGAAUGCAAUUGAAGCAUCAGCCAUUUCUGUUAUCGUCUUCUCAGAAGGGUAUGCAUCUUCCAGAUGGUGUCUCGAUGAACUUGUAAAGAUCCUCGAGUGCAAGAAGGAGUAUGCACAGAUUGUGAUUCCGGUUUUCUAUCGGGUUGAUCCAUCAGACGUGAGAAACCAAACUGGGAGUUUUGGGGAUUCAUUUUCGAAGCUUGAAGAAAGAUUUAAGGAAAAUUCAAAGAAGCUGCUGACUUGGAGGAAUGCUUUGAAGGAGGCAGCCACUUUGUCUGGCUUUAAUUCUCUUAACAUCAGGUGAAAAGUUACUUUUAAUUUCGCAUACUAAUAUUCAACACUGUAAAUAAAAUUCACGCAGCACUCUUAGUUAAAUUUUCCAGAUGAUAAACUACACUUUUAAAUUUUUUCAUGCAUUAAAUUCUAGACUUCUUGAACUUCCCCACUUUUGAACUCCUAUAAAAGAAUUUUUGCAGAAUUAAUAAUAAAAGCUCCAGAGGUUUACAAUAUAUUUUAACAAAAUUAAUGGUUUUCUGUCGUUUUUUAAUCAAUUUCAAUCUCUUACUCAUAUACCAUUAGGAAAAAAAAAUCUCUUCCACAUAUAACAUAUUCCUGUAAUUAAAGAGUUAUUAAUUUAUAGGGAGAUUGUAAAUUCCCUUACUCAAAUCAAUAUAUACUACUUAUUCUGACUCUUUUUACAAUAUUUAAUAACUCUUCUGGUACCAUCACUUUACAAUAUUAUCCUUAUAAAAAAAAAUAAGUGGUAUAUAUUAUUUUCAAUUGGAAAACUAGCAAUCUCCCUUAUUUGAAGUUACUGCUGCUAAUUUUAUGUAUUUGGUAGGCCUGAAUCGGAACUUAUAAACGAAGCUGUUAAUCACAUUUCAAAGAGACUGCUGGAUCAAGUUUUUCGGCCGAAUGAUAACAAAAACCAGCUGGUUGGAGUAGAAUCAAGAAUUGAGGAAAUUGAAUCCUUAUUAGGUGUUCAGUCGAAAGAUGUUUAUGCUUUAGGGAUUUGGGGCAUUGGUGGUAUAGGCAAAACAACAGUCGCUAGAGCUACUUUCGACAAAAUCUCUAGAUAUUUUGAAGGUUCUUGCUUCCUUGAAAAUGUUAGAGGAGAGUCACAAAGACCGGGAGGAUUAGCUUGCCUGCGACAAAAACUUGUUGCAAAUUUAUUGAAGGAUAAAAAUAUGAUUCCUGAUAUUGAGCUCAAUUUUAGAAGGCUCAGCCGCAUGAAGGUUCUGAUUGUUUUUGAUGAUGUGAGUUGCUUUAGCCAGUUAGAAUCCUUAAUCGGAAGUCUUGAUUGGUUGACGCCUGUGAGUCGAAUCAUAAUAACCAGCAGAAAUAAACAAGUGCUUAGAAAUUGGGGGGUGAGGAAAAUAUAUGAGAUGGAGGCAUUAGAAUAUCAUCACGCUCUUGAGCUUUUCAGUCGACAUGCCUUCAAACAAAACCAUCCUGAUGUUGGUUAUGAGGAACUUUCAAGCAAAGUAAUGAAAUAUGCUCAAGGUGUUCCUUUAGCUCUUAAAGUUUUGGGUUGCUUUCUGCAUAAAAGGGAAAAAGAAGUCUGGGAAAGUGCAAUAGAUAAAUUGCAAAGAAUCCUCCAUCCAAGUAUUCUUGAGGUAUUAAAAAUAAGUUAUGAUAGUUUGGACGAUAAGGAGAAAAAUAUUUUCCUUGAUGUUGCUUGUUUCUUUCAAGGUGAGGAUGCAGAUCUAGUAAUGAAAUUUUUUAAUGCAAGUGGCUUCUACCCAUAAAUAGGAAUGAGUGUUCUUGUUGAUAAAUCUCUCAUUGCUAUUGAUUCACACAAAAAGAUAACAAUGCAUGAUUUACUACAAGAAUUGGGUAGGGAAAUUGUUCGACAAGAAUCAAUUGAUCCUGGAAACCGCAGUCAGCUGUGGCAUCAUGAGGAUAUCUAUGAAGUUCUUACAUAUAAUACGGUAAGCAGUUUGUUGUGGAUUAUUAAUUUGGAAUAAUGUAGUGUUUAAAAACUUGAUGUGCAUAUAUUUACAUACGCUCGAACUGAUGAGUCUUAGAAUUAAUAGAAGAGUGGCAAUGAUUAGAAAAAACAAUAGUGGUUAGAUGAUGUAGCAAUGAAUUAUAUAUGCGAUGACAGGUUGCAUAACCGUUUGUAAGCAUAAUUGAUAUGUAAAUUUGUGUAGUACACAUAUAUAAUUUUUAUGUUAAGUAUUACCUGUGUUAUUAUGUCUCUUUGUGCAUUUGCAAUUAAGUGUUUAACUGCCUAGCAAUAACUAUAAACAUGAAUUAUUGAAAUUUGAUACGAGUAAUGAAAGAGAGCCCCACUCCAUUCCCACAUAUAAAUUGAAUUAAUAACUAAGCUACCUCUAAUUGUGAAUUAGUGACAAAAUUGCCCCAGAAAUUUGUCUUGGUGAGAUUGAAGUGCGAUUCAUUAGUGGAAUAUACGUAUCUUUCAUUUGAUUUUAACUUUAUUGUUUUUUAUUUAUUUUUAGGGGACAGAAAAAAUUGAGGGCAUCUGUUUGGAUAUGUCAACAGUAAAAGAGAUCUAUCUAAAUCUCAGUACUUUCACAAAGAUGCCUAAACUGAGAUUUUUAAAGUUCUAUAGUUCAUCAUUCAAUGGAGAGAACAAAUGUAAGGUGUCUUAUUUGCAAGACCCUAGAUUUGCUGAAGUGAAAUAUUUUCACUGGCAUGGAUACCCGUUGAAGUCAUUGCCUUCAAACCUUGGUGCAGAGAAGCUUGUGUUUCUUGAAGUGCCUAAUAGCGACAUUGAACAACUUUGGAAUGGUGAGAAGGUAUGUUUAUCUUACUAUAUAUGUGCAAUCUUUCAAUAAGAACAUUAAAUUAUCAUACAUAGUAAUGAUUUAACAUUGAACAACUUUGGGAUUGUGUGAAGGUAUGCAUAUCUUAUUAUAUAUGUGCAAUCUUUCAAUAACAUUAAAUUAUUACACGUGGUAACGAUUUUGUCUUGGGCUCUUUUUUGACCGAGCAGCAUUAUAGUAAGUUAAACCAGAUAAUCAAUGCUGCUUGCAAUAAGCUAAUUGCCAAAACUCCAAAUCCCACGUUGAUGCCACAUCUGAACAAGCUAGUUAUCUUGAAUCUAAGAGGUAGCAAAAGCCUGAAAAGUCUUCCAUCUGGAAUAUUUAACUUGGAAUUUCUUACCAAACUUGAUCUUUCGGGCUGCUCAAAACUGAAAAGGCUGCCAGAGAUCUCAUCAGGUAAUAUAAACUGGUUAUUUUUAAGGGAGACUGCAAUUGAAGAACUGCCUUCAUCAAUUGAGAGUCUACUUAGGCUCGGGCACUUGGACCUUUCAGAUUGUAAAAGGCUUAAGAGUCUCCCAAGCAGCCUAUUUAAAUUGAAAUCUCUUGGAGUUCUUAAUCUCGAUGGUUGCACAAAUCUUCAGAGAUUGCCCGAAUGUCUUGGCCAAUUAUCCUCGCCAAUAAUAUUGAAUCUAGCGAAAACCAAUGUUGAGAGAAUACCAGAAAGCAUUAUUCAACUUUUCGUGUUGCGAUACCUCCUCUUAAGUUAUAGUGAGAGGAUUCAAUCCGCAUCAUUGCCUCUUGCACGAGGUUGCCUGGCACUGCAACCAUUCUUAGGUUUGUUCUCUAAGUUAUGAAUCUUAUAGGUAGUGUUUUUUGACCGGAGCAAUAAUUUUAAAUUGGAAGGUAAUUUUACUGCAGGAAUUCUUGAAGAUACCCAGAGAAGUCCGCAUAUGGACCAUAAGCUAGCUGUCCGUUGGCAAGAAGUACAGGAAAAUGUGUGUCUUUAACUCUCUCUGCUUACAAUUUCUACAAUUUUUUUUUUUGGGUUUAAAAUUAUGAUUUUUUGGUACAGAGAGGGUUUUCUAUGGGCAAAGUUCAUAUGGUACGGCCUGGGAAUGAAAUUCCAAAGUGGUUUAAGUUUCAAAGUGCGAGAUCUUUUGUAACCUUGGAGAUGCCACCAGAUUUCUUCCGUAAUAGCAGAGUGCUGGGCAUUGCAUUUAGUGCUAUUUUAGCAUUUUCAAACCGUCAUGUAGAUUGUGGCAGAUGGUUUUCAUUUUCUUUUGAGCUCAAAGUGAAAACCACCAAAGAUUGUGGUCCCCAUGACACACAGUUAUUUCAGAGCAGAGUUAAUUAUAUAGAAUCAGAUCACUUACAUUUGGGGUACUAUCUGUUCUGUGAAGAGGAUUUUAAAGGUUUUUGGAAUUGCAAUUGCAUUCCUGAGGCAGUCCAAUUUAAUGUUUUUCCAUCUUUGGAGUGUGAGUGCUGUGGGGUGAAAAAAUGUGGGAUCGAUUUAUUUCGCUUCCCAAAUUCUGCGAGUCCAAUGGAAGAUCCGAGCACAUGUUUCAACUAUAACGAAGAAGGCUGAGAUUUUCAUGAAUGUAUUUUUAUUUCUUUCCUUUUUCUAAUCACUAUUAAUAGUAGGAGAAGAUGUCAAAAUCAGUUAUUGGAACAAAACAUUCAUGUAAUAACUUUUGAGGGAUCUGGUGCAUGUAACACACAUUCACACUAGAGUAUUGAACUUUACCUCAUUAGAUGAAGAGUAUAAUGUAUGAAAAGCACAUGAUGUGUAUUGUAAAAGUAAAAUUAUUGGCCUUGUUUCCUGCAUUGCGCACACAACAAUCCAAAACACAUCUAUCUAAUUAGGAGAGCACGUGACUUAUAAAGCAGUAAAAAAACUCACUCACUAGUGAUAUGGGAUAUUGUAAGAUGCGCAGCAAGUUGUUAUUGGGGGAGUAAUGUUGUGGGCCCAUAUAAGGCCUGACAAGAUAUUGUCCGCUUUGGACCUUAAUGAGGCUCUCAUAGUUUUGUUUCUAGAGCGUCCAUACACCCCAAAACGCGUUUUGUCAAUUAAGGUGUGGAUUACUCCUUAUAAACCCAGAAUCUCUCCCUUACUUGUUGAUGUGAGAUUUGCUUAGGGUGUUACACUCAUCCUGUUGCGCACUAUAUCAAGUCUCAUGUAUAUAAUACAAUCACAUUUGAAAAUUUUCUACUUUCUUAAAUCUAAAUUGUUGUACAUGGGAAAGUUUCAUCAUGUGCAAGCAAAAGCCAUUAAGAGGGAACAGUUAAAACACCAUCAAAUCUAUAUAUUUUAAAAAAUAUAUUUGUAUGUUGAUUAAAAAAAAAAAAGAACAAGAUAGGUGUCAUUUUCACUCAACUCAUUUGUGUUGUGAAUCCAUUUGCUUAAACAUGUAUGCACUUUUUCAAGUAUCUAUACUAAUUUCAUAUUCGGAAUGGUACAUUUGAUUCCAUAGUUGAUGUGGGAGUCUAUGGCUAGAAUUUACCUUUAAAAUAUCAGCUUGGAAGGAAAGGAUUAAAGAUGCCCAUGAACUUAUAUUUCUAUUUAGAAUACUGUAUCUUUUUCAUGCAAAAAAUGGAAUCUUAUCAUUCACAUAUCAUUAACAUAAGCAAUAUAGAUCGCAUAUCUUUAUGAUUGUGCUAAAUUUGACUUUUUAUAGAAUAAUUUGAUACAUUUCUUGAAUCCAUUUGGAGCUUCUACAACUUGUUAGGGAUCAGUUUCUCCUACAUUCAUUUCGGCGCCAAAAGAUAUUCAAGCGGUUGAAUAAGAAUUGAUAUAUACAACAUAAAUAUAAGAGUUGUUUGCCUUUUUACAAUCGCAAUAAUAUAUAAUGCACAUAUAAAUGCAUUCAUGUAAUUCACAGAGUCAGAGAUAUUACAUACAAAAGUUAAAUACAUGCUUUGAACCUAUACAAAAAAAAUUAUAGUCGAAAUUACGUAGAAGAUGAAUUGAAUUCACAAUAAGGAGCUAAAUUUUUAUUUACCCAACAAUCAUCUCGCUACACAAUUCACAACAAGAAAGAGCAAUCUUGUUUAGCUAACCUGCGCCCGUGAGGAAUGGAGGCACUAAAGCCAUGGAUAUGGAGCAGAGGUGGAGAAUUGGGAUGUGAAUUUGGAAUUGAAGAAACCAAGUAAUUGAUGGAGUAUUGGCCCUUCCAUUUCCACAUUUUGCAACUCUUCCUUACCUCAUUAACCUCCAAUUCCAGCGCAGCUGAAGCAGAAUCCCUCCACUGCUACUGUUAGUAUAACUGAUGGUAACAUUUUGUCUCUUCUUUUUGUCCUUAUUCCUCUGCUGCAACUGCAACUUAAACUGCCAACUCUUAUUGCUCAAUACGGGCAUGAGCAGGCCCUUUCGAUUUCCAUCCCCAAUUCCGAGUGUUUUUAACUUGUUAUUGGAAUAAUGGGAGAGGGAGCCCGAGCACAUACUCAUUCUUUUCUUGCUUUUUCAAUUGAAUAUUUUCCGUGGCCUAGACGGGCCUGCCCUUUCCCUGCUUCUACCUCUAUGAGACUGACUACAACAGAACUUUUUAUUUAUUUAUUUAUGAGGCUUAUUCCACUNNNNNNNNNNNNNNNNNNNNNNNNNNNNNNNNNNNNNNNNNNNNNNNNNNNNNNNNNNNNNNNNNNNNNNNNNNNNNNNNNNNNNNNNNNNNNNNNNNNNNNNNNNNNNNNNNNNNNNNNNNNNNNNNNNNNNNNNNNNNNNNNNNNNNNNNNNNNNNNNNNNNNNNNNNNNNNNNNNNNNNNNNNNNNNNNNNNNNNNNNNNNNNNNNNNNNNNNNNNNNNNNNNNNNNNNNNNNNNNNNNNNNNNNNNNNNNNNNNNNNNNNNNNNNNNNNNNNNNNNNNNNNNNNNNNNNNNNNNNNNNNNNNNNNNNNNNNNNNNNNNNNNNNNNNNNNNNNNNNNNNNNNNNNNNNNNNNNNNNNNNNNNNNNNNNNNNNNNNNNNNNNNNNNNNNNNNNNNNNNNNNNNNNNNNNNNNNNNNNNNNNNNNNNNNNNNNNNNNNNNNNNNNNNNNNNNNNNNNNNNNNNNNNNNNNNNNNNNNNNNNNNNNNNNNNNNNNNNNNNNNNNNNNNNNNNNNNNNNNNNNNNNNNNNNNNNNNNNNNNNNNNNNNNNNNNNNNNNNNNNNNNNNNNNNNNNNNNNNNNNNNNNNNNNNNNNNNNNNNNNNNNNNNNNNNNNNNNNNNNNNNNNNNNNNNNNNNNNNNNNNNNNNNNNNNNNNNNNNNNNNNNNNNNNNNNNNNNNNNNNNNNNNNNNNNNNNNNNNNNNNNNNNNNNNNNNNNNNNNNNNNNNNNNNNNNNNNNNNNNNNNNNNNNNNNNNNNNNNNNNNNNNNNNNNNNNNNNNNNNNNNNNNNNNNNNNNNNNNNNNNNNNNNNNNNNNNNNNNNNNNNNNNNNNNNNNNNNNNNNNNNNNNNNNNNNNNNNNNNNNNNNNNNNNNNNNNNNNNNNNNNNNNNNNNNNNNNNNNNNNNNNNNNNNNNNNNNNNNNNNNNNNNNNNNNNNNNNNNNNNNNNNNNNNNNNNNNNNNNNNNNNNNNNNNNNNNNNNNNNNNNNNNNNNNNNNNNNNNNNNNNNNNNNNNNNNNNNNNNNNNNNNNNNNNNNNNNNNNNNNNNNNNNNNNNNNNNNNNNNNNNNNNNNNNNNNNNNNNNNNNNNNNNNNNNNNNNNNNNNNNNNNNNNNNNNNNNNNNNNNNNNNNNNNNNNNNNNNNNNNNNNNNNNNNNNNNNNNNNNNNNNNNNNNNNNNNNNNNNNNNNNNNNNNNNNNNNNNNNNNNNNNNNNNNNNNNNNNNNNNNNNNNNNNNNNNNNNNNNNNNNNNNNNNNNNNNNNNNNNNNNNNNNNNNNNNNNNNNNNNNNNNNNNNNNNNNNNNNNNNNNNNNNNNNNNNNNNNNNNNNNNNNNNNNNNNNNNNNNNNNNNNNNNNNNNNNNNNNNNNNNNNNNNNNNNNNNNNNNNNNNNNNNNNNNNNNNNNNNNNNNNNNNNNNNNNNNNNNNNNNNNNNNNNNNNNNNNNNNNNNNNNNNNNNNNNNNNNNNNNNNNNNNNNNNNNNNNNNNNNNNNNNNNNNNNNNNNNNNNNNNNNNNNNNNNNNNNNNNNNNNNNNNNNNNNNNNNNNNNNNNNNNNNNNNNNNNNNNNNNNNNNNNNNNNNNNNNNNNNNNNNNNNNNNNNNNNNNNNNNNNNNNNNNNNNNNNNNNNNNNNNNNNNNNNNNNNNNNNNNNNNNNNNNNNNNNNNNNNNNNNNNNNNNNNNNNNNNNNNNNNNNNNNNNNNNNNNNNNNNNNNNNNNNNNNNNNNNNNNNNNNNNNNNNNNNNNNNNNNNNNNNNNNNNNNNNNNNNNNNNNNNNNNNNNNNNNNNNNNNNNNNNNNNNNNNNNNNNNNNNNNNNNNNNNNNNNNNNNNNNNNNNNNUUAAGCGCUUACUAAAAUACUCUAUGUGAUGGAACCUCCACCCAAUAAUUGUUGCAUACCCAUCUCAUUUUAAAAAAAUAAUUAUAAAAAGUAUAGACUAUUUUUAAAAAUCUUCAAAUAAAAGAAGAACUUUAGAGGAUUAAUUAAUUUAAUUUAUUUUUUUGUGACUCAAUUUUUUUAUUAUAUUUGACUACAAAGAUUACUUUGGCAUAAGUUUAAAUUGACAAUUUUACUCUUACAAGGUAAAACUAACAAGAAUUUACUUUAAUAUUUUUCUAAUUUUAUACCAGGCUCAAGGUUUCUAAUACUACUUUAUUAGUAUGAGUAUUAAUCCUUAAUUAAACUAACAUAGUGUCUUUAUGGCAUAUACUAAUGUAAAUUGUUGAGAUGUCAAAUUUAUGCCAUUUACACGUAAGGGUAGUAAAAGUAAUAAUUAGAUUUCAUUUAAAAAUAUUAGAUUAUAAAUCACAAAAUUGAAUACGUAAAUUAUUGGAUACAAUAACACAUGUUUAUUGAGGCAAUUUAGUCGUUAUAUAUCAUAAUAAUAAUGAAGUAAAAUAAAACUUAUAUUAAAGAUUAUGAUCAAAGAUGGUCAAAGAACUUAAGAUCGAGCAAAUCCCUUGACUGCAAAAAUUAGAUCAAGCAAAGCUUGCAUUCCCUAUAGUUAAAAAAGGAAAAAAAAAUCAUUACUAUUACCCUUAAAUUUUAAUUAAACAAACUUAAAUUUUAAUUAAACAAAAAACGAAGCAAGAGUGAAUAGAGUAAUACCAAAGCAAAUUUAGGAUUGUUAGGUCCAAUUGUGGACAAACUUCUGAACUUCUAAUAGUAGACUUAGGAGGAAGGAUUUGAAGAGGCUGCAGUGGCGGCGAAUACGCAUCAAGAUUCACAUUGCUCCUCACUUUGAGGGCCAAAAGAGUGCGGAGGCGAGACAAAGCUGACGUGCGAUUCUUGUGCUACGAUCGGUCUUCGGCGGCCUGCGCUAUGAAGCCGGUCGGUAUGUGCUUGAGACGUACGGCGGAUUCGUGCUUGUUGUGGUGCUGACCGCCUGGUCCCAACGAUUUGUACGUGUCCAUUUCGCAUUCGCGAAACAGCUCAUCGUCCGUCAAUUCUAAGUAAUUCUUCUUCUUUGAAGAAGAAGAUGAAGAACAAUUGUCAUUGGUGUUCUAAUUGCAAGACAAGAACAAUGGCUGAUAAUUCCAGCAACACAUUCUUAUAGUAGGCCCAGCCUAAUCCAGCCCAGUUGCGCUAGUGAGCGACUUCUCGCCUAUCUUAUAUGCAAUGAUUAUGUGUUGGUUGGAUGUAGUUUAUCUAAUAAGUCUUUAUUUAGGGCCAAUUUGGGAUUGCGAAGUUGAUGAAAUAAACUACUUGUACUGCAUAGAUAAAUAAGCCGCUAAUUAAAAAGGUAGCUAAGUAUUUGGUAAAUUGCAUUGUUGCAGUUGUUGUAAGUUUGAAAAGUAGAGUACAUGCGUUUGGUAAAUUUUAUUACGAAAGUGAUGUUUUAUUAUAUGAUGACCAAAAUAGAAAUAAGUUUAAAUUAUCUUUUACUUUUAGAGUAUAUUUAAUAAAUCAUUUAGACAUACCUUUUCUUCUUAAACGUGUAAAAUUACAUUAAAAAACUCAAUUAACAACAUGGAUAUAAAAUAAAACAUGGAUAAAGAAAAAAAUAUAGGAAAAAGGACAUUUACACCCCCAAGGUUUGGGGAUCACCAACACCCCCAAUUGUUUAAAGAGGGACAUCCACACCCCCUUUUGACCAUUAUACACUUUACCUCUAUUAUUCUAGAAAAAUUGACUCUAAUAUUUUACAAUAAAUAUAAAUUUAAUAUUAAAAUAAAUUUAAUAAUAUAUACAUUUUAAAAUAAUUUUAAUAUUUAAAAAAUAUUUUAAUAUUAUAUAAUCUAUUAGAUAUAUUUUAUUAUAUUAAAGUAAAUUUUAUGAUAAAUAGAAUCAAAAUAUUAAAAUAAAGGUAUUAAAAAUUUAAAUUAUUUUGAAUAUUAUGUAAAAUAAUUAUUUUAGCAAUAUUAGUAUGUAAGAAUGUUUUUAAUUGUAGAAUGUAUUUAAUGCAAAUAUUUAUUUAAAAUCUCUACAAUAAAUAAAAAUAUAUUAUUAAAAUAAAUAUAAUAAUUUAAAUAUUAAAAUUUAUUAAAAUAUUAAAAUAUUUUAAUAUUGUUAGCUACUACAUAGAUUGCAUUAUUUAUAUGGUAUUUGUAUUUAAUAAAAAUUUUAAAGUCAAUUUUUUAGAAUAAUAGAGGUAAAUGGUAUGAUGGUCAAAAGACGAUCUUGGUGUCCCUCUUUGAAAACUUGGGGGUGUUGGUGAUCAUUUCCCCAAACUUGAGGGUGUAGUUGUCCUUUUUCCAAAACUAUUUAGAAAAAAACAUGAACCUACUGGAUAAAAAUUAGAUAUAAAAAAAUAUAAAUAUAUAUAGAUUAAAUUUUAAAAGCCAUAGUUAUGGAAUUACAAUAUGAACUUAUUAGAUAAAAAAUGGAGAAAACGUACAUGGUUAUAGCGGUUAGGGAUGGCAAAACCUCGGGCCAGGUCCUGGUAUUGCAAUGACCGGACCCUGCCCGGAUGCAACCGGUCUGGGUCCGGGCCGGGUUUUAAUCCAGGUACGCAAAUUUUAUAUUUUUUUAAUAUUAUAUGUGUAUAUAUUUUUUAUUUUUUGGUAAUUUUAUAAGUUUUAAAUUUAUUUCAAUAAAAUUUGACAUGAAAAUAUAAACUUUAAGUGUUUAAAACUUUAUAUAUGUAUAAUAAAUGAGUCAAAUAAAUAUAAAUAUUUAAAAUAAUAUAUAUUUUAUAAUAUUUUUUUAAUAAAAUUCGGAUUCCGGGUUUAUCAAGUGAUGCCCAAUACUGACCCGGCUUCAUACCUAGACCGGGUAAUACCCGACCCACAAUGCCCGGGUAUGGUCCGAGUCCGGACCGGGCUGGUAUUUUUGCCACCUCUAAUAGCGGUAACUAAAUUAUAGUGGUAAUAUGAUAUCUAAUUAUUUAUAUAUUAGGGUUUAUAAAUAAGUAAGAUAUAAUUGUCUUUUUAUUAAAAUACUAGGGUUAUAAUAGGAAUUUUUAAAAAGUGUUGUAGCUUAUUGAAUAAGUUGCUUAUGAUAUCUAAUGAUUUAUAUAUUAGGGUUUAUAAAUAAGCAAUGAGAAAUUCUAGAAUACAUCUGAGGUACCAUGUCAUCCAUACAACAAGCAAUAAUAUCAUGACAUGUGUGCAUUUAUUUUGAACUAUUAUCAUGCAAGUGGUGGUUGUAUUAAAUUCAAUUACACUGGUCAUGCAUGCAUCAAUUGGUUGUAGUACCUCAGAUGUAUUCUAGAAUUUCUAAAUAAGCAAGAUAUAAUUGUCUUUUUAUUAAAAUAUCAGGGUUGUAAUAGGAAUUUUCAAAAAGUUAUGUAGCUUAUUGAAUAAGCUGCUUAUGAAAAGCAAACACCUACCUGCUUUUAAAAGCUGCUGAUAAAAUGGAAAAAAUUAUGAAAUAAGUUACUUUUACAAAAUUUAGCAAACACUAUUUUUGUCAAAAAUUAUGAAAUAAACAGUUUAUUGAAUUUCAACCUCAAUACCAAAUAGGGCCUUAAUCUUAUAAGUUCUUUUCAAAUUUUUUAUUGUUAUUUAGUUAUUUUUUUAGUAGCACUUUUAAAGACUAAAUAAGAUAUUUUGCAUCUACUAAUAAAACUCAAAUUUUAGGCUUUUGUGAGUACAUGUUGAAAAGCUUAUUUAAAAUGUUAAAAUGCCUAAAAUAUUCUUUAUUUAUUUGACAAUCUUAUUUUAUUUUUUUAUAACAUAACUUUAAAAAACUUGUCUAUUAAAUUAAUUUUAUAAUUUGUAAUAAAAGUUUUCAUUGACAACCAAACAAUUAAAUUUCUUUUUAGUAACUCUAUUUAUAAAAGUUCUACUGACAAAAGGUCUAUUUAAAUAAGCUCUAUUUAAAAGUUACACCAAACAGAUCCAACAGUAUCAUUGACGCAAGCAAUGUAAUUAUUCUAUUAUUUUUUAACUUAUGUGGCUCUGUAUCAUUUGAAAAAUCCUAUUAUAAGAGAGAGGGAUAUAAUUUAUGCUGGAAUAUUCUCAAAAUAAAUGGCGUGCCUUAAAAGGUGUCUUAUAGUAAAAUACAUCUAACUAAAUAUUGUCAUAUACAAGAAAAAUGUAUCCUUUUUUUUUUAAAAAAAGAUGUAUCUAUUCAUGGUGCCAUAUUUUUAUUUGAAAUGAUGGUGGUUUAUCUUGGACCAGUGAUGAUUUAAUUCAAAUUUUAAUCCAAUAACCAUGGAUAGAAGGUGUCAUAAAAGGUAACAGCCCAAAUGAAGGGGCACAUGAUUAUCUAUAAAUAGAAGUCACAACAUUUUCUAUAAAUAGAAGUUACGCCAUUUUGUGAUCCAUAUAAUCUUCUUGCACCUCUCUUUUUUUCUUUUUUUAUUUAACCCCUCUUUCCUAAAUCGAAUUUAUGCAUAAUACAUCUAUAUUUUAUGCAUCAAAUCUCUAAAAUAUUAUUUUUUACAGGAACAAUAUAUUGAUUUUUCGUAGGCUUGCAACACACAAGGGUAUUUAGGUUUGCUUUUAUUAGUGCAUAAUACAAGCAAAUAAAACAAACACUUCAUUAUAUCAUGGAGACAUAUUUGCUUAACUCAUAUAUAUCACGCAAAUGCAGGAGGGAGUAACUAACUUCUUGAGGAAUGCAACAUUGUGUCUUGCAGCACUGUCAAUUAUUACAGUGUACUAUUCUUAUUAUUAUUAUGAUUAUUAUUCUUUGUACCUAUAAAAUUUCAUCUAUUUUUCUCCAAUUUUCCACAGUUAUUACUCCCCACGAAUAUAUUUCCAAUAAAACAAACACUUCAUUAUAUCAUGGAGACAUAUUUGCUUAACUCAUAUAUCACGCAAAUGCAGGAGGGAGUAACUAACUUCUUGAGGAAUGCAACAUUGUGUCUUGCAGCACUGUCAAUUAUUACAGUGUACUAUUCUUAUUAUUAUUAUGAUUAUUAUUCUUUGUACCUAUAAAAUUUCAUCUAUUUUUCUCCAAAUUUCCACAAUUAUUACUCCCCACGAAUAUAUUUCCAAUAUUUUAUUUCAUAUAUUUACUUCUGCUACUAGUACGAUAACAAAAUAUGCCUUUUUGAACCACAUCAAUUUCUAGAUCCAUUUUAUUGAUAAAUUAACCGAACGCACCAUCCAUUAUUUAAUUUAUGGGUCAAAUAAGUCAUAAGUAGUUGAAAUAAAAUGUUUGUUUGGUAGAUAACAUCGGUUUUUAAAAUACUUUAAAAGAUUUUAUUUCUAUGAAGCCUAGUCCAACAUAGAAAAUCAAAUAAAAUUAAUUUUCAUCACUACUCAAGAGACUCAAAGAGUACUAAUGUAGCGUUUAUUUUUUUAUAUAAAAUUUGAAUAGGCCUGAAUUUGGGUGAAGUCUGAAUAUAAAUGUCUAAAUAAUAUGUUUAUUUUUUUAAUAUCUGAAAAUUGAGUGACGUCUUAUUUAUUUUUAUAAUUUAAAAAAAUCGAACAUAGUUAUUUGACAUUUUUGUCCUUAUAAGUCAAAAUGAAUAAAAGAAUUAUGUUUUAUAGUUUAGGAAAUAACUAUAUUUAAUAGAAAUAUCUUUAGGGUAUAGUAUUUACUUUCCAUUUCGAUAAAAAUAACAAAAAUUCACUUUUUGUAUUCAAAUGUAAAUAUGUAAAACUCACACAUAAGUUCCUAAAAAGUAAACAAGCAACUUUAAGAAAAAAAAAAGUUACGUAGCUUUUGUUUUAAACAAAAAUAAUAAAUAAGAAUAAUUUUCAAAAUUAAAUACAGUAUCACCCUGCUCAUUGCUGAUAGUUAUGACUUAUGAGUAUGAAAGCACAAAAGCCGUGUGUUGAAAGUAUGGUGUUCAUGUGGAAAUUUCAGCUAAAAGUCCACAAAGUAAUUUCAGUCAUCUUACAGUCUCCAAGGUGCUUGGACAAUGAGAUGACAUUGAAAAAUUAUCACGGAACUUCGAGGGAGGUUCAUAGCAUCGAUUUAUUCUACAGAGUCACGCUCAUUUUGGCUUAGUAAUUGUUUUCAUCUGAUCAAAAUCUCUCCCAAAUCAAUCCAACUGUUUCUGUUAAUUAUGGCAACACGAAAUAUGAUGUUUUUUUUUCAGUUUUUUGGGUAGAUAAUCUCAAUUUUAAAAUACUUUAAUAGAUUUUGAAAGAUAAGAUACAAUGGUAUACAACUAAAGCCUAAUCCAACAUAGAAAAAUUAAAUAAAAUUAAUUUUCAUCACUACUCAGAGAGAAUUGAAAGGACAUUAAAGUAGUGUUUUUUUUUUAUCUAAAAUUUGAAUAGCCUGAAUUUGACUGAAAUCUAAAUGGGUUUGAAUAUAAAUGUCUCAAUAACAUUUUUCUUAAUACCUAAAAAUUAAGUGGCAUCUUAUUCGUUUCUAUAAUAAAAAAAAUACAUCAAACGCUGUUAUUUGACAUUUAUGCCCUUAUAAGUCAAAUUGAGUAAAAGGGAUUAGGCUUCGUAGUUUAGGAAGUAACUUUAUUGAAUAGAAAUAUUUUUCGGAUAUAGUAUUUAUUUUGCAUUCAAACAUUUUCUCAUUUUGUCAAAGGUCACAAAAAUUUACUUUUUUAAUUUAAAUGUAAAUGUCUAAAAAUCAGACAUAAGUUAAAAAAAAAAUAAUUAUUAUUUUUUUAAAGUUAGACUUCAUAUGUUUAACAAUCAACUGUAAGGAACAUGAAAAAGAGCUAUUAAAACAAAAAAAAAAUUUUGAAACUAAAUACAAUUAGUUGAGAGAUGAGGACCGAUAAGAUAAAUUGAGAGAUAAAAACUAAAAUAUCAGCCCCUCAUUGCUGAUAGUUAUGAGUAUGAAAGCACAAAAGCCAUGUGUUGAAAACUAUGGUGUUCAUGUGGAAUUUUCAGCUAAAAGUCUACAAAGUAGUGGAAUUAAUCAAUCAUCGUGGAGUGCACGGUGGUUGGACAAUGAGAUGAAAUUGAAAAAUUAUCACGGAACGUGAAGGAAGGUUCAUGGCAUCGAUUUAUUGUACAGAGUCGCGCACAUUUGGUUCAAUAAUUGUUUUCAUCCGAAUCAAAAUCUCUUUCUAAUCAAUUCAAUUGUUUAUGUUGCUUAUGGCUUCUUCUUCUCGAAACAACAAGAAGUAUGAUGUUUUUGUUAGUUUCAGACGAGAGGACACCCGCGACAACUUUACUAGCCAUCUCUGUUCUGCUCUGUGUCAACAAAAUAUCCAAACUUUCAUUGAUGACCAACUUAACAGAGGAGAUGAAAUUUUGGAGUCACUUGCGAAUGCAAUUGAAGUAUUAGCCAUUUCAGUUAUUGUCUUCUCAGAAGGGUAUGCAUCUUCCAGAUAGUGUCUCGAUGAACUUGUAAAGAUCCUUAAGUGCAAGAAAGAGUAUUCACAAAUUGUGAUUGUUGGGAAAUUAAUGGGUGAAGUAGGGCCACAGAUAAAAUGAAAUUGGAAGAAAAUAAAGAACAACCUCAAAAGAGGACACUAGAAAUUACGUGGUUCGGCUUUUAACCUACGUCCACGGGUGAAGACAGAAAGAAAAUAUUUUACUAGUGAAAAGGAAUUACAAGUAUUGUGGUAUUUUAACUCACUACCCAAAAUCUCAAUACACCCAAACUCUCAAAUCACAAAUCAUUCAAGAGUUUGUUAAAACUUUUAAAAUACUCUCACUUUCUCUCUAAAGAAGAAGAAAUAAAACUGAAAAAAUUGGAUGCUCUAAGCCGAUGGGAAACUCCUCUUUUUAUAGCCAAAAUUGGCUAUUAAAAUAAUAAUUUUUUUUCUUGGGCGGCACCCUUUCUUCUUCUUUCAUUUUCUUCUUUCUUCUUUUUCUUCAUUCCAAAUUUGAUGCUGCCAAAUUCUUCUUUUUUUCUUGAACAAUUUCAGCAUUCAAAAUGGGCUGCAUCUAGAACGGUUGGCUUCUAGAUUUGCAGCAUCCAUUUUUUACAGUGAUUACGGUUUUCUAUCGAGUUGAUUCAUCAGACGUGAGAAACCAAACAGGGUGUUUUGGCAUUUCAUUUUCGAAGCUUGAAGAAAGAUUUAAGGAGAAUUCAGAGAAGCUGUAGACUUAGAGGAAUGCUUUGAAGGAAGCAGCAAGUCUGUCUGGCUUUCAUUCUCAGAACAUCAGGCGAAAAGUUACUUUUAAUUUCGCAUACUAAUAUUUAACACUGUAAAUAAAAUUCACGCAGCACUUUUAGUUAAAAUUUCCAGAUACUAAACGACACUUUUAAAUUUUUUUAGGCAUCAAAUUCUAGGCUUCCCGACUUCCCGACUUUUGUGCUCUCAUAAUUAUAAAAUAAUUUUGACAAAAUUAAUAAUAAAAGUUGGAGAAUUUUAUAAUAUAUAUCUAACAAAAUUAGUGGUGGGCUGUCGUUUUGUAGGCAAUUUCAACCGCUCACUCAUAUACCAACACUAGGAAAUAGAACCGCACUUCGUGCGGCUUUAAAAAAGAAAUUAGUAUUAUUUUUUUAUUACUUUACACUUGAUAAAACUGAUAAAAAAUAUGAAUUGAUUUUUUUUUAAAGAUGACGCAGCCUUAUAAAACUAAUGUUAUUUAUGAAAGUUAUUUUUUUUUUUAACUUUAAAAAUAUAUAUUAAUGUGUAUAGUUAAGUGUACACAACCUUUUCAUCAAUAAAAAUUAUGUUCACACUAAUCAACUCUCCAUUCUUCUUAGUAUUAACAAACUCCCACAUUUUACAAAGCCUAACCCUUAUCAUCCAACUAUCUUUAUUAUUGUUUAACUCAUGAAGAAAAGAAUACUACAUGAAGCACACAAUGCAAAAAAUUUAAAUAAGUCAAAAAAUAAAAACACAAGAACAUUUCUAAAGAGGAUGUUGGUUAAAUAAUAAAAAAAAACCCAAACAUAACAAAUCUUAAAUACUUAAUAUUUAUAUAGUUUGAAGAAGCCAAAAGACGCUAAAUAAAAGGUUGCAUGAUUAAAUAUGAAAUUAUGACAUUAAAAUUCGGUCCUAGUGGUAUUGGUGAGGGAAGAUGAAAGAACCUUCCUUCCUAUAUUAAUUAAUUGAUGUAUUUUAAACCACUAAAGUUUAGUUGUUGGCUUAAUAAAAUAAAUGAAUGUUUCAAAACUAUAAUUAAUUUAUUAUUAAUAGUUACAUAUUGUUGAAUUUAAAUAGAAAGAAGAAGAGACAUGUAAUCUUUUAUAAUCUACUAAUUAUUUUCUAUUUUUAAUAUUUUGUAAUGUAAUUAUUUUUUAAUCUCAACCAAUAUAUUAGAUUAUAGAGAAUAUAAAAAGAUGAGAAAUAAUAAUGCCACAAAUCUUAACUACUUAAUAUUUAUAGAGUUUGAAGAAGUCAAAAGGCACUAAACAAAAGGUUGCAUAAUUAAAUAUGAGAUUAUAUCAUUAAAAUUAGACCCUAAUGGCAUUAUUGUGGGAAGAUGAAGGAACAUUCCUUCCUAUAUUAAUUAAUUGAUAUAUUUAAGCCACUAAAGUUUAAUUGUUGGCAUAAUAAAAUAAAUUAAUGUUUGAAGACUUAUAAUUAAUUAUUAUUAAUGGUUACAUAUUAUUGAAUUUAAAUAGAAAGAGGAAGAGACAUAUAAUCUAAUAAUUAUUUUUUAUUUUUAAUAUUUUGUAAUGUAAUUAUUUUUUUAAUAUCAACCAAUUUAUUAGAUAAUAGAGAAUACAAGAAGAUGAAAAAUAGUGAUGCCACAUCACCUCAUCUAGUCCCAACUUUAUAUAUAUAUAUAUAUAUAUAUAUAUAUAUAUAUAUAUAUAGAUUGUUAAUAUUUUGUAAUGUAAUUAUUUUUUAAUCUCAACCAAUAUAUUAGAUAAUAGAGAAUAUAAAAAGAUGAGAAAUAAUGAUGCCACAAAUCUUAAAUAUUUAAUGUUUAUGGAGUUUGAAGAAGCCAAAAUGCACUAAACAAAAGAUUGAAUAAUUAAAUAUGAGAUCAUGACAUUAAAAUUAGGCUCUAAUGGCAUUAUUGAGGGAAGAUGAAGGAACCUUCCUUCAUAUAUUAAUAUUAAUUAAUUGAUGUAUUUUAAGCCACUAAAAUUUAAUUGUUGGUAUAAUAAAAUAAAUGAAUGUUUCAAGACUUAUAAUUAAUUAUUAUUAAUGGUUAUAUAUUGUUGAAUUUAAAUAGAAAGAGGAAAAGACAUGUAAUCAUUUAUAAUCUAAUAAUUAUUUUCUAUUUUAAUAUUUUGUAAUGUAAUUAUUUUUUAAUUUCAACCAAUUUAUUAGAUAGUAGAGAAUAUGAGAUGAUGAGAAAUGGUGAUGCCACAUCACCUCCUCAAGUCCCAACUUUAUAUAUAUAUAUAGAAGAUUAGGGAAAAAAAACAUAAAAAAAAACUCACACAUAUUCCUGUAAUUUAAGAGUUAUUAAUUUACUGGGAGAUUGUAGAUUAGUAGUGGUGUAUAUUGUAGACUAGUAGUGGUAUAUAUUAAUCUCCCUUAUUUCAUAUUCAAUGCAAAUUCCUCCUAUUAAUUUGAAGUUAUUGCGGCUAAUUUUAAGCAUUUACUAGGCGUGAGUCAGAACUUAUAAAUGAAGUUGUCAUUUUGAAGAGAUUGGAUGAAGUGUUUCGGCCGCGUGAUAACAAAAACCAGCUGGUUGGAGUGGAAUCAACAGUUGAGGAAAUUAAAUCUCUAUUAGGUGUUGAGUCGAAAGAUAUUUACGCUUUAGGGAUUUGGGACAUUGGUGGUAUAGGCAAAACAACAAUUGCUAGAGCUAUUUUCAACAAAAUCUUGAAUGAUUUUGAAGGUACUUGUUUCCUUGAAAAUGUUAGAAAAGAGUCACAAAGAAUGGGAGGAUUAGCUUGCUUGCGACAAAAACUUCUUUUAAAUUUGUUGAAGGAUGAAAAUAUGAUUCCUCAUAUUGACCUUAAUUUUAGAAGGCUCAGCUGCAUGAAGGUUUUGAUUAUUUUUGAUGAUGUGACUUGCUUCACCCAAUUAGAAUCCUUAAUAGGAAGUCUUGAUUGGUUGACGCCCGUGAGUCGAAUCAUAAUAACCACCAGAAAUAAACAAGUGCUUAGAAACUGGGAGGUGAGGAAAAUAUAUGAGAUAGAGGCUUUAGAAUAUCAUCAUGCUCUUGAUCUUUUCAGUCGACAUGCCUUCAAACGAAACCAUCUUGAUGUUGGUUACGAGAAACUUUCAAGCAACGUAAUGAAAUGUGCUCAAGGAGUCCUUUUAGCUCUUAAAGUUUAGGGUUGGUUUCUAUGUAAAAGGGAAAAAAAGUCUGGGAAAGUGCAAUAAAUAAAUUCCAAAGAAUCCUCCAUCCAAGUAUUUGAGAGGUAUUAAAAAUAAGUUAUGAUGGUUUAGAUGAUAAAGAGAAAAAUAUUUUCCUUGAUGUUGCUUGUUUCUUUCAAGGUGAGGAUGUAAAUCUAGUAAUGAACUUCCUUAAUGCAAGUGGCUUCUACCCAGAAAUAGGAAUAAGUGUUCUUGUUGAUAAGUCUCUUAUUCUCAUAUCAAAUAACAACAAGAUAACUAUGCAUGAUUUGAAACAAGAAUUUGGUCAGGAAAUUAUUCGAGAAGAAUCAAUUAAUCCUGAAAACCGCAGUAGGCUGUGGCAUCAUAAAGAUACCUAUGAAGUUCUUACAUAUAAUACAGUAAGCAUUUUGUUGUGGAUUAUAUUUUGGAAUAUUAUAGCAUUUACAAACUUGAUAUGAAUAUACUUAUAUACACUCGAACUGAUGAGUCUUAGAAUUAAUAGAAGUGUGACAAUGAUUAGAAAAAAAAAUAGUGGUUAAAUGAUGUAACAAUAAAUUAUAUAUGCCAUGACAAAUUGUGUGAUCGUUUGUAUGUUAGUAAUAUGCCCUAAAGGCCAAUCAAAUGGUGUUUGUUUGUUUAGGGAAUUAUUGUAUUUGAAUAGCAUUUUGACAUUUAUAAAAUGGCAAAGUUAUCAACAUUCAUAAAUUAAUUUAAUGAAUAUAGUCCAAGAAGUAAAAUAGUUAAGGAACACAUUCUCGAGUUUGUCGAGAAUAUGAAACGUGCAUUCUUUGUACUAUACUUCCAAAAUAGUUCCUAGUGGUGGAUUUAUGAUUGGACAUUAUAAAUUCCUAUAAACACUGGUAUGUGUUAUGACUCCUUAUGGUAUGUGAUACUAAAAUGGAUGGUGAGUUUCAUAUCAUUGACAUGAGAUGUCAAGUCAAACACAUAGGUACUUGUUGAGAGAACGAGUUUACUGAACUUGACCAAAUAUAGUAAGCCAUAUGGUUUUGAGUGUUAAUGGCUUAUUAUACAUUGUGAUAGACACUAUGUUUAGUAAUGGUCUUUAGACCUGAGGCACAACAGAUGUCUUAUACAUAGACAUCUCUGAUAUGUGAAAGCAUAAUGAUUGAUUCCUAAUCAAGGAAGAGAUCUAGCAAUAACUGUCAUGGUUGGCUAUGUAUGGAGACAAGUGUAUGGCCAAUAUGGAAUUCAUCACUUUGUAAUAUACAAAAAGGAUGUCCCUGUGAGAUAAUAUGAAUUGGCAUGAGAAAUCCUUGGCCAAGGUGAAAUGUGUUUGAAGGAGUUCAUAUUAUAUUUUCAUGCCAAGUUCAUUUAGAUUUAUUUUGAGAUAAAGCAUAAUUGCUUAACAUAAUAAACCAUAAGCCGUGUUUUUCUCUGGACAUGGAUGAUGAAGAGACCAAGACAUAGAGAUACAAUGGAAUAGGUUUUAUAGAUCCAACAAUUCUUGUUAUUUGGAUGGUUGUGAAAUACUGCUAGGUGUCACUCAUAACUUGUAGAAACCUUAAGAUUAAUAUUGGUAAAGCGUAUUAGCAAUGCAUCUUAAGGUCAUUAGAAAAGUUCUACUUGAUGACUAAAGAGUUUAGCAUCAUUUAAUGAAUAAAGAGUUAUCAUUAAAAUAGUUCUACUACCUUAUAACAAAGAACCUAAAAGGUCACACACCAAAUAGAAAUGAAAAAGGAGUUACUAGAAAAUGAGAAGUUAAAUUUCUUAAUUUUAGAAAAAUCGAUAUUUAUAUUAUAAUUAAUUAAGAAUGAAUAUAUAUAUAUAAAUAUAUCUUAAAUAUGAUUUAAGAUAGAAAUUUAGAUGUUCCAUAAAUAGUUUAAGGAACAAAAUAAAUUUCAUAAAUCCUUAAUUAAACAUUAUGUAUAAUAUCAAACACGUAAAAUGACCAUUUUAGACAUGUUCCGAUUCAUAUAUGAUUAUGGACUUCUAGACCAAUUUUGGGUUUAGAAUUUUGGGCUUUUAUUGGACCUAAUAUGGAUUAAGAGAAAGCAUUAGAACAUGUCACAAAAGAAGCCCACAUUGAACCAUUUGAUUUGAUCAAAAUGGGAUUAAUUAAUUAAAGACAAAAUUAAUUAAUUUAGCUAUUUAUUUAUUUGAUUAAAUAAAUUAUUGAAGUGAUAAGAUCACAUUCAAUAAAUAAUGGCUUAGUGGGUGGGUCUAGACAUGAUAAUGUUUGGUGCCAUUAUUGAAGAUAAUGGUGGCUUUAUUUGGUGGAAUGAAUUAUCAUGAACUAGCAUUCAUGUUUCUUCAUUAUCUCUCUCAUUUCUAAACGAAAUUUCGUGAUUCCAAAUCCUAUGAACUCCUAGAAAAUUUCUAAGUGUGUACUAACUAGAGGCAUCACAAUUGGGGUGCCUUAAGGAUCUCAAAUCGUGGAAAAACAGAAGCUGUUCGUGCAGAGGUUUAUUUUCUGGACAGUGUUCAUAGCUUGCUGUUUUCAGUCAUUUUCUCCUACUUCACGAAGUCUUUUUUGAAACUAAAAGUGAGGUAAUUAAACUUCAAUCUUUCCUCUUGAUUUUCGUUUUUGAAUGAAGCCGAUCCGAGGUUUCUAGAGCUUCCGCCAUGCGUUUUAAUUUUACUGCACAAAAGUUGCGUUUUUAAGAACCUCAUGGACAAAUGUUGUCUUUCAUUGUAAGCAUAAUUUAUAUGUCAACUUGUAGACUAUACAUACAGAAUUUUUAUGUUAAAUAUUACGUGUAUUAUUAUGUUUCUUUGUGCAUUUGCAAUUAAGAGUUUAGCUGCCUAGCAAUAACCAUAAACAUGAAUUAUUGAAAUUUGAUUGGUGUAAUGUCAGAGAGCCGCACUCCAACCCACCUCAACUCUGCACAAGAAUAAUUAAAACUUGAAUUAAUAACUAAGCUACCUCUAAUUGUGAAUUAAUGACAUGCUUGCCCCAAAAAAUUGUCUUGGUUGGGUUAUCAUUUUUCUUUGAUUUUAACUUUAUUUUUUUAAUUGAAUUUUAGGGGACAGAAAAAAUUGAGGGCAUUUGUUUGGAUAUGUCAAAAGUAAAAGACAUCUAUCCAAAUCCUAGUACUUUCACAAAGAUGCGUAAGUUGAGAUUUUUAAAAUUCUAUAGCUCAUCAUUCAAUGGAGAGAACAAAUGUAAGGUGUCUUAUUUGCAAGACCCUGGAUUUGCUGAAGAGAAGUAUUUUCACUGGCAUGGAUAUCCGUUGAAGUCAUUGCCUUCAAAGCUUAGUGCAGAGAAGCUUAUAUUUCUUGAAAUGCCUGGUAGCGACAUUGAACAACUUUGGGAUGGUGUGAAGGUAUGUAUAUCUUGAUAUAUAUGUGCAAUCAUGGUAAGUUAAACCGGAUAAUCCAUGAUUCCUGCAGGAAGCUAAUUGCCAAAAUUCCAAACCCCACGUUGAUUCCACAUCCGAACAAGCUAGUUAUCUUGAAUCGAAGAGAUAGCAAAAGCCUGAAAAGUCUUCCAGCUAGAAUAUUUAAUUUGGAAUUUCUUACCAAACUUGAUCUUUCUGGUUGUUCAAAACUGAAGAAGCUUCCAGAGAUCUCAUCUAGUAACAUAAGCCGGCUAUAUUUAAGUGGAACUGCAAUUAAAGAACUUCCCUCAUCAUUUGAGCUUCUACUUAGGCUUUGGUGGCUGGACCUUUCAGAUUGUAAAAUGCUUAAGAGUCUCCCAAGCAUCCUAUGCAAGCUGAAAUCUCUUGGAGUUCUUAAUCUCCGUGGUUGCUCAAAUCUUCAGUGAUUGCCCGAACGUCUUGGCCAAUUAUCGUCGCCAAUAAUAUUGAAUCUAGUGAAAACCAAUAUUGAGAAGAUACCAAAAAGCAUUAUUCAACUUUUUGUGUUGCGAUACCUCCUCUUAAAUUGUUGUGAGGGGCAUGAAUCCUUACCAAAGCAUCCAUUCCUUGUACGAUGGUUAGAUGGCGAUCGUUGCCCGGCAGGGCAACCAUUGAUAGGUUUAUUCUCUAAGUUCUGAAUCUUAUAGGUAGUCUUUUUUUUACCAGAGCAAUAAUUUGAAAUCGCAAGGUAAUUCUACUGCAGGAAUUAUUGAAGAUGCCAUGAGAAUUGAGCAUAUGGGCCAUGUGGUAGCUGCCCGUUGGAAACAAGUACGGGAAAAGGUGUGUCUUAACUCUCUCUCCUUACAAUUUAUAGUUUUUUUUUUUUGGUUUAAAAUUAUGAUUUUUUGGUACAGAGAGGUUUUCCCAUGGAAAAAAGUCAUGUCGUACUAGCUAGGAAUGAAAUUCCAAGGUGGUUUAAUUUUCAAAGUGAGGGAUCUUUUAUAACCUUGGAGAUGCCCCCAGAUUUCUUCAAUAACAACAGAGUACUGGGCUUUGCAUUUAGUGCUAUUUUAGCAUUUUCAGACCGUCAUGUAGAUUGUGGCAGAUGGUUUUCAUUUUCUUGUGAGCUAAAAGUGAAGACCACCAAAGAUUGUGAUCUGCAUGACACACGGUUAUUUCAGAGCAGCGUUAAUUAUGUAGAAUCAGAUCACUUACAUUUUGGGUACUAUUUGUUUUGUGAAGAGGAUUUUAAUGGUUUUUGGAAAUGCAAUUCCAUUCCUGAGGCAGUCCACUUUAAUGUUUUUCCGCCUUUGAAGUGUGAGUGCUGCGGGGUGAAAAAAUGUGGGAUCCAUUUAGUUUGCUUCCCCGACUCUACGAAUUCAAUGAAAGAUCCAAGCACAUGUUUCAACUAUAACGAAGAAGACUGAGAUUUUCAUGAAUGUAUUUUUUUUGCUUUCCUUUUUCUAAUCACUAUUAAUAAUAGGAGAAAAUGUCAAAAUUAGUUCUUGGAACAAAACAUUCAUGUAAUAACUUUCGAGGGAUCUGGUGCAUGUAACACAAAUUCACACUAGAGCAUUGAACUUUACCUUAUUAGAUGAAGAGUAUGUUGUAUGAAAAGCACAUGGUGUAUAUUGUAAAAUUAAAAUUAUUGGCCUAUUUCCUGCUUUGCACACGCAACCCAUGAUGAUUUUGUUAUUAAGUUUUGUAACCCAAAACACAUCUACUUAGUUAGAAGAGUACGUGACUUAUAAACUAGUAAAAAAAUUCACUUGCUAGUGAUGUGAGAUAUUUCAUGACGUGCAGCAAGUUCUUAUUUGCAGAGCUAUGUUGUGGGCCCAUAUCUCUAUCAAUGAAAACAUGUCACUCACCCCGUUGGCGCACUAUAUCAACUCUCAUGUAUAUAACACAAUCACAUUUGAAAAUUUUCUACUUUCAUCAUUGGGAAGCAAAAGCCAUAAAGAGGGAACAGUUAAAACACCAUCAAAUCUUAUAUAUUUUAAAAAAUAUAUUUGUAUACUGAUUAAAAAAAGAAGAAAGAACAGGAUAGGUGUCAUUUUGACUCAACUCAUUUGUGUUGUGAAUCCAUUUGCUUAAACAUGUAUACUUUUUCAAGUAUCUAUGCCAAUUCCAUAAUCGGAAUGGUGCAUUUGAUUCCAUAGUUGACAUUGUAUCGUCUAUGGCUAGAAUUUACCUUUACAAAACUGACCUGCAAGGAAAGGAUUAAAGAUACCCGUGAACUUAUAUUUUUAUUUAGAUUAUUUUAUUUUUUCCAGGUGAAAAAUUGAUUCCGAUUAACAAGAGCAAUAUAAAUUACUAAAUCAACGUUCUCUAUUCUUUAGAUUGCUGUAUCUUUUUCAUGUAAAAAAUUGAAUCCAUUCAUUCACAUAUCAUUAACAUGAGCAAUAUAGAUCACUAAAUCAUUGUUCAUUACUAUUUUGCUGAAUUUGACUUUUUGAAACGAGUUAGACUUUUUAUUGAAUAAUUUGGUAUAUUUCUUGAAUCAAUUUGGAGCUUCUGCAACACGUCAGGGAUUAGUAUCUCCUACAUUCCUUUCAGUGCCAAAAGAUAUUCAAGCAGUUGAAUAAGAAUUGAUAUGUACAAUGUAAAUACUAGUUUGUCAUUUUACAAUAGGAAUGAUAUAUAAUGCUUAUCAAAACUUGUUGAUAAGAAAGUAAAUUCCUCAGCAAUGAGAUGUUUCAGCCAACCAAUUAAGGAAGCAGCUUUCCAUGGACCAAGUCAGGUCUGUCGUCAUCAGGACAAUGUCCUACUUCUUCCAAUACAAUUAACUUCACAUUUGAGAGUUGAGAAGGCAGAGAUGAGAAGUAUUUACCAACAGGUCCAUCGACGGGUGUGAAUGGAUCCUCAUCACCCCAUAAAACUAGCACAGGUAUAGAGAUUGAUGGCAUCAAUUGCACUGGGUUCAGCCCCGAUGGGCCUGUCACGAUCAAAACAAAUGCAUCAAGUGCCCCUUCAUUAGUGGCGGCUUCUCGUAUGAUCUGUAGUUUUGAUGUCAAUUCAUGAAUUAUGAGUGGCCAUUUUUGUAAGAAAUUUAAAUGGCACAUAAGUGCAGAAUAUUAAUGCCUACUAGCCUUUCAUCCACAGAUUCAUUAUUUGCAUAGACAGUAAAUUGCUCCUCAGUCUUUACCAGCAGCACCAAUAUAUACACAUCAUAGUGUUUUUUAGUUUUGACUCUAAGUGUUUUAGGAUAAUGAACAACGGACUGAAUAGAAACAAGAGAAAGUACCUUUGCCUUGCACGCUCAAAGAACGUAAAGGUAACUGGCCUUUGCUUCAACCAAAAAUCAAUGAACCAAAGCAAUGGUAACAGUAGCUUGAUUCUCCAAUCAUCAACAAUUGCCUUGUUGUUCGUGCAGCCACCAGCACAAUUCAACAAAACAAGCCCUCGAACAAGUGUUUGACUGGAUUCUUAUGGUAGAAAAUAUAGCAGGUUUGUCGCAAACCAUAGUUACCGAAAAGGCUAAUUAAGUGCGAGUGUUUCUUUGCAAGCAAGAUGACUAAUAUCUGAUGCCCAAGAGGAAGUUAAAUUAAUAUACCUGAGGCAGCAAUAACACAAGUAGAGAUGGCCAAUACAAGGCUCAUGCGUGCUUGUGCCCGUGCCCGUGCCGUGCCGUGCCCAGUAUGUGUUUCGUGUCAUGCCGUGCCGUGCUUAAAUUUUUUUUGCUUAGGGCCGGUCUGGCAAAUGUGUCGUGCUUAUUUGUGCGGUGCCGUGCUUAAGAAAAAAAACCAAAUAAGCUUUUUUCUUUUUUAAAUUUUUAAGAGCGCAUGCUAAGCUGUUGGCGUACUUUUUUCAAGUAUAUGUACGUUUCUUGGGUCUAUGCCUUUAUUCAAAUCUAAUAGAAUUGAAAAUUCAAAAUUCAAGUCCAUAUUUAAUAAUAAUAAACUAAUAAUAGUAAGAAAAUAUAAUAUUAAUUACUAAGUUUGACCUUAUAGUAUUAGAAUUUUUUUAAUACUUAACAACAAUAAUAAUAAGAAAAAAAAUUUCUUAAAGGUUAACUUAAUUGUUAACUUGAACUUACAUAGAGUUAUAAAUUAUAGUUCACAAUAAUAUUAAUGCAUAUUUAUAAAAUCAUGAUAUUUAUAAUUUUAUUCAUUAAAAUCAUGAUAUCAAUUAUUUAUUUAAUAAAUUAUAAAUAUAAAUCAAUUAUAGUAUUUUUUAAAACUAAGAAUUAAAUGAAUUUAAAAAAUUCAAUUUCAAGUUAUUUGUAAAAUCAUAAAAUUUUAAGUUUACCUUCAUUAAAAAAUAAAACGUGUUUAUUGCAGGUUUUUUUAUUUUGCCGUGCUUAGCCCAUCUCUAAUCGUGCUGUACUUUUUAGGCUCGUGUGCCUAAAAUUCUAAACUCGGCCCAGCCCACAUGUGUGUCGUGCCCGUGCCCUACCGAAACGUGCUUGUGUCGUGCCGUGCCCGUGCCGUGCCACGUGCCGUUCGGCCCAUUGGCCAUCUCUAAACACAAGCUACGCUUCGAACCGAAUUACGUAUAAGCACAACUGGCUUCUGAGCAACUUCAUCCAAGAAAUCCAACAUUAGCUGUAUCGAUGAGUCUCACUCAAGUUAGCAAGGAAAAUAACCUAAGGUUGAGCGAUUGAUGAUAUAAGUAUAGGAGUUGUCAUAUUUGACCCUCAUUAUAUCUUAUCAGCCCCAUUAAUCACUUUUAUAUGAAUGCUUUUUACUCUUUAUCUUUAUAUGAAAUAACUUAAAAGGAAAAUAAGUAAUGAUCCUUAACGUUUGUGGAUGCCAACUAUAUGUACACAAAAGUAAAUACUAUAAAAAAAAUAGUACAUUAUAAAAAACAAUUCACUACAAAAUAAAAAUUACUUUUUGUCAUUUGUGCCUGUGUUAUUUUUACUACAUGUAAUAUUAUUGCACGGAUGCGGGAAGAAAAAAUUUGGGGUCGAUUUGUUGUAAGCCCCAAAUGCAACCGAAGAUCCAAGCACAAGUUUCAAACCAAACCAACCCAAAGUUUGCGCGGCAAUCCAACUCAACCCAACUAAAAUCAUUUUAAUUUGAUUAUAGUUUGGGUUGACUUAGGCUUUGAUAAAUUCGCAUGUUAUAUAACACAAUUAAAAUAAAAUAUCAUUUGUCAUACAUUUUAUUCAUUAAAAACAUAGUAAAAAAAAUUCAAAAAUUCAGUGGCGGCAAACGUCCUCUCUGGAAUCUUUGUGGGCAACACGUACGUGGUGUCUUCACUAAGUGUUGAAUCUUUAGCUUCAAAGGAAAGAAACAAAAAAAGGGUAGGGAUAUUUCCACCCCAUUAUUUUUGUAAAUUCACACCACUUUUACAAAAUAAUUAUAAUGAAUUCACAAUAUUUUUAAAAAAUACAAAUUAAUAAAAAAUUUGUAUAGUUAAUCAAUUAAAUCCUUCUAUUACCUUUCUUCUUAGAUUUCUUUGACUCUAUUUGAUCAUAAACUCUUAUAGAAAUGUUAUUUUUCUAUUUUAUUAUUAUGAUAUAAAACGAACAAAUUGCCUAACAAACAUGAGUUAUUGUAUCUAAUAAUUUAUGUAUUUAAUUAUGUGAACUAAGAUUUUUAAAUGAAAUCUAAUUAUUAUUUUCACUACCUUACAAAUAAAUUAUAUAAAUUUGACAAGCUAAUAAUUUACAUGAGUAUUGUGCCAUACAGACAUUAUGUUUGUUUAAUUAAUGUUUUAUAAUCAUACUAAUAAAGUAGUAUUAGAAAUAAUGAAUUGCUAUAAAAUUAGAAAAUAUUGAAGUUAAAGAAUUAGUUUUACCUUAUAAGGAUAAAAUAAUCAAUUUAGACUUAUGUCAAAGCAAUCUUUAUGAUCAAACAUAAAAAAAAAAAAAAAUUAAGUCACAAAAAGUAAAUUAAGAUAGAUUUGUUAAUUUGUUCUCCAAAGUUCUUUUUUAUUUAUUUUUUUAAAAUAAUGUGUACUUUUUGUAAUUAUUUUUUAAAAAUGGGGUGGAUUUGGAGAUAUCAUUAGCCAACAAAAAAUUUAGUCAGGAUUAAUUUGAUAAUUGCCCAUAAAAAGAAGGCAUAUGUGCAGGUGGUGAUAGGGAAGCCUUUUUCCAUUCUAAAAUUACAUGUAAGAAUCUAUUAUAAAAAAGAUAAAUGUGUAACAGGAUGUGGAUAGAAAAAUUGAUCUUCAUUUGGGGAUUCUUGAUCUUCAGUUCUUCACUCCACUAAAAUUUCCACUAAAAUUUACCAGAGAAUGAGGUGAAAAACAUGGGCCAAAUAAAAUUAUUAAAAUAUAAAAAAAUUUAAAUUAUUAAAAAUAAUAACUAAAAAAAUACAUAUUUGUUAAGAAUUUUGGAAUUAUUUUUCUUUGAGUAAUGACACUAUAAUUCAAAAGACGCUUUUUGAAUUAAAUCAGAUUUUUUAUUCAAAACGAACAAAGGGAUUAUAUUUUACAAUUGGGUAAUUUUUAGGGACCUCCCCUGAGGUUUACCGUAUUGACACAUAGAGAGAAUGUAUCCACAUAAUUACAACCACCUCCCCUCCCGUUAGUAUCCGGUUACGUAUGGCACAUAUAGGCAAAUUUUAAGCUGAAAUUUCUAGGAAUCUUGCUUAGAAAGGAAUUUUGGGCAGCAUGUAGAAGUGGAAACCAAGUAGAGUUCAACAACCAUAUGGCUGAAAUUAAUAGCAUCAGCCCUGCUGCUCAUAAGUGGCUGUUACAAAUUCCUGUGACAUGUUGGGCCAAACAUUGCUUCCCCACUCAAACCAAGUGCUCACAUGUCACAAACAAUAUGACUGAGUCCUUCAAUAAUUGGAUAGGUAGUGUCAGAGGCAUGCCGAUAGUAAGAAUGUUGGAGGAGAUUAGGACGAAGAUUAUGAUUCUUAUACACAAAAGACAUGAGCUAGGCAAAACUUGGCAUGAUGAACUGCCGCCACUUGUUAGGAGGAGGUUAAUGGAUGCAAGGGCUGAAUCUAGAUCAUUAUCUAUUAUAUUUGGGCACAAUAAUUCAUUUGAAGUCAUGGAAGAUGUCUCUAGGAGGUGUGUUGUGAAUCUAGGCAGCAAGCAUUGUGAUUGUGGGGAGUGGGCUGUUUCAGGCUAGCCUUGCAAGCAUGCUAUAUGCUGUAUUGAUGCAAUGAGAUAUAAUGUGAAUGAAUAUGUCCAUCAUCUCUUGAAAAAAAAAGCAUUCAUGAAGACCUAUCAGCACAAGUUACAUCCAGUGCCAGAUGAAAGCAGAUGGCCAUUACUCUUGCAUGAUAACUUGCUGCCACCGACUGUGACAAGAGCUGCUGGCAGGCCCCAAACUAAAAGAAAAAGAGAGGAUGGUGAAAGACAACCAUUUAAGAGGAGUUCAAGUGUAAGAUGUUCUAAUUGUGAUGAGUGGGGCCAUAAUGUAAGGAGUUGCAAAUCUGUUAUCAAAGGUGGAAAACACAAAAAAAUUAUGAAGAAGAAAUUCCAUCAGGUCUUAAUUACUUGCUUCUAUUAUAAUUUUUUCAUUGUUGUCUUCAAUCUUAGUAUGUUUUGAUUAAAAAUUAUUGUAUAAUCUAAUUAUUUAUGUGUAGGAUCAAAGAGAGACAGGAGCUUGUGCUGGAGAUGCUGCAGUAGCUAAUGAUGUUGUGAGUACUCAGAACAGUGUCCAUGAAAAUGGCAAACAUUUCAUGUAUCAUUUUUUUUAAAGUUAAUAUGUACGCAAAAAUUUAAAUGCACCAACAGUUUGUUUCUCUCAUGCCGUAAUUUCAAAUAAUAGAUAACAUUAAUUUUUUUUUAGAUUAUUAAGGACAACUUACUCAAGAAUGAGCACUGCCAAGUUAAAGCAUCCAGCAGCAUUUUGUAAUUAUCAAGUGAAGAUAUCAGGAGCCAAGUUAAUCCCUUCUAACAAAAUUUUUUGAGGGAUUAGAUGAUACAUCACCUUCAACUGUAAGCAUUGAUAUGAAGAAGUUGUCGUAUCAUCUUUUUGUCACUCAGCCGUAGAUAGAGGUUUGAGUUUUUGUACAUUUUGUUGUUGUGUGGUACAUAACGCAGCUGUUGAUGACGCCAUGUAUGCUUUCUUUGUUUUGGUCCUGUCAAGUUAAUACUGUAAUAACUGACUUGCCACUACAAGUUUAAAUACUGGCUGCUGGUAUUUGUAUUGGCUGAUAGGAAUUCAGUCGUUAAUGACAUGUGACACUUUAUUAUUGUUGGAAUGCAUAUGAAUUUAUAAUUUAUAGUCACAAGUAAUGUUUAUGUAGUUUUAUUACAUAGUUCUUUAUUGAUUUUAGUUUAUGUAGUUUCAUUACUUAGUUACUGCCGUGGUUUUUUACUUUGUGUGUUUGUUGUGCUUGCGACUGUCACUUGAAACAAUAGAAUUUACUUUGUUUGUGCUUGAUAUUACAAAGUGAGACCUGCUGUAUGUGUUUAUUGUGGCUGAUACUGUCAGUUUGAGAAUGAAUUUGUAUUGUAUUUCUACUUUUGCUCAGGGAUUUACUGGUUGUCCUAUGUGAUGGGAGUUGUUGUGUGUGCUUCAUAGUGUUAGUUUUAACAAAAGCUUGUUAUGUGCUUGAAAUUGUUAUUAUACUUUUGCUCAGGGAUUUAUUGGUUGUAAUUCUAUUUAAGGACUGAAUUAUGGACAGUAGCUUGUGUUGUGUCAUUGUGUGUGCUUGCUGAAUUAUGGACAGGAGCUUGUAAUUAUGAAUUAUUGUUAUUGUGUGUGCUUGCUGAAUUAUGGAUAGGAGCUUGUGCUGUGUUAUUGUGUGUGCUUGUUGAAUUAUGGACAGGAGCUUGUAACUAUGAAUUAUUGUUAUUGUGUGUGCUUGCUGAAUUAUGGAUAGGAGUUUGUGAUGUGUUAUUCGCUUACUAUGCUAAAUACUAUCAGUUUGUAAAACAAAUUAUUGUCACAUGCAUUAUCUUUUUUAUCCAUUAAUACAUUACACAGAAAAAUCACUAUAUUUUACACUUCACUGCAUUCUGCAAACAUAGGAUAGCUUAGGCAUAUUAGUUCUUAAGCAUAAUUAAAUUCAGCACAAACAUAACUAGGUUCAAGUACAUCAUCAUCUUCACAACACCUUCACCAAAUCCUGACCUUUGAAGCUUCUUCAUAAUAGUCUUCACUUCUUUCAGAUUUGAUUCAAUAGCAUUUAGGGUAUCAUGAUCCACAAUAGCACUUAAAUUCCCCUCAAACACAGCUCCAUUGUUGAAAUCAUCCCUUGCUGGAACCCACCAUUUGAAGUAUCCGCAUGUUGUUCUGUUCGGCAUCUAUAAUAAAGCUUGUGAGGAUUCUCAUCCGAUUCAGAUAUCAUCACCUCGACUCUCAUACGACAUCUACAGAUUCAAUUUGAAAACUUAAUCAGCCUCCCAUUAACAAAGUUCCUCCAAGCUGGCUCAUAAAUUGGUUGUGUAUUUGAUCGGCUGGAUGUGUUUGAGCUUUCAAAAUCCAUGUGGUUGAGAUAAUGUUUGAUCUUGAUUAUGUUGAAUGCUUCUGUUGGUGAGUUGGAUGAAUACUUAUAUUGAUGAGUAAAUGCUUUUGUCAAUGAGCUGAAUGAAUGAUUCUGAUGAUGCUGAUGAUGAAUGCUUAUGUUGUCGUGAACUGAAUGCUUCCCUUGAUGAGUUGAUGAAUGCUUUUGAUGAUGAUGAUGAGUGCUUCUGUUCAAGAGUUGAAUGGAUGAUGACUUAAAAUCGUAAGAAGAAGAUGAAGAUGAAAUUCUGCCAUGAUCAUUUGCUAACUUGCCUAGGCCUUUUUAUAGUUGCUGCUGCUACUCAAAAUAUUACCGUUUACUUACAACGGUAAUAAUGGCAGCUUUAAUUUAUUUUUUCUUUUUUUUUAAUAACAAAUAAUGUAAAUGAAAUCACAUCACAUAGAUGGGUAAUUUGGUCUUUUUUUAGCUUUUGUGAUUCUAGCAAGUUUAUUACCUAUCGGUUCUCAAAGUCUUGUUUUAUAACUUAUAAUUUUGGCGGGAAGGGUAAUUUAGUAAUUUCAACAGUCAACUAACAGUCAAACUAACCGGAUACUAACGGGAGGGGAGGUGGUUGUAAUUACGUGGAUAUAUUCUCUCUAUGUGUCAAUACGGUAAACCUCAGGGGAGGUCCCUAAAAAUUACCCUUUUACAAUUUAAGAAAUAACUAUAUUUAAUAGAGAUAAUUUUGGGAUAUAGUAUUUACUUUCUAUUGAGACAUUUUCAUAUAUUAGACAAAAGUUACAAAAGUUUACUUUAAAAAAAAAUUAGACUUCACACGUUUAACAAAUAACCCGAAGAAUAUGAAUAAGAAUUAUUAAAACAAAAAUGAUAAAUAAGGAUAAUUUUAAAAUUAAAUGCAAUUAAUGGAGAGAUGAUGACUGAUAAGAAAAAUUGGGGGGCAAAAAUUAAAAUAUCAACCUACUACUAAUGGUAUAGUCAUGACCCACUCAAUUUGAGAAUUAAAAGGACAAAAGCCAAGUGUUGAAAACUAUGGUGUUCAUGGGGAAAUUAAAAAGCAGUGAAAUUAUCGUGCAGUGCACGGUGCUCGGACAAUGAGAUGAAAUUGAAAAAUUAUAACGAAAACUUCAAGGAAGAGUGCCAAUAGUCCUACUCAUAACGUCGUGUCUAACUCAUAACAUAGAGUAGGAGUUCUACGAAAGUAACGGAAGAGUGCCAAUAGUCUUAACUCAUAACGCCGUGUCUAUAAUUUUAGCUGAAAAAAUCUGCCAAGUCGAAAAAUUAGGUGGGCAUUUCAAUAACCCUUGAAUAUUCCAUGAAUCAUUGUCCAGAAAGCUUGGAAAAUGAGAUAUCAGGUCAAUAUAUGCUGCAGAGUCACGCUCAUUUUGGCUUAGCAAUGGUUUUCAUCUGAUCACAAUCUCUCUCUAAUCAAUUCAACUGCUUCUGUUGAUUAUGGCUUCUUUUUCUCGAAACAAGAAGAAGUAUGAUGUUUUUGUUAGUUUCAGAGGAGAAGACACCCGCGACAACUUUACUAGCCAUCUCUAUUCAGCCCCGUCUCGACAAAAUAUCCAAACUUUCAUUGAUGACCAACUUAACAGAGGAGAUGAAAUUUCAGAGUCACUUGUGAAUGCAAUUAACGCAUCAGCCAUUUCAGUUAUCAUUUUCACUGAAGACUACGCUUCUUCCAGAUGGUGUCUUGAUGAACUUGCGGAGAUCCUCGAGUGCAAGAAAGAGUAUGCACAGAUUGUGUUACCGGUUUUCUAUCGCGUUGAUCCAUCAGACGUGAGAAACCAAACAGGGAGUUUUGGGGAUUCAUUUUCAAAGCUUGAAGAAAGAUUCGAGCAAAAUUCGGAGAAGCUGCAUACAUGGAGGAAGGGAUUGAGAGAAGCGGCUGGUUUGUCUGGAUUUCAUUAUCGUAGCAUCAGGUGAAAAGUUACUUUUAAUUUCUCAUGCUAAUAUUUAACACUGUAAAUAAAACUCAUGCAGCACUCUUUGAUAAAUUUCCGGAUGCUAAACUACAAUUUUAAAUUUUUUUAGGUAUCAAAUUCUAGGCUUCUUGACUUCCCAACUUUUGAACCCCGAUAAUUAUAUAUGAAAGAAUUUUGACAGAAUUAAUAAUAAAAGCCCGAUAACUUUACAAUAUAUUUAACAAAAUUAAUGGUGGUAUGUCGUUUUUAAGCAAUUUCAACCUCACAUACCUCCAUCAGAAAAACAAAAGUCACACAUAUUCCUAUAAUUUAAGAGUUAUUAAUUUAUAGGGAGAUUGUAGUGGUAUAUAUUAAUUUCAAUUGGAAAACUAGCAAUCUCCCUUAUUUCAUAUUUGAUGCAAAUCCCUCCUAUUUGAAGUUACUGCUGCUAAUUUUAUGUAUUUGGCAGGCCUGAAUCAGAACUUGUAAACGAAGUUGUUAAUCACAUUUUGAAGAGACUGAUGGAAGAAGUGUUUCGGCCGCGUGAUAACAAAAGCCAGCUGGUUGGAGUAGAAUCAAGAGUUGAGGAAAUUGAAUCUCUACUAAGUGUUGAGUCGAAAGAUGUUUACGCUUUAGGAAUUUGGGGCAUUGGUGGUAUAGGCAAAACAACAAUCGCUAGAGCUACUUUCGAAAAAAUCUCUAGAUAUUUUGAAGGUUCUUGCUUCCUUGUAAAUGUUAGAGGAGAGUCACAAAGAACGGGAGGAUUAGCUUGCUUGCGACAAAAACUUCUUUCAAAUUUAUUGAAGGAUGAAAAUGCAAUUCCUGGUAUUGACCUCAAUUUUAGAAGGCUCAACCGCAUGAAGGUUCUUAUUGUUUUUUAUCAUGUGACUUGCUUCAGCCAAUUAGAAUCUAUAAUUGGAAGUCUUGAUUGGUUGAUGCCUGUGAGUCGAAUCAUAAUAACCACCAGAAAUAAACAAGUGCUUAGAAAUUGGGGGGUGAGGAAAAUAUAUGAGAUGGAGGCAUUAGAAUAUCAUCACGCUCUUGAGCUUUUUAGUCGACAUGCCUUCAAACAAAACCAUCCUGAGGUUGGUUAUGAGGAACUUUCAAGUAAGCCAAUGAAAUAUGCUCAAGGUGUUCCUUUAGCUCUUAAAGUUUUUGGUUGCUUUCUAUAUGAAAGGGAAAAAGAAGUCUGGGAAAGUGCAAUAAAUAAAUUGCAAAGAAUUCUCCAUCCAAGUAUUCUAGAGGUAUUAAAAAUAAGUUAUGAUGGUUUGGACAAUAAAGAGAAAAAUAUUUUCCUUGAUGUUGCUUGUUUCUUUCAAGGUGAGGAUGUAAAUCUACUAAUGAAAUUCCUUAAUGCAAGCGGCUUCUACCCAGAAAUAGGAAAAAGUGUUCUCGUUGAUAAGUCUCUUAUUGUCAUAUCAAAUAACAACAAGAUAACUAUGCAUGAUUUGCUACAAGAAUUGGGUAGGGAUAUUGUCAGUAAAGAAUCAAAUGAUCCUGGAAACUGCAGUCGGUUGUGGCAUCACGAGGAUAUCUACGAAGUUCUUACAUAUAAUACGGUAAGCAAUUUGCUGUGGAUUAUUACUUUGGAAUAUUCUAGCAUUUACUGCCACAUAAUGANNNNNNNNNNNNNNNNNNNNNNNNNNNNNNNNNNNNNNNNNNNNNNNNNNNNNNNNNNNNNNNNNNNNNNNNNNNNNNNNNNNNNNNNNNNNNNNNNNNNUAUUUAUAUACUCUCGAAUUGAUGAAUCUAGAAUUAAUCGAAGAGUGACAAUGAUUAGAAAAAAACAAUAAUGUUUAUAUUGUCAAUUUGUAUUGUAUCCCACAUGCGUAAAUUUCAUGUUUAGUAUUACUUGUAUUAUUAUGUUCCUUUGUGCGUUUGCAAUUAAGAGUUUCACUGCCUAGCAAUAACUAUAUAAACAUGAAUUACUGAAAUUUGAUUCGAGCAAUGAUAAAAAAUUCCACUCCAAUCCCACCUCAAUUCCACACAAGAGUGAAAAAAAAGGUUGAAUUAAUAACUAAGUUACCCCUUGUUGUGAAUCAAUGCCAAACAUGCCCCAAAAAUUUGUCUUGGUGGGGUUGAGGUGCAAUUCAUUGGUGGGAUAUAAAUAUCAUUUUUCAUUUUUUUAUUGAUUUUUAGGGGACUGAAAAAGUUGAGGGCAUCUAUUUGAAUAUGUCCAAAGUGAAAGAGAUCCGUCUAAAUCCCAAUACAUUCACAAAGAUGCGGAAAUUCAGAUUUUUAAAAUUCUAUAGCUCGUCAUUCAAUGCAGAGAACAAAUGUAAGGUGUCUUAUUUGCAAGACCCUAGAUUUACUGAAGUGAAGUAUCUCCACUGGCAUGGAUAUCCAUUGAAGUCAUUGCCUUCAAACAUUGGUGCAGAGAAGCUUGUGUUUCUUGAAAUGCCAAAUAGCAGCAUUGAACAACUUUGGGAUGAUAUGAAGGUAUGUAUAACUUAAUACAUUAUGUGUGCAAUCUUUCAAUAAUAACGUUAAAUUAUCAUACAUGGCAAUGAUUCCUCUUGGCCUCUUUUUUGACCAAACAGCAUCGUGGUAAGUUAAACCAGACAAUCCAUGCUGCCUGCAAGAUGCUAAUUGCCAAAACUCCAAACCCCACGUUGAUUCCACAUCUAAACAAGCUAGUUAUCUUGAAUCUAAGAGGUAGCAAAAGCCUGAAAAGUCUUCCAGCUGGAAUAUUUAAUUUGGAAUUUCUUACAACACUUGAUCUUUCGGGGUGCUCAAAACUUAAGAGGCUUCCAGAGAUCUCAUCUAGUAAUACAAGCUGCCUUUUUUUUAGUGGAACUGCAAUUGAAGAACUGCCUUCAUCAAUUGAGCUUCUAAUUAGGCUGGGGUACUUGGACCUUUCGGACUGUAAAAGGCUUAAGAGUCUCCCAAGCAGCCUAUGUAAGUUGAAAUCUCUUGAAAUUCUUGAUCUCAGUGGUUGCUCAAAUCUUCAGAGAUUGUCCGAAUGUCUUGGCCAGUUGUCCUCUCUAGGAACAUUGCUUCUAGAGAAAACCAAUAUUGAGAGAAUACCAGAAAGCAUCAUCCAAAUUUCUGUGUUGACUUACCCCCGCUUAAGCUAUUGUGAGAGGCUUCAAUCCGUACCAAAGCUUCCAUCCCUUAUACGAUGGUUAGAUGCCGAUAAUUGCACAUCGCUGCAAUCAUUAUCAGGUUUAUUCCCAAGUUCUGAAUUUUAUAUAUAAGCAGUGUUUUCUGACUAGAGCAAUAAUUUUAAAUCGGAUGGUAAUUCUACUGCAGGAAUUGUUGAAGAUAUAAUUUUUUUUUGAGUUAUGAUUUUAUUUUUUUACCAGAUUGAUUUUCACAUGAACGGAGGUCAUAUCUUACUACUCGGGAAUGAAAUUCCAAAGUGGUUUGAGUUUCAAAGUGUGGGAUCUUUUAUAACCUUGGAGAUGCCACCAGAUUCCUUCAACAAUAACUGAGUACUACUGGGCUUUGCAUUUAGUGCUAUUGUAGCAUUUUCAGACUGUCAUGUAGAUAAUGACAGAUGGUUUUCAUUUUCUUGUGAAUUCAAAGUGAAAACUGAAGAUUGUGAUCCGCAAGUCACACGGCGUUACGAUAAUUUCACUGCUUACGUAGAAUCAGAUCACUUACUUUUGGGGUGCUAUUUUUUCACUGUGGCAGUCCGCUUCUCUUUUGAUGAUUUUGAUCGUUUUCCACCUUUGAAGUGCGAGUGCUGCGGGUGAAAAAAUGUGGAGUCCAUUUACUUUACAUCCCAGAUUCUACGGAUUCAAUGGAAGUUCCAAGCAGAUGUUUCAACUGUUACUAAGAAGACUAAGAUUUUCAAGAAUGUAAUUUUAUUUUUUUCUCUUUUGCUAAUCACUAUUAAUAAUAAGAGAAAAAGCCAAGAUCAGUCUUGGAACAAAACAUGCAUGCAAUAAUUUUCGAGGGACGUGGUGCAUGUAACACAAAUUCACACUAGACUAUUGAACCAUACCUUAUUAGAUGAAGGGUAUAAUGUACCGAAAGCACGUAUUUAGCAUUGUAAAAUUACUGGCCUUCUUUUCCUGCAGAUUUAAUCUACUUGGCGUGUUAUUUUUUUUCCUUUUUUUUUUUUUUUGAAUGCUAGUGUUUCAUUCAUGAUAUUUCUGAAUUUUUAUCCAUGAUAUAUUUUAACCUUAUUUUUAUUGAUUCAUGAUAUAUUUUAAAAAAUAUAUUUGUAUAUUGAUUUGUCAACUAAAAUAUUUGUUCUGACUAGCCUUGUCAUUUGUGUUGUGAAUCCAUUCGCUUAAACAUGUAUGCACUUGUAAGGAAAACUGACUUGUAAGGAAACUAAUAUUAGUUUAUGAAGUGAAUAUUGCGCCGAAAUAUAUGGAAAAUACAAACAGAUAGUAAUCAAUUAAUUUUGCGCGAGAGAGGCAGAUAGUUAAUUACCGUGUGCAAAUGGUGGAUAUUGGUUUGAAUAUUAUCAUUAUCAGCGUGAAUGAGGAGGGAUCGAACUUUAUGCCAAUUGAGGCAACAAGUGAGGACGCCACUCAUGCAAAACAACAUCAUCAAAAGCAGAGCUAAACCAAGAGGGAAACCUAUGGAUGGCCGAUUUGAUGAUGACGCUUCUUCAUCAUUCCCCAUUAUUUUACUUCUCGCUACGUACGUAGUACUCUAUGCUACCUUUCUUGCUUCCUUCAAGUGUACAUUUAAUUGAACACAAUCGUAUUAGUAGUAAUUUAUAUUUACAAAACUGACUUGUAAGGAAAGGAUUGAAGAUGCCUGUGAACUUACGUUUCUAUUUAGAUUAUUGUAUCUUUUUCAUGUAUAAAAUUGGAUCUUAUCAUUCUCAUAUCAUUUACAUAAGUGGAGAAUGUUAAUACCUCUACCAGUGUUUCAUCCACAGAUUUCUUAUUUGCAUAGAUGGAUAGUAAAAUGUUCCUCAGUGUUCCCCUGCAGCACCAAUAUAGACACAUCAUAGAGUUUUUUAAUUUUGACUCUAGUGUUUUAGGAUAAUGAACGAAGGACUGAAUAGAGAGAAGAGAAAAUACCUUUGUUUCACAUCCUCAAAGAUUGCAUCUGCAAUUGGCCUUUGCUUCAACAAAGGAUCAAUCAACCAAAGCAAUGGAAACAAUAGCUUGACUCUCCAAUCAUCAACAAUGCCUUGUAGUUUAUGCCGCCAGCAUAAUUCAACAGAACAAGCCCUCUAACAAGUAUUUGUAUGUAUGUAUGAUCAUCCAUUCUCAAUCAACCACCAAACUGAUGUCAACAAAGCCAUGAGGAUUGUCUCACAAGUCUUUCAUUUUCCCUCUCUUUUGGCCGGAGACCAGUAAACCAUUUGAAUAUGGAUGUGCAAACCAGUAAAUAAAUCAUGAAGUUACACACUAGUCUGCUUUCGCACUCAUUCGGAACUAUAAUUGAUACUUACUGCAGGUAUGGUGUAUAAAUUUUACUAAAGUGAAGGCUGGAUCAAUAAGAAAUUCAAAAUGUUUCAUCACAUUUUGGGCUUGAUGAUGCCAAAGAAAGACCAUACCAAUUAUCACGAACGGUAAAAUGUGAACAAGAACAAGCAUACAUUCAAGAAAGCAGAGAAGCAUCAUUAAAAUAAAGCAUUCUUCUCACUAUUCUAUAUUGUUGGAAAAUGGACCAAAAUAAAAAAGAAACCAUAUAUGGAACGUCACAACAAGAAUAUUUGUGCAUUUGGAGAUCAUAGGAUAUUGGGAAGCCAUCGGCAGAAAAGUACAAUUUUUUUUUUUUUUGGGGGGAAAGGAACAGAGAAGUGCAAGUCAAAAAGGAGAAAAAAUGAAAACAGAGAGAUGAAAAGGAAUGCAAUCUAAUUAAUCAUCUAAGGAGGCUACUAUGCUACAUUUAGCCAUUGGUUGAAUAGGCAGCUUGUCUUCUAGUACAACUUUAAAUUUACCAAGAUUGAGAAUUUUCCUUCUGAAGAAAAGUAAUUUCUAUAGCAGCUAUUACCAUCUUCAUCCCAACGGUAAGCAGCUCCAUACUAAGGAAAGAGUGAAAUAGGUGUGCUUUACUUAUAGAAGCCCGUUCCUGUCCAGAGUGAUUAGUAAGUUGUUUCACCAUGACCCCCAUUAUGGUGACUGGAAAAAGAAAAAAAAAAUAUUUGCCCAACACAGAAGUAGCACCCAAAAAGUCCUACUUAAGAGGCUUCAUACCCUGCACAAACUGGAAAGUUUUUUAAAAUUUUCAUGUUCCAAAUGAAGAUUGCCCAUUAAAAAAUUACACACAUAAUGUAUGUAAAGCAAUUAAAACAGAAAAACAAGGAUAACCCAGAAACAAUCCAACCAUCAAUAACAUAAAACUUUUCUAAUUCUGGUAAAGUGAAUGAGAAGCAGAACAUACAUUUCACGUAAUAAUGAAGAUACAUCUUUUAAUCAGUUUUUGCUCUUGCUUUACUCAUAAUGCAGAUACGUAUCUUCAAAAAUUAUAUCAUACAUUUCUCUUAUCAAUGAAGCAGGUUGCUAUUGAACAUUAUUCAUAAACAAAGAGCCAAAUAUGCUUUAAAGCUACUUGCAAAUAUGCCAUCAGGCAUUGAGACAGAGUGACAGACACUCGACAACAAAAACAGACUUAUCAGCACUUAACAACACAAAAGUAAAAAAGCAAAUACUCUUACUCAAGUAUUAUAUUUGUUGCACAAAUAGGAAAGAAGAUAACAAUUUUAAAUUAACCAACAGGUUGAGUCUUAUCGUAAUACACACUAUCAGCUAUGAAUUAGCAUACCUUAGAAGUCCUCAACUCAUUCACCGCUAUUCGAAGAGAAUCAUCCGAUAGAAUCAACCGUGACAAUGCUCCAGGGCUUAAACUGCCGCAUUUAUAAAAGAUCACCAUACGAGAGAAAUCUUAAAUUAAAAAAAAUAUCGGAAACCUAAACGCCAAUCAAACACAUUACAUAUAGCAAUUUCUCUUUUUAAAGUUCAAUUAUCGCUUGAUAGAGUAUUAAGCUUAAUGCAAUACCCCAAUAAUUUUUCAGCUUCUGAGACAGAUCCCUCGACUGCGAAAAUUAGAUCAAGCAGAUCUUGCAUUCCCUGUAGUUAACCAAAAAAAAAAAAAAAAACGAAGCAAGAGUGAAUAGAGUAAUACCAAAGCAAAUUUAGGAUUGUUAGGUCCGAUUUGUGGACCAACUUCUGAACUGCUAAUAGUAGACUUAGGAGGAAGGAUUUGAAGAAGCUGUGGCGGCGGAGAAUACGCAUCAAGAUUCACACUGCUCCUCACUUUGAGGGCCAAAAGAGUGCGACAAAGCUGACGCGCGAUUCUUGUGCUGCGAUCGGUCUUCGGCAGCAUGCGCUAUGACGCCGAUCGGUACGUGCUUGAGACGUACGGCUGAUUCGCGCUUGUUGCGGUGCCGACCGCCUGGUCCCGACGAUUUGUACGCGUCCAUUUCGCAUUCGCGAAACAGCUCAUCGUCCGUCAAUUCUAAGUAAUUCCUCGAAGAAGAAGAAGAAGAAGAAGAAGUUGAAGAACAAUUGUCAUUGGUGCUGUAAUUGCAAGACAAGAACAAUGGCUGAUAAUUCCCGCGAUGCUUGUACGAUGGAAAGUUUAUAUUUUUCCUUCCGAGUUGGGGAAUCCGAAGCAGGAAUUGAGCGGCCAACGCCACAUCAAUUUCAAUUUCCCUCUGUGUAUGUGAUAAUCAAAGCAAAGCUUCGUACUGGUAACACAUUCUUAUAGCAGGCCCAGCCCAAUCAGCCCAAUCCAAAUAAAAGAGUACAUAAUUAUCAAUAAAUAGAAGUCAAGACCUUUCUGUGAUCUAUCUAGUCUUCCUAUCGUACUCUUUUUUUCACUAGAAAAACUACAUUUGUAAUGUGUCUCGAAGCACCAUCAAUUCUUACCUAUAUUUCAAUUAAAAUAAGAGUGAAACUAUCAGCACCCCUUCAUUAUUCUUAUAAAACCCUAUUUCAAAUAAAAUUACAGUUAAGAGCAAAGAAGAAAUAAACACAUGUAGGAUUUUUUUUCCCCAACAAAUUACUUACAUUAAUAAUCAAUCCUUUUUUUUUAUUUCCUACCUAUUAUUUCUUAUCUAAGAUAAAUUGUAUAAAUUUAGAAUAAUCUAUUUUUCUUUUCCUAUUUCUUAUCGAUUAAAUAUUUUUGUACUCAAGAUUACUUUCAAACUACAAUCUAAAAUAUGUGUUAUUUAAGCUACUGAUUAGCAUUCAAACUUUAUCACCUAAAAAACUUUUUAAUUUGUAUGUAGGAUAACAAUAAGAUUGCAAAAGAGAUGAAAAAUAGCACAAUACUACUUUGAGUUUUAACAAUAAAAGAAGAUUAAAUGAAAAACUAAAAGAGUGUCUUUGAAAAUAAAAGGAAUUUUUUUGGAAAUAAAAUAAAUAUAACUAAAAAAAGGGUUUGAUGGGGAGACUAGAGGGGUGCCAAUAGUCCAACUUUUAAAAUAAAAGUUUUAUCAAUUAUUGCUCCCUUUUUCUGCAAUUAUUAUUCCCCACAGAUAUUUCUCCAACAUUUUAUUUCAUAUAUUUACUCCUACUACACUCUAACAAAGGACGCCUUUUGGACGACAUCCGUUUCUAGAUGCAUUUUAUUAAUAAAUUAAAUAAAGGCACCAUCCAUUGUUCAAUUUCUCUAAAUAACCACUUUCUGUCAACUCUCUUAAAAUUUAUUAAGGAAUCUAUGUUGAAGACCAUUUCAUCCUUAGUAUUGUGUAAAUGUAUAAAAAUAGAUUUUACACUUUGAAAUUUAAAAUGACCUUCUUUUAGCAUAAAAUUUUAAAACAAAUGCCGCUAACUAAGGGACAAAUUUUAGAAUACAUGAUCAGUACCAUGUCAGCUAUAUAAAAAGUAAAUCAUAUUAUAAUAUAUGUGCACUUAUUUUGAAAAGCUAUCAGGUAAAUGAUGGUUAUAUUGAAUCUAAGUACGUGCAUAUCAUACAUGACACAACCCGUGUUAACAUAUAUGUUUCCAUAAUGUUGAUUUUGAUGAUAACAAACAAAAUUAAGAAUGAUUAAGCUUUUAAGCUCAAAUUACUUUUUAUACAUUUUAAAUAAAUCAUUAUUUUCACAUUAUAAAGGUUUUAUAUUUAAUGGAAAAAUGAUUUUAUGAAAUUAGUUGUUUUUCAAGUUUAUGAUUUAAUUGAAAGAGUUUUGAAAACUUUGAAAUUAACAAGUAUUGCUUGAAAUUUUGGAGGACUUAUUUGAAACGUUUCAUAGCAUUUUGGGUCGUAUCAUAAUUUCAAAAAGUUUUGGGAAUAGCAAGAUUUAUUUAGAGAUUCUGAAAUUGGACCUAUUUGUAAAAUAAUAUAACGUUUUGGGCCAUAAUAUAGUUUUAUAAAGUUUUGGGGUCAAACUAUAAUUUUAGAAAAUAGUGCACGGUACCGGUUACUGUAACAAGCUGCUAACCGGAUGUGACAAACGACUAGCCAGAUUUUGGGCUGUAAGCUUCUGGAAUGAAAGCGGCUAUCCGGAUUUCGACAGCGGCUAAACGGAUUUCAAAAGCAGCUAACCGGAUAUGAAAAGCAGCAUGCCGGAUAUUCUGAAAUUGAAAUUUUUUCUGUAACGGUAACAUAAAAGUGGCUAACCAGAUUCCAUAAACGGUAAGCCGGUUAUCACCAAAAUGUGCAUAACGACUAGUUUUUGAGUUCAAACUAUAUAAACUCAAAUCCAAUUCAUUUUUGGUAAUCUUGGCAAGCAUAAACAAGUGCACACAACAUAUUUUGAGCUUCAAUUUCCUAAAUCAUCAUUUAUUAAAAUAUCUUUGUUCUUCAAUUUGUAUAUCUACUCUUUGAGAGAGUUUUGUUGUAAUUUUCAAUUCCUCAUCAAAUUUGUGAGUGUUUAAGUGUGUGAGACACUUGAGUGAAGAUAUUGGGAGAUAAUCUCUUUUUUGUAAAGGUUCAUUGACACCUUGGAAGUCAAUUGUAAGCUUUUGAAGCCUUGGAAGGCUUAGAUAGUGAAAUCCUCAAGCUUGGGUUGCUUGGUGGUGUGGACGUAGGCGGUGAUUGCCGAACCACGUAAAAAUCCUUAAGUUUGCUUUCUCUUCCCUUACUCUUUUAUUAUUGUGCUUUCAUUGAAAUUAUUGUUUUCGAAUUUAUUAAGGCAUUAGAUUGGAUUGUUGUGUGGUUUGAUUAUGAUAAGUUUUAAAAACCCAAUUCACCCCCCCUCUUGGGUUGCAUAACUUGUAUUUCAACCCGACCCAACCUCUCUGCCAGAUUCGAGGUGAAUCUUGUGAUCUUAUAUCUAAAGCUUGUGACAUAAAUUUAAUUCAUGAAUACAUAACACUAGCCUCGGCCUUUGUUAUAAACAAGUAAUAACAUAUGUACCUCAUUCAAAAAUAUAUUCAAAACUUGCGCAGUUCACAUCUUACUGUACAUACUUACACUUUAGAUAUAUACAUAUAAACACAAACGUGUUUGAAAUAUAAGUCACGCAGUAAUGCGUGUUGUGGCCCAACCUCAACUGAUUAGAAACUGAAAUGCACGAAAUCCUAUGAAAAUCUUAAAGAAAUGGGAUAAGUAGGAAAAUAAUAUACUUGUAGCUAAAUGAAUGGAUAUAAUUGUGUGUGUGUGUGUGUAUAUAUAUAUAUAUAUAUAUAAAUUAGUGCUUUAGUGCUUGUACAUAAUUAUAUGACAUAACUUCGCACUGAACACAUUACACAAGCAAAUAUGAAAUUAUAUAUAUAUAUAUAUAUAUAUAUGAUAAAACAGCACCAAAUAAUAUGUAGGAGAAAUAACUCUCAAUAUUUAUUGGAAUCAUCAUUGCACAAGUAAAGUGGGGGGAAAAUCUCUCAAUACUCAGCGGAAUUAACUACAUCACAAGGGUCGAGUAAUCUAAGUCUCACUACACAUGCAUAGAGCCUAUGGGGAAGGGUACACAUAUGGUAGCUGGCAAUCACAUCUCAUAAUUGAAUUAAUCAUAUAAUAUGCGUACAUAUAAUCAUAACAUGAUACUAAAUCAUACUAUCAAACAUAAAUACUUUGUAGAAUACAUAUAAAUAAUAAUAGUAAUCCACACACAAAACAUGUUUCACUUCGGGGUUCGUUGGAGCUCCUAUAGAUUCCUUAAUGCUUGGAUUUCUCCUAAAAUAUAGGGUUCAAAAAUUAAUUGUUAGAACUGAUAUAAAAACUUAUACAUAUGACAUAAACUAAAUCAUAAUUGUUCAAAUUUCUUAAAUACGUUACCUACUGACUUAUUGGAUAUAGGUAUAACUAUCCAAUUCUCUUUCCUAUAAUAUUUCCUCUCAAUUGCUCUUUUCAAAAUCAUUUCUCACUCUCGGUUUUUCUUUUCUUUAUUUUUUCUUCUUCAUCUUUUGUUCUUCUGUUCUUUUCCUCUUCUUUCUUCAUCUUUUCUUCUUUUGUUCUUUUCCUCUUCUCUUUUCCUUUUGUUUUCUUCCCUUCUCACCUUUUCCUUUCUUUUUCUUUUCUCUUUGAAUUGCUUUGUUUUAGUUUGAUUCAUGAAAAUGGUGACAGCUGCUUCAAUUCUUUACUUUAUAUAUAUCCAUUGCUUCCGAUCACGCAUGACAAGCACAUAGGUGAAGCAUGCAUGUGCUUUGCUUUAAGCUGACAGCUUGCUAAUUAGCCACAUGUGCGUCACAAUACAUGCAUUAAUUGAUUGUAUUAUUUUUAAUAUAUUAUAUCAUUUCUUUUAAUGAAGGAUGUAGCCAACAAUUUUAUCCAGCUAAACAUGUUCUUUGACAUAUAAUACAGUUUAUGGUCCAAAAACUCAUAAGUAGUUGAAAUUAAAUUAUUUUUUAAUAUCAAUUUUACUUUUCUCUCAAUUUUAAAAUACUUUAAAAGAUUUUCAAACACAAGAUACAGUGGUAUACAAUUGAAGCCUAAUCCAACAUAGAAAGAUUAAAUAAAAUUAAUUUUCAUCACUACGCAAGAGACUUGAAAGGACAUUAAGGUAGCGUUUAUUUUUAAUUUAAAGUAUGAAUAGGUUAGAAUUUGAUUAAAAUUUGAAUGGUUUUGAAUAUAAAUGUUUCAAUAACAUGUUUAUUUUUUUAAUAUAUAAAAAUUAAGUGGCAUCUUGUUUGCUUUUAUAAAGAAAACACAUUAAAUGUAGUUAUUUAACAUUUAUGUCCUUAUAAGUCAAAACGAAUAAAAGGGAUUAGGUUUCGUAGUUUAUGAAAUAACUAUAUUGAAUUGAAAUAUUUUUAGGAUAUAGUAUUUAUUUUCCGGGUAAAAGCUCAUUUAGUCCCUGUAUUUUAAUAUUAGUGUCCAUUUAGUCCCUGUAUUUUUAAAAAUGUCUCGAAACAUCCCUGUCGUCAAAGUAUUGAUACCCCUACCGUUACUUUUUAUUUAUUUUGGUUUACUUUUACAAUAUUACCCUUUUAUAAUAAUUUUUUUGUUUGGACAUUAAUAAAAAGAAAAUAAUUAAAUUACCAAUUUAACCCUAAAAAAAUUAUAUUAAUUUUUAAUUGUCAAAAUUAAAUUGUCAAAAAUUGUAUGCAAACUACCAAGGGUGCAAAUGGUGCUUGCAAAAAAAUUAAUAUAAUUUUUUUAUUUUCUAGGGUUAAAUUGUAAUUUAAUUAUUUUCUUUUUAUUAAUGUCCAAAAAAAAUUAUUAUAAAAGGGUAAUAUUGUAAAAGUAAGCCAAAAUAAAUAAAAAGUAACGGUAGGGGUAUCAUACUUUAACGACAGAGAUGUUUUGAAAUAUUUUUAAAAAUACAGGGAUUAAAUAGAGACACUAAUCUUAAAAUAUAAGGAUUAAAUGAGUUUUUACCCAUAAAUAAUUAAUCAAACAUGGAAAAGUAAUCGAAAUUGAAAAAUCUAUACAGAUAGGGAAAUUCUCCUUUUGGCAUCAAUGGGUCUACAUAAUUUAUUUUGCAUCAAUUAUGCACCAUCACAUUCUUCAACUGCUUUCAAUUAUUUAUGCUCCAAUAAUUGCGAAUUGUUCUUUUCAGUGCAAUCAACUUGCAACUCCCCUAAUCGCAAAAAAACUUACAACUUCCCUUUCAUAAAUAGUAGUGCCCAUUUCCCCAGUAGUCUCGCAUUAACAUUUAAACAUGAUUAUCAAACACUUGGUUUAGUGGUGACCCUUUAUUUUUAAGGUCAGAAGUUACCUAAUCUUUUCAUAUAGAUAUGGGAGUAGAUUUUUUUGUUUUUCUCCCAAUUUCACAGUAAUUAGCUAGUAAACCCCUCUAACCUUAGAGAAGAGUUGAGAAGUUAUGGAUCGAAUUUCUAAUUGAUUACAUUAAAAAUGGUUCCGUUAAUUUCCAUCAAACUUAUUUUUAUAAUAUCAAUACACUAAGGGCGUGUUUGGCGCCCCGCAUAACACUGUAUUAGAACACCAUAUUGUAUUAAGAUAUUACAAUAAAAUGUUUGGCUGCUAUGUGGUAUUGCAUAAAAAAUAAUUAAUGCAGCAAAACCCAUAUAAUGGAAUCUAGCGUGAGUGUCGAGUUGAUUUGAUUUAAUUUUUAUUUUACAGAUUAUAUAUUUAAAAUAUACUGAAAAAAUAAAUGUUAUGCUACUAAAAAUUUAAGGUCAUAAACUCAAAUCUUUAUGAAGAAUGAUGAUAUAUUUUUUAACAUUUAUAUUACAACAAUAAUGUUAAAUUUUCAAAAUUUAAGACUUUUAUAUUCAAUAUUUGUCUAAGUAUUAAAUAUUAAUAAAUAUUAUUUUCUAAAUAUGUAAUUUAAAUUAAUCAGCAAAUGAAUUAAUACAGUACAAUGCAACACCAAACAUAGUGUAACUAAAAAUUAAUACAGUAGAGCACCAAAUAUUGUACAAUAUUAUUAUAAUAUAGUGUUAAUAUAAUACAACAUAAUACAAUACACCUGCAUUAAAAUAAUAUAAUACAAUGUGUCAAACGCACCCUAAUUGUAUUGCAGUAUCUAAAAAAAAAAGAUAAUUAGACCAUUUUAACCAUGAUUAUCUAACAUUAGAUUGAAUUAAAAGAGUCAAAAUUUAUGUUAAAAUUUUAAAAUAAAAAAUUGAAGUUACAAUAUUCCGAUCCAUUAAAAAAAAAUGUAUUUAACCAUGACCAUUGACUAGUCAACACUCACCAGCUUAAAGUAGUGUACAUAUUCGGACACUCACAAAUUCUUUAAUGGAAAAGUGCCACUUACUAAUUCUUAUGUUCAAGUACAGUAGACAAAUAAGUUAAGCAUUCAUUUCUCUACAAUAAAAGUACCAGUCUUCACUCUUCACUCCAUAAUUAGAAGAGUGGGUCUGCCUACAAUGGACCCAUGCAUCUAAAUCUUCAAUUAGAUUUGAUAGGCAGCCAUAAAUCAAUUGACAUGUGUUUUGAUCUAACCGGUUACCCCGUUGAAGCCACAAUUCUCCCGCCAAGUUAAUGAUUCUAAUUGCACUCAAAAAAAAAAAAAUUUCACAAAUUUGUAAAAGAUUCCAUUUUUUCUAAGUACGCUUACUUUUGUUGGAACACAAAGGGUAAAAGUACAUUUAAUCUCUGUAUUUUUAUUCCAGUAAAAAUUGUAAAAAUUUAUUUUUUUAAUUUAAAUGUAAAUAUCUAAAAAUCAAACAUAUGUUACAAAAAAAAACUAAUUUUUUUAAAAUAAGUUAAACUUCAUAUGUUUAAAAUAAACGCUAAGGAACAUGAAUAAGAGCUAUUAAAACAAAAAAAGAAUAAUUUUGAAACUAAAUACAAUUAAUUGAGAGAUGAGGACCGAUAAGAUAAAUUCAUAGAUAAAAAUUAAAAUAUCAACCUUACUUAUUGCCGGCAGUUAUGAGCAUUAAAGCACAGAAGCACGUGUGUUGAAAAGUAUGGUGUUCGUGUGGAAUUUUCAGCUAGAAGUGGACGGUGGCUGGACAAUGAGAUGAAAUUGAAAGAUUAUCACGGAACUUGAAGGAAGGUUCAUGGCAUCGAUUUAUUCUAAAGAGUCACUACAUUUGGUUCAAUAAUUGUUUUCAUUCGAAUCAAAAUCUCUCUCUAAUCAAUUCAACUGUUUCUGUUGAUUAUGGCUUCUUCUUCUCGAAACGACAAGAAGUAUGAUGUUUUUGUUAGUUUCAAAGGAGAGGACACCCGCGACAACUUUACUAGCCAUCUCUGUUCUGCUCUGUGUCGACAAAAUAUCCAAACUUUCAUUGAUGACCAACUUAACAGAGGAGAUGAAAUUUCGGAGUCACUUGUGAAUGCAAUUGAAGCAUCAGCCAUUUCAGUUAUUGUCUUCUCAGAAGGGUAUGCAUCUUCCAGAUGGUGUCUCGAUGAACUUGUCAAGAUCCUCGAGUGCAAGAAACAGUAUGCACAGAUUGUGAUUCCGGUUUUCUAUCGGGUUGAUCCAUCAGACGCGAGAAACCAAACAGGGCCUUUUGGGAUUUCAUUUUCGAAGCUUGAAGAAAGAUUUAAGGAGAAUUCAGAGAAGCUUCAGACUUGGAGGAAAGCUUUGAAGGAAGCAGCCAGUUUGUCUGGCUUUCAUUCUUUUAACAUCAGGUGAAAAGUUACCUUUAAUUUCUCAUUCUAAUAUUUAACAAUAAAUAAAAUUCACUCAGCACUCUUAGUUAAAUUUCCGGCUGCUAAACUACAAUUUUAAAAAUUUUUAAGCAUCAAAUUCUAGACUUCCUGACUUCCCCACUUUUGUGCUCUCAUAAUUAUAAAAUAAUUGUGACAGAAUUAAUAAUAAAAGCUCGAGAAUUUUACAAUAUAUAUGUAACAAAAUUAGUGGUGGUCUGUCGUUUUUUAAGCAAUUUCAACCCCUCACUCAGAUACCACCAUUACCAAAAAGAAAAGAGAAAUUAUCAUUGCACCACCUCUCUUUUACCUUAUGUUCAUCCAACCAUCAUAAAAUUUUAACAUGUUCUUUGCACCACAUUUCUUUUUAAAUUUGUAUUAAUUAGUUACUUUUGAACUAAUAUCGUUAAAUAANNNNNNNNNNNNNNNNNNNNNNNNNNNNNNNNNNNNNNNNNNNNNNNNNNNNNNNNNNNNNNNNNNNNNNNNNNNNNNNNNNNNNNNNNNNNNNNNNNNNGUAUUUUCUAGGUGUGAGUCGCAACUUACAAAUGAAGUUGUUAAUAACAUUUUGAAGAGAUUGGAUGAAGUGUUUCAGCCGCGCGAUAACAAAAACCAGCUGGUUGGAGUGGAAUCAACAGUUGAGGAAAUUGAAUCUCUAUUAGUUGUUGAGUCGAAAGAUGUUUACGCUUUAGGGAUUUGGGGCAUUGGUGGUAUAGGCAAAACAGCAAUUGCUAGAGCUAUUUUCGACAAAAUCUCAGGUGAUUUUGAAGGUUCUUGCUUCCUCGAAAAUGUUAGAGAAGAGUCACAAAGACCAGGAGGAUUACCUUGCUUACGACAGAAACUUCUUUCAAAUUUAUUGAAGGAUAAAAAUGUGAUGCCUUAUAUUGACCUCAAUUUUAGAAGGUUAAGCCGCAUGAAGGUUCUGAUUGUUUUUGAUGAUGUGACUUGCUUCAGCCAAUUAGAAUCUUUAAUUGGAAGUCUUGAUUGGUUUACGCCUGUGAGUCGAAUCAUAAUAACCACCAGAAAUAAACAAGUGCUUAGAAAUUGGGGGGUGAGGAAAAUCUAUGAGAUGAAGGCAUUAGAAUAUCAUCACGCUAUUGAGCUUUUUAGUCGACAUGCCUUCAAACAAAACCAUCCUGAUGUUGGUUAUGAGGAACUUUCAAGCAAAGUAAUGAAAUAUGCUCAAGGUGUUCCUUUAGCUCUUAAAGUUUUGGGUUGCUUUCUAUAUAAAAGGGAAAAAGAAGUUUGGGAAAGCGCAACAGAUAAAUUGCAAAGAAUCCUCCAUCCAAGUAUUCUAGAGGUAUUAAAAAUAAGUUAUGAUGGUUUGGACGAUAAAGAGAAAAGUAUUUUCCUUGAUGUUGCUUGUUUCUUUCAAGGUGAGGAUGUAAAUCCUAUAAUGAAAUUCUUUAAUGCAAGCGGCUUCUACCCAGAAAUAGGUAUAAGUGUUCUUGUUGAUAAGUCUCUCAUUGCUAUUGAUUCACACAAAAAGAUAACAAUGCAUGAUUUAUUACAAGAAUUGGGUAGGGAAAUUGUUCGACAGGAAUCAAUUAAUCCUGAAAACCGCAGUAGAUUGUGGCAUCAUGAGGAUAUUUAUGAAGUUCUUACAUAUAAUAAGGUAAGCAGUUUGUUGUGGAUUAUUAUUUUGGAAUAAUGUAGUGUUUAAAAACUUGAUGCCAAUAUAUUUACAUACGGUCGAACUUAUGAGUCUUAGAAUUAAUAGAAGAGUGGCACUGAUUAGAAAAAACAAUAGUGGUUAGAUGAUGUAGUAAUAAAUUAUAAAUGCGAGACAACUUGCAUAACCAUUUGUAAGCAUAAUUGAUAUGUAAAUUUGUGUAGUACCUGUGUUCUUAUGUUUCUUGUGCAUUUGCAAUUAAGUGUUUAACUGCCUAGCAAUAACUAUAAACAUGAAUUAUUGAAAUUUGAUACGAGUAAUGACAGAGAGCCCCACUCCAAUCCCACAUAAACUCCAUACAAGAAUAAAUAAAAAUUAAUAACUAAGCUACCUCUAAUUGUGAAUUAGUGACAAAAUUGCCCCAAAAAUUUGUCUCGGUGGGGUUGAAGUUUGAUUCAUUAGUGGAAUAUACAUAUCUUUCAUUUGAUUUUAACUUUAUUUAUUUUUAUUUAUUUUUAGGGGACAGAAAAAAUUGAGGGCAUCUGCUUGGAUAUGUCAAAAGUAAAAGAGAUCCGUUUAAAUCCCAGUACUUUCACAAAGAUGCCUAAAUUGAGAUUUUUAAAGUUCUAUAGUUUAUCAUUCAAUAGAGAGAACAAAUGUAAGGUGCCUUAUUUGCAAGACCCUGGAUUUGCUGAAGUGAAAUAUUUUCACUGGCAUGGAUAUCCGUUGAAGUCAUUGCCUUCAAACCUUAGUGGAGAGAAGCUUGUGUUACUUGAAGUGCCUGAUAAUGACAUUGAACAACUUUGGGAUUGUGUGAAGGUAUGCAUAUCUUAUUAUAUAUGUGCAAUCUUUCAAUAACAAUAUUAAAUUAUUAUAGUAAGUAACGAUUUUGUCUUGGCCUCUUUUUUGACCGAGCAGCGUUAUAGUAAGUUAAACCAGAUAAUCCAUGCUGCCUACAAUAAGCUAAUUGCCAAAACUCCAAAUCCCACGUUGAUGCCACGUCUGACCAAGCUAGUUAUCUUGAAUCUAAGAGGUAGCAAAAGCCUGAAAAGUCUUCCAUCUGGAAUAUUUAACUUGGAAUUUCUUACCAAACUUGAUCUUGCGGGCUGCCCAAAACUGAAAAGGCUUCCAGAGAUCUCAUCAGGUAAUCUAAGCUGGUUUUUUUUAAGGGGGACUGCUAUUGAAGAACUGCCCUCAUCAAUUGAGCGUCUACUUAGGCUUGGGUUCUUGGACCUUUCAAAUUGUAAAAGGCUUAAGAGUCUCCCAAGCAGCCUAUGGAAGUUGAAAUCUCUUGGAGUUCUUAAUCUCUGUGGUUGCUCAAAUCUUCAGAGAUUGCCCGAAUGUCUUGGCCAAUUAUCCUCGCCAAUAAUAUUGAAUCUAGCGAAAACCAAUAUUGAGAGAAUACCAGAAAGCAUUAUCCAACCUUUCAUGUCGCGAUACCUCCUCUUAAGUUAUAGUGAGAGACUUCAAUCCUUACCAAAGCCUCCAUUCCUUGCACGAGGUUGCCUGGCACUGCAACCAUUCUUAGGUUUGUUCUCUAAGUUAUGAAUCUUAUAGGCAAUGUUUUUUGACCGGAGCAAUAAUUUUAAAUUGGAAGGUAAUUCUACUGCAGGAAUUGUUGAAGAUAGCCAGAGAAUUCCGCAUAUGGACCAUAAGCUAGCUGUCCGUUGGCAAGAAAUACAGGAAAAUGUGUGUCUUUAACUCUCUCUGUUUAAAAUUUCUACAAUUUUUUUUUGGGUUUAAAAUUAUAAUUUUUUGGUACAGAGAGGUUUUUCCAUGGGCAAAGUUCAUAUCGUAAUGCCUGGGAAUGAAAUUCCAAAGUGGUUUCAGUUUCAAACUGUGGGAUCUUUUAUAACCUUGGAGAUGCCACCAGAUUUCUUCCGUAAUAACAUAGUGCAGGGCAUUGCAUUUUGUGCUAUUUUAGCAUUUUCAGACCGUCAUGUAGAUUGUGGCAGAAGGUUUUCAUUUUCUUUUGAGCUCAAAGUGAAAACCACCAAAGAUUGUGGUCCCCAUGACACACAGUUAUUUCAGAGCAGAGUUAAUUAUAUAGAAUCAGAUCAUUUACAUUUGGGGUACUAUCUGUUCCGCGAAGAGGAUUUUAAUGGUUUUUGGAAAUGCAAUUGCAUUCCUGAGGCAGUCCACUUUAAUGUUUUUCCACCUUUGGAGUGCCAGUGCUGCGGGGUGAAAAAAUGUGGGAUCCAUUUACUUCACACCUCAGACUCUACGAAUUGAAUAGAAAAUCCAAGCACGUGUUUCAACUAUAACGAAGAAGACUGAGAUUUUCAUGAAUGUAGUUUCACUGUUUUCCUUUUUCUAAUGACAAUUAAUAAUAGGAGAAAAUGCCAAAAUCAGUUCUUAGAACAAGACAUCCAUGUAAUAACUUUCGAGGGAUCUGGUUCAUGUAACACAAAUUCACACUAGAGAACUUUACCUUAUUAGGCGAAGAGUAUAAUGUAUGAAAAGCACGUGAUGUGCAUUGUAAAAUUAAAAUUAUUGGCCUUCUUUUUCUUGCUUUGUGCACACAACACAUCACGAUUUUGUUAUUGAACCUUACAACUCAAAACACAUCCACGUAGUUAGGAGAGCACAUGACUUAUACACCAGUAAUAAAACUCACAAGCUAGGCGAUGUCGGAUAUUACAGGACACACAACAGUUCUUAUUGGCGGAGCUAUGUUGUGGGCCCAUAUCUCUAUCAAUGAAAGCAUGACACUCACCCCAUUGCGCACCAUAUAAACUCUCAUCUUUAUAAUGCAAUCACAUUUGAAAACUCUCUACUUUCUCAAAUCUAAAUUGUUGUAUAUGGGAAAGUUUCAUCAUGUGGAAACAAAAGCCAUAAAGAGGGAACAGUUAAAACACCAUAAAAUCUUAUAUAUUUAAAAAAAGGUUAAUGCUAAGUUACAUGCAUGUAACUUACAACCCUCUCACAUGAAUAGCGAAUGAUGUGAGCCCACUCACUAUUCAUGUGAGAGGAUUGUAAGUUACAUGCAUGUAACUUAGGGGGAUCCUUAAAAAAAUAUAUUUGUAUACUGAUUAAAAAAAAAAAGGAUAGGUGUCAUUUUCACUCAAUUUAUUUGUGUUGUGAAUCCAUAUGCUUAAACAUAUGUGCACUUUUUCAAGUAUAUGUACCAAUUCCAUAUUCGGAAUGGUGCAUUUGAUUCCAUAGUUGACGUGGUAUCAUCUAUGGCUGGAAUUUAUAUUUAUAAAACUGACUUGUAAGGAAAGGAUUGAAGAUGCCUGUGAACUUAUAUUUCGAUUUAGAUUGUUGUAUCUUUUUCAUGUAUAAAAUUGGAUCCUAUCGUUCACAUAUCGUUAACAUGAGCAAUAUAGAUUGCUAAAUCAUUGUUCUUUAUUAUUGUGCUGAAUUUGACUUUUCAUUGAAUAAUUUGAUACAUGCCUUGAAUCAAUUUGGACUUUUACAACUUGUCGGGGAUCAGUUUCUCCUACAUUCUUUUCGGCGCCAAAAGAUAUUCAAGCGGUUGAAUAAGAUUUGAUAUAUACAAUAUAAAUGCGAGAGUUGUUUGUCUUUUUACAAUAGGAAUAAUAUAUAAUGCUCAUAAAAAAAUUUCGUUGACCAACUCGGGUCUGUCGUCAUGGGGACUGAUGGGUGUCGAAGCCAACAAAAAUAAAUUCCUACUCUAAAUAAAUUGUGUAUAGUGAUUGAGCAGGGUCGUGUCCACAGAGAUCGGUAAUUAUUUAAAUCCUUUUGAAACGUAAAACGUAAAAUGGGGGAAUUGUUGACAAUAAUAAAAAUCAAAUUAAAAAUAACAAGAAUGCAAAUUAAAGUUGUAAUUCAAAUUGGAGAAAGCUCUGGUUGAAGGAAUUAACUCAGCUUGAUUCAACUACUGAUCAUUGAUUCAAAUAUAGAUUAUUAUUACUCAUGAAUAGACCGGUUAUAGCUACUGAGACCCUCUAAUAGCCAAUCUCUCCUUAACUAGUCGAUAACCAAGGUACGACCGUUGGUUAUUUCCCUAAUCAAUAGACAACCCUAGAUACGAUCAUAGGAUUUAAUCAAUUGAUAGCCUGAAAAACCAGAGAGACCCAAAUCAUAAUCAACACAUAUGAUGAUUCAUUUAAAUUAGAUUGUUUAUUCUCACAACACAACUCUCUGAUAUGUUAUUUGUCACAAACAUUAAAUUCUUCAUACGAUGAAUCCUUUAAUUGACAAUAGAUUAAGUUGAUAAUUAAAUAGUGGCCAAUUACCUAAUUAACAAACAUAAUCAUGAAAAUAAUUCAGAGAAUAAACAAAUACUCAAAAAGCAAUAAAACAAUUAAAGCACAAGAAAGAUCUCACAGUAGUGAUGAAUCAAAGCUUCAUUAUCCUUCAACCAGAAAAAUAGGUUUAGUUCUUCAUAGAGAGAAGAGAAAAAUUAAGAUCUAGGGUUUAUUUCUUUUUCUCCAAUCCAAAAAAUCCCCCAUUUUCACAAUAGAUUCCUCCCUUAAAUACUCUCUCUCUCUUCUCUUUUAGAAUUCUAUUUAAAAUAAAAUCCUAAUAUCUGAAAUAUUAAAUUCGUAAUUACAAAAAUAGCCAAAAAUAUAAAACAUGUUAAACUAAAAACUGCAGGUCCGCAGUUGACAGCACGCGCCCACGCCUUAUCAACAAAGUUCUUCUGCUGCUCAUAAUUUCUCCAAGGGAACAAUCAUCCCUAAACAUCAUCUUGUAGCUUAAUUUUAUCACCAAUCAAUAGAAUUGCACCUACAAAAGUAAAUCACAAGUAAAUCACUAUUAUUAAGUGCAAAACAUCGAUAUUAAGGGAAGUAAACAAUGCAAAACUAGUGCAUAAAUUGCACUCUAACAAAUUCCCCCACACCAAGAUGAUGCUUGUCCUCAAGCAUAUAACUCAAGAUUAAUCUCAAAUCUCCACUAAAUUCUCAUCUCAACUCAUCCAAAAACAAUUUUAAGCAAGCAUACCUCAAGAAAUUAAGUCGUUCAAUGUUCGAGAGACAAGGAUUUUAAAGCAUAGAAUUUCGUAAGAUAGAAUAAGAACAUUCAACCACCAAGAAGAUCCAUUCAAAAUUCAAGUGCAACAAGAUUUAAUAGCCCUCUCAAUAACUUCACUCCAUGCACUCAAAGUGUUUAGGGUGUCAUUUAUCCACUCAAAUCAAAUCAAAGAAUGCUAUUACCAUAAGCUUGCUCAUAUAUCACAUCUCAAUCCACACAACAUGAAUAAAAUGCAAAAAUCUAAGGGUCUUAAAAGGGUUGUAAUGGGGUUAAAUAGGUGAAAUGAAAAAGAAAGGUCUAUGAAAGAAAAAUAGAUAAAAUGAGAAGAAUGAACUCAUUGAAUGAACUUAUGAUAUCAAAAUGCUUAUUUCUACUCAAGUCACCAAGAAUGUAAACUUUUUUUUUCGAUUUUUCUUUUUCUUUUUCUUUCUUUUUUUUUUCUUUUUUUUUCGUUUUUGUUUUGUUUUUUUGAUUGAUUUUUUUUUAAUCAAACAAAAGAAACGAACCUUGCACAAUUUAAUUCAAGCAUAAUGCUUGUUGAUCUAAUUGAGAAACUUUAAUACAAGGUAGAAAAAGCAACAAAAUAUAACCACACAAUGAGUUCAAAAAUCUCCUUAAAUUGAGGCUCAAAAAGAAGAAAAAUGGUUAAGUCAACGGAGAGAAUUAGAUGGGUAAUGGUUAAGGCUCAAACAAAGGUAGCAAAUAAAGGUCUUCGGGUAGAGAAAAAAAAUGCGAGAAUAGAAAAAUGGAAUAUGGUUUGCCCUUAUCAUUUUAAUGCAUAAAAUCCCGUAAUGUGGCUUCAACAUGCAUAACAAAGCAAGUUCUAGAAUAAACAAACUAAGAUUGAUAUUCACAUAACAAAAUAUUAGAGCAAAGUGGUUGCUUAUAGGCUCAAAUCCUCACAAAGUUGGUAAAUUUGCCAUCAAAUCAUGUACACUCUUCAAAUGAAUCAACCAUCAAUAAUGGUGUAGAAUGAGAAGAAGGUAUGAGUGAUAUAUAAAAGAAAAGGUAAAAAUGAUAAGAAGUGAGAAAGACGUAUGUAGUAAUAUGAAAAGUGAAAGAUAAAAUGUGAGUGAUGAAAGAGUAUGAUAGAAUAAAAAUAGAUGUAAAUAAUUUGAGAUAGAUGGGAAAAGAGUAGUGAGAAAGAAAAGAAAAGAAAAAAAUAAUAAUAUAUGAAGCAUACUAACUCCAAAAUCAUUUAAGGAUGAGUAGAGUGAAAAUAGAUGAGUAGAGUGAAAAUACUACUUCUAGACAUCAAUAAUGCAAAAAUCCCUCCCCCACACCAAGAACUUACAUUGUCCCCAAUGUAAGAUAAUCAAAGCUCACAUUAAAAUUAAAGCGUAAGAAUAAAAGAUUAAAGGCAAAAAGAAACUUCCCUGAAUUGUGAGCUUUGAUCCAUAUAACGUCUAUGGGCUUGGCGGAAAUGGUGGGGUAAAUCCCACACUCUCGAAGUAUGCGGCCAAAUUAUGCUCCAUCUUGUUCAGCUUGUGCUCCAUUUUCUCUAACUGAAUGCUCAAAGGUGGUGCGGAUGUAGAAGGAGUAAUUGGCGGGGCAGCAGUGUCGUCGUCAAACUCGUCAUCAGAGGUAGCACCACUCCUAGCAUAAAGUUUCUUCGGAAGUUGAGUGGGUCUUGGUUCAGUAAACUGAAAUCUCCCCUCCUUGAAUUCGACCACACCUAUUCUUUCAAACACAGACAUAUCCAAAAAUUCCUUUUUACAAGCAGGAUGCAAAUCAUUAUUGUCGGGAUCAAGCACACAUAGGUUUAUAGCUAACAUAGUAAUGUAUGGACCAAGAAAUAAAGUCCUAUACCGUUUAAGCACACUUUGAAAUUGAUCCGCUAACCAAAAACCUAAAUUAGGCCUCACAUCAUUUAACAUGCACCAGAUAAAAUAAAAUUCAGUUUUAGAGAAAACUCCUGAGUGAUCUUUCUUGCCUAAAAAAUUAUAUGCUAAGAAUCGAUGCACACAUUUCAAAACAGGAUCACGUAAGAAAGAACUCUUUGAUUUACUCGGGUCAUAGGCAUUGUGAUCAACAGAUAAAUUAAGCCAAAGACCAUAAGGCUCAAAAUUUUCACUAAAGUCACAAGUUUUUCCUAAAUAUGCAUCACUAGAAGAAUAAUCAUCAUUAAUGAAUCCUAAAGCUAGGUUAAAAUCCGUGAUAGAGUGUGAAAAAUUUCGUCCCAUUAACCUAAACUUAAUGACAUCCGAGGUAUGCAAAGUAAAAUCAUUCGGCAUAUGAAAUUGAAAAGUAGCAUAAAACUCCCUAAUCAACUCAACAUAACCCAAACAAUCAACAUCAACAAAUUUACGCAACCCAAUCUUAUCUAUCAAAGAAUCAAAAUUAUCCUUAACAUUCAAUUUUUCAAGAGUCGGGUAAUGAAUAUACUUAGCUGGAAGUAUUUUGCGCAUGGAAAUAUCUUUGUACCUCUCUUUCUCUUGUUGAGUCGCGAAUGCGAGGCACCCUCCGAGAUUGGAUUCCGCAAGUGGCAAAACACUCAUGCCUUUUCCAUGCUUCAAUCUUUGUCUCACGGCUUGGCGUGAAUCUGAAAUUGUGUUCCAUGGAACCGUAGUGGGAGCGGCAAUCUUAGAUUUCUUGGCGACGGGUUUUUUUUUCGAUGACUUGGAAGUAGAUGCUUUCCUCUUCGGCAUUGUUACAAUAAUUGCACUCACGGAUUUCGAUUUACCCGGCUGGAAUACAGGGCGUAGGCUGGUUGCGUUGCGUUGCUGCGUUGUGGGCUUGCGUUGCGCGCUGCUGAGGCUUGCUUUGCGGGUGCUGCGCUGUGUUGCGCGCUAGUGAUUCGCGUUGCGUUGCUGGGCUGGAUCUACGCACUGCUGCGUUCGCGUUGUGUUGCGCGCGAGAGCUGGUUCGCGCUGCUGAUCCGUUGUGCGCUGGUGGGGCUUCGUUGCGCACGGCUGGAGCUAAGAAUCUGCGUUGCUGGGGCUUGCGUUGCGCGCGACUGAUGCUGCAUUCUCCGGCUGGCUGGUUUGCUGCUGGCGUGCUGCAAACGGCUGGAGAAGAAAACAAUUUCUGGAAAAUUAGGGAUUUUGUGAACAGUAAAAUUUUUUUUUUUUGAACAAUGAUUUUUUUUUGAUUUUUUUAAAUAAAUAAAAUAUAUAUAUAUAUAAAAGAAAGAACAAAAGAAAUAAAUCAAUAAAAAAAUAAAAUAAAUUAAAAUUAAAAAAAAAUUUAUUUUUAUUUUUAUUUAUUUAUUUAUUUUUUUAGUGAUGAAUCACUUUGAGACACUAAAAAUUUCAGAAGUACUUUUCUAAUAAGCACGUGGGCACGCCUUAAAACUAUUUUACUUUAAAAAUUACAGAAGUACUUAUUAGUUAAGACGUGGGCACGCCUUAUCAAAAAUUUUCUUCUGACCAAAAUAAGCAAACACAUUAUUUAAAAAAAAAAUCUGAAUCAAAAUUAAAAGAAGAUAUAACAAAAACCAAAAUAAAUAAAUCACUUGGGUUGCCUCCCAAAAAGCGCCUUUGUUUUAUGUCUUUGGCUAGACACAUUUAUGCAUCAAUCUCCAUAAUUUGGACUCUCGAGAGCCACAUCCUCCACAAUAUUCACCGAAAAACCUUCAUAAAAAGGUUUUAAGCGAUGACCAUUAACCUUAAGAACUCUGUCAGAGGUCGGACUCCGAAUCUCAACUGCACCAUGAGGAAAAACAUUAGUAACAAUAAAAGGUCCAACCCAGCAAGAACGUAAUUUACCCGGAAAAAGUUUAAGUUUAGAAUGAAAAAGAAGAACUUUUUGACCAACAGAGAACUCCUUUCUCAAAAUCAUUCUAUCAUGAAAUGUCUUCGUCUUUUCCUUGUAAAAAACUUCCUUCACUAUAGGGUUAAUAACAUCCACAGAAAAUACCGAAUGUUCCUCACUAGGAUAUUUCAUGGCAUCAUUCAUAUUGAAUUCUAUAACCUCUCCAUCAAACUCCAUAGUGAGAGUCCCUUUAUGUAUAUCCAUUUUAGUCCUAGCAGUCUUAAGAAAAGGUCUUCCUAGCAAAAUUGGGACAGAAUUAGAGGAGUUAUCAUCUUCCAUAUCAAGUACAUAAAAAUCAGCAAGAAAAACCAACUCAUUAACUUGUACUAAGACAUCUUCUAAUACCCCAUCAGGAUAUGCAUUAGACCUAUCAGCUAGUUGAAUUAUCACACCAGUUUCUUUUAAUGGUCCAAUAUUCAAAGAUGAAUAAAUGGAACGAGGCAUGACAUUAAUAGAAGCUCCUAGAUCUAACAAAGCCUUUUCAACUCUAACACUACCAAUUUUACAAGGGAUAGUAAACAUACCUGGAUCCUUGCACUUAGGAGGUAGUUUCUUUUGGAGAACUACUGAAACAUUCUCCCCCAUGUGAACUUUUUCAUCUCCUCUUAAUUUUCUCUUGGAGGUGCACAGUUCCUUAAGGACUUUAGCAUAUCGAGGUAUUUGUUUUAUAGCAUCUAAUAAAGGAAUAUUUACCUCAACCUUGCGAAAUGUCUCAAGGAUGUCUUUCUCUUGUUCCUCCUUCUUGGAUUUUGCAAAUCGGCUUGGAAAAGGAGGAGGUAUCACAAUAGGUAGGGGUUUCGCUUUGGUGGGUUGUGCAUCUUGAGAUUGAGGCAUCAAUUCAUUCUUCUCAAGCUCAUCUUCUACAUGCUUUGUCACUUUCUUACUAGGCUCUUGCAACUCCGUCCCACUUCUAAGGAUGACAGCACUAACGUUUUGCUUUGGAUUCACCUCAGAUUGUGAAGGCAAUCUCCCUAAUACUUGAGACUCCAGACAGCUCACUGUAGUCGCCAAUUGACUCAUUUGGUUCUCCAAGUUCUGAAUGCUUACUGUAGUUGCCUGCUGAAAUUGUUGAGUGUUAGUCGCAAGCGAUUUAACAAUUUCUUCAAGAGAUAUACCUGACUUGGAGUUUGACUGUGGAGGUGCUGGUUGUCUUGGUGGAUACUGUUGUGGGAAUCCUGACGGCCUAACUCCAUAGCUGAAGUUGGGAUGAUCCUUCCAUCCCGGAUUGUAUGUUUGUGCAUAAGGAUCAUACCUCCUCUGAGGCAUGCCUGGAAAUCCUCCAACUACAUUGGCUUGUUCAACGGGUUCUUCUUGAAGUGUAGGACACAUAUCGGUUGAAUGACCCAUAUUGUAACAAAUGCCACAAGUCUUCACCUGUUGCACAUUACCUACAACAAACUUUUCCACAAGAGAAGUAAGUUUAUCUAAACGUUGUUCAACAGAAGAAAUAUUUACCUCAUUCACCUUCUUUGAAAUGGGAUCUUGCCUGCUGCCAAAUUGUUGUGCGUUGGCAGCCAUAUUUGAUAUCAACUCCCUUGCUUGCGUAGGGGUCUUGUUCACCAACACGCCUCCACUAGCAGCAUCUAUCAUACUCCUAUCCAUCAAUGAUAGUCCUUCGUAAAAAUAUUGAAUAAGAAGUUGAUAAAAAAUUUGAUGCUGAGGACAACUGGCACACAAUUGUUUGAAUCGCUCCCAAUACUCAUACAAAGUCUCUCCAGGAAGUUGUCUGAUCCCACAAAUAUCUUUUCUGAUGUUGGCAGCUCUUGAAGCAGGAAAGUACUUCUCAAGGAAUUGCUUCUUCAAAACCAUUCCACGUUGUAAUUGAUCCAGGAGGCAAGUAGUACAACCAAUCUUUAGCUAGCCCAUCUACAGAGAACGGAAAAGCACGCAGCUUAAUCUGCUCUUCAGUCACACCUUGUGGUCUCAUACUUGAGCACACAACAUGAAACUCCUUAAGAUGUUUAUGAGGAUCUUCACCUGCAAAACCAUGAAACUUGGGUAAUAAAUGAAUAAGACCAGACUUUAAUUCAAAAUUUACCUCCAAAUCUACAUAUUGAAUGUAGAGUGGUUGUUGAUUCAAGUCUGGUUCAGCUAACUCUCUAAGAGUUCUUUCUAUAGGUGCAGGUCUAUCCAUCACUUGUUCUUCUAAAUCGCUAGAUGAUUCAACUGAAUUAGGCACUAUAUCUGUUUCAGAAAGCAAAGGCGACGAGGAUCGUUGCUUAGCUCGCUUCGUCUGCUGUCUCAGCUGGCGAUCUGUCUUCUCAAUUUCAGGAUCAAAUGAAAGUGUACCUGUACGAGAAGAACGAACCAUACACCAAGUAAAACGUAAAAAGGAUUAAAUAAAUGACACCAAUCCCCGGCAACGGCGCCAAAAUUUGAUGGUUGUCGAAGCCAACAAAAAUAAAUUCCUACUCUAAAUAAAUUGUGUAUAGUGAUUGAGCAGGGUCGUGUCCACAGAGAUCGGUAAUUAUUUAAAUCCUUUUGAAACGUAAAACGUAAAAUGGGGGAAUUGUUGACAAUAAUAAAAAUCAAAUUAAAAAUAACAAGAAUGCAAAUUAAAGUUGUAAUUCAAAUUGGAGAAAGCUCUGGUUGAAGGAAUUAACUCAGCUUGAUUCGACUACUGAUCAUUGAUUCAAAUAUAGAUUAUUAUUACUCAUGAAUAGACCGGUUAUAGCUACUGAGACCCUCUAAUAGCCAAUCUCUCCUUAACUAGUCGAUAACCAAGGUACGACCGUUGGUUAUUUCCCUAAUCAAUAGACAACCCUAGAUACGAUCAUAGGAUUUAAUCAAUUGACAGCCUGAAAAACCAGAGAGACCCAAAUCAUAAUCAACACAUAUGAUGAUUCAUUUAAAUUAGAUUGUUUAUUCUCACAACACAACUCUCUGCUAUGUUAUUUGUCACAAACAUUAAAUUCUUCAUACGAUGAAUCCUUUAAUUGACAAUAGAUUAAGUUGAUAAUUAAAUAGUGGCCAAUUACCUAAUUAACAAACAUAAUCAUGAAAAUAAUUCAGAGAAUAAACAAAUACUCAAAAAGCAAUAAAACAAUUAAAGCACAAGAAAGAUCUCACAGUAGUGAUGAAUCAAAGCUUCAUUAUCCUUCAACCAGAAAAAUAGGUUUAGUUCUUCAUAGAGAGAAGAGAAAAAUUAAGAUCUAGGGUUUAUUUCUUUUUCUCCAAUCCAAAAAAUCCCCCAUUUUCACAAUAGAUUCCUCCCUUAAAUACUCUCUCUCUCUUCUCUUUUAGAAUUCUAUUUAAAAUAAAAUCCUAAUAUCUGAAAUAUUAAAUUCGUAAUUACAAAAAUAGCCAAAAAUAUAAAACAUGUUAAACUAAAAACUGCAGGUCUGCAGUUGACAGCACGCGCCCACGCCUUAUCAACAAAGUUCUUCUGCUGCUCAUAAUUUCUCCAAGGGAACAAUCAUCCCUAAACAUCAUCUUGUAGCUCAAUUUUAUCACCAAUCAAUAGAAUUGCACCUACAAAAGUAAAUCACAAGUAAAUCACUAUUAUUAAGUGCAAAACAUCGAUAUUAAGGGAAGUAAACAAUGCAAAACUAGUGCAUAAAUUGCACUCUAACAGGGACAAUGUCCUACUCCUUCCAAUACAAUUAACUUCACAUUUGAAAGUUGAGAAGGCAGAGAUUAGAAGUAUCUACCAACAGGUACAUCGAAGGGGGUGAAUGGAUCCUCAUCCCCCCAUAAAACUAGUACAGGUAUAGAGAUCGAUGGCAUCAAUUGCACGGGGUUCGGCCCUGAUGGGCCAGUCACAAUCGAAACAAAUGCAUCAAGUGCCCCUUCAUCAUUGGCGGGUUCUCGUAUGAUCCGCAGUUUUGAGGUUAAUUCAUGAAUUUUGGGUAGCCAAUUUUGUAAGAGGGUAAAAUGGCACAUAAGUGGAGAAUAUUAAUACCUCUACCAGUGUUUCAUCCACAGAUUCCUUAUUUGUAUAGAUGGACAGUAAAAUGGUCGUCCCUGCAGCACCAAUAUAUACACAUCAUAGAGUUUUUUUAUUUUUGACUCUAGUGUUUUAGGAUAACGAAAAAUGGACUGAAUAGAGAGAAGAGAAAAUACCUUUGUUUCACAUCUUCAAAGAUUGCAUCUGCAAUUGGCCUUUGCUUCAACAAAAAAUCUAUGAACCAAAGCAAUGGAAACAAUAGCUUGAUUCUCCAGUCGUCACCAAUGCCUUGUUGUUCAUGCCGCCACCAUAAUUCAACAGAACAAGCCCUCGAACAAGUGUUUGACUGGAUCCUUAUUGUAGAAAAUAUACCAGGUUUAUCGCAAACCUUAGUUACAAGAAGGCUAAUUAGGUGGUGCAAGUGUUUCUUUCCAAGCAAAUUGAAGAAUAUCUAAUGUCCAAGAGGAAGUUAAAAUAAAUAUACCUGAGGCGACAAUAACACAAGCUAGGCUUCCAACAUAAUUACCUAUAAGCACAGUUGGCUUUCGAACCACUUCAUCCAAGAAAUCCAGUAUUAGUUCUAUCAAUGAGUCUUACUCAAGUUAGCAAGGACAAUAACUAAAGGUCAAGCUAUUGAUAAUAUAAGUAAAGGAGUUGUGAUAUUUGACCAGUAAUAUAUCUCAUCAGCCCUAUUAAUCACUUUAUGUAAAUAUCUAUUUUAUCCUUGUAUGAAAUGAAUUAAAAAGGUAAAUAAUUAAUGAUUUUUAACAUUUGCGGAUGCCCACAAUUAUAUGUACACAAAAAUAAAUAGUAUAAAAAAUAAUACAUUAUCAAUAAAAAAAUUCACUAAAAAGAUAAAAAAUAUUCUUUAUCUUUUGUACUAAAUUUUGUUUACUUUUUUUUUUUUAUCAAUAAUGGGCUCUAAAAGAGCUAAAUCACCACUAAACGGGAUUGGGCAACCCCAGCUAUGUCGUUAUUAAGAAUGCUCUGUAAACUAGGAGGAGCAUCAGUAAGUAAUUGCAAGCCUAAAGGAAAGGACAAACUAAAUGAGGCCAGAAAAUCUGCCGCUAUGUUCGCUUCUCUAUAGAUGUGGUUCACUCUCACGAUCCAGUCCCUGCUAAGCAGCUCCCGAAUGGCAAGGAUGAGAGAGUGAUGCUCAUUAACAGGAGUGGUCGGAUUCUCCAAAAUUUGAGUAACAGAUUUGCUAUCAACUUCCACCCAAAUCCUUCGAAACCUUCUUUGCCAAGCCAUGCAAAGCCCGUGGUACAAGCCCCAUAUUUCCGCAGUAAGAACAGAACAAGCACCAAGGUUGAUGCAGAGCCCAAAUUGCCAAACUCCCCUGUAAUCCCUAACAAGACCUCCCACUCCUGCAACACCCGAUUCCUUCCUAGCACCAUCAGUAUUCAAUUUCACCCACGGCCAGGUUGGAGAGCUCCGACGGAUCCACUUCUCAACAUGUCUCUUCCCAACACCGAUAGAACUGUUGAAGCAUCUUUGAAUUUCAGCAACCCGCGAAUAAAUAUCCAGCAUGAUACGAUCACUUUCCCACUUCUCAUGAUUAAACAUGAGCUUAUUUCUCCAGAACCACAGCCUCCAAAUUACAACCCCAAAAGUUAACGACCACCCUUGUGAAUCACCAUGAGAGCUAGCCAUAUGAAGGUUAGUAACCAACCAAUCUGUGAGGCCAUCCAAAAAGAAACUUUGGUGAGUUCCAUUAAUCAAAAGACGCUUCCAAAUUACCAUUGAAUAGGGGCAGUCACGCAACACAUGUAGCAUAUCCGCCCGGACAAAUCCACAACGCUCACAAGCUGCAUCCAUGGCUAUUCCCUGAGAUGCAAGCUCGCAAUUAGUCUUCAGUCUGGAAUGAAGGGCUUGCCAAAUAAAAACUCUGAACCUCUGCGGUCCUUUCCAAGACCAAGCUAGCUUCCAAACCGAACUCUCCUCAGAUAGCCACGGCUUAGCAAGGAGCAUAUAAGCUGAACGAACAGUGAAGUGACCCGAAGGGGAUGCAGCCCAAUAAAAAAUGUCAGUCCCAUUGCUCGAAGACGGAGGCAUGAUGGACGCAAUCCGUAACAAAACGUGAUGGGGCAAGAGAUGACUAAAUUUGUUCCAGUUCCAGGAGCCAUUCAAAAGCGUAAACUGAGCAAUCGGUUGAAGACUUAUAUCACUGGGAAUGCUAGAGAGAGCUAAGUUCGCCAAAGGUUUAUCAUCGAUCACCCAACAGUCCCACCAAAAUCUGACAGUCAUUCCAUCACCAAUAGACCAGCACAGACCCCGUCUGGUAGGCUCCCAAGCUCUCCCCACAGCCUUCCAGAGAGGGGAACUUGCACUUGUACAGAAGUUAUGGUGGGUAUCAGUUGGGGAAAGACCAUAUUUAGACAACAAAACUCUAACCACAAGCUUUUCAGGUUCGGUCCUAAUAAGCCAUGCAAUUUUCAUUAUAAAAGCUUUAUUCAUGAGAGCAAGCUUCUUAAAGCCAAGACCACCAGCAGAUUUUGGUUGACAUACUCUAUCCCAACCAAUAAGGCUCAUUUUCCUAUGCUCCCCAUUACCACUCCAAAGAAAUCUUCUACACAUUUGUUCAAGCUUAGAAGUAAUACUUGUCGGCAGGUAAGUUGAUUGCAUUGCAUAGAUGGGAGCAACCUGUAGAACAGUCUGAGAUAGGGUGAUUCUACCUGCCAGAGAUAAAUGAGAGGCACUCCAACCCGAAAGCCUCUGAUCGACUUUAUCCAAAAUCUCCUGAUACGUGGAUUUUGUGAUACGCCCAUGGAGAAGAGGCAUUCCCAAGUACUUACCCAAAUCAGAGGUGGCAGUAAAUCCAAGCUCAUUACUAAGGGCAUGAACGGUAGGCCCUGGAACAUUAUGGGAGAAGAAAACUUGAGUUUUAGUUUUAUUCACCUUAGCACCAGAGCUAAGACAAAAAGAAUGCAACACUUUCGUGAUAAAUUGAGUUUGAUCUUUGGAAGCUUCAGCAAGAAGAAGCAAGUCAUCCGCAAAGAACAAGUGACUCAAAGGGGGACCCGAGCGAGACAACCGAAUUGGCCUCCACCUAUUCUGAUGAAUAGACUCAUAAAUCCCAUGACUGAGACGCUCUAUGCAGAGAACAAAAAUGUAGGGGGAUAAUGGAUCACCUUGACGAACACCCCGGCUAUGUGAAAUGUCCUCAGUAAACUCCCCCUCCCAUAAAACGUUCAUUCGAGCAGUUGUGAGACAACUCAUAAUUAGCUGAACUAAAGAUGUUGGUAAUCUCAACUCCAUAAGAGUAUCCGAAAUAAAGCUCCAGUUUAGCUUAUCAUAAGCUUUUUCCAAGUCAACCUUAAUAGCCAUUCAACCUUUCUUACCUUUUUUACGUUUCAUAGAAUAAUCUCCUAAGCAACGAUUAUAUUCUCAGUGAUAUGUCUUCCUAGUACAAAACUAGUUUGGUGAGGUCCAAUCAAAUCCGGUAAGAGGUGUUGCAGUCUAUUCACAAUGAGUUUAGUGAUUGUUUUGUAUGUCACAGUACAAAGACUUAUGGGACGAUAGAACUUGAAGGAACUUGGAUGAUCAGUUUUCGGGAUUAAAACAAGGAGAGUCUUGUAUACCAUCUCUGACACCACUCCAUCUUUGAACAUAGAUUUUAUUGUCUCACAAAGCGAAUCUCCAACAAUACUCCAUUGUGUUUGAUAGAAGCAAGCUGGCAAACCAUCAAUCCCCUGAGCUUUAAACGGGGUCAUCUGAAAUAUAGUACUACGAAUCUCCUCAUUAUCAACCGGCACACCAAGGCUAGCCAACCUAGUCUCUUCAAUCUCUGGGAACCGAUCACGCAAUGGAUACAAUUGAUGCAGCACCUGAUCAGGGGCAUACAACUUCGAAAAGAAUUCCACAGCUUCUCUUUUAAUCUCUUGAGGGUCAUAUAACCAAGCUCCACAGCUAUCCUUGAUUACUUUAAUCCGAUUACGGGCUCUCCUAGUGAUUGUCUUUUGGUGAAAAAAUUUAGUAUUUCUAUCCCCAAAAGCAAUCCAGUCUCGUCGGGAUUUUUGGAACCAAAAAAAUUUCUUCCUGUGCCAAUACCGUCUCCAACUCCUUCCUCAACUUCAACUGUAGCCGAAUAAGACUCUUGUAAGGUCUAUUCUCCACUGCUUUUUACACUCCCCCAAUCCUGGCUAAUAAAGACUUUUUUCGUUUAAAGAUGUUGCCAAAAACGUUUCUGUUCCAAUCUGAAACAUUCCUAACAAAAUCGGUGGUAGCUUGCCCAUAAGACUUAGAACGAUCCUAGCUUGUCUUUAUGAACUCGUUAAACCGAGAAUCCUUUAGCCAUGCAGCUUGAAAUCUAAAAGGUUUUUGAUCCACAUUCCGAUGAAUAUAUCGCUCAAACCGAACAAGCACGGGUCUAUGAUCAGAGGCAACAUGGGGAAGAUGCAGGACCAAAUAAUUCGUAAAUUUUACCAACCAAUCCUGGUUACACAUGGCACGGUCAAGCCUUUUGGAUAGACCUCCACGUGACCACGUGAACUGGGGACUGCUAAACUGCAAGUCAACAAUACUGUUUGAGUGAAACCAAGAAUUAAAAAGAUGGCAAAUACUCGUGUUGGACUGAGACCCCCCACGUUUCUCAUUAGCAUACAAAAUAGAGUUGAAGUCACCCCCCACAAUCCAAGGGCCCCUCAUGUGACGUGCAAUCUCUCCUAGCUGAGACCAGAGUUCUCGACGGGUUGUUGACACAGAACUAGCGUAAACUGCUGUCACCCAUGACUACAUUACAUUCUGAUUCAUGACUCUAAAAUGAAUGAAUUGUUUGUAAGUAAGCACCAUCUCGAUGUCUAAAUAAUUUUUCCAUAAUAUCCAGAUCCCUCCAGUAAAACCCACGGCUUCAACCCGAUGAGAUCUAUCAAAACCACUCCCCUUUAUGAAAAGAUCAGCUUUCUUGCCACUAAUACGCGGUUCAGACAACACCACCACUGAAGGCUUAUAGCUUGAGAUUAAAGAAUUAAAAGAGAGCUUAAAGCUCGCCGAGCCCGCUCCCUGUACAUUCCAAAACAUUACAGAUAUCAUAAAAAAAUAACCAGAGAGAGAAAUGCCUUACUGGCGGGUACCCCUGGGCGAUGUCUCCUGCAAACCAAGAGUCUCAUUGACAAAAGAAGUAUCAACAUCAGAUGUGGUGUCAUCAACAUUAUUCAUAAUAUCAUCCUCUUCCCCCACCCCACCACUAUUAGGGGGAUCAUUUAAAUGUUCAAAAGGAGGUUGGUGCCCUGGGUUCACUUCAUGAACGAUCUCCCUUUGGGCCCCGCUAGUUUCCCCAACAAAGAUGUUAUGUAGGUAAGCGAAGGAAACUACUGUGUGAUAUUUUGGGUUAAGGGUUGUAUGCACUGUGGAGGGACCACGGGAACUAGCAGAUGGGGGGUUGGCUUGCUUUGAACUGGGGGUUGUUUGGGGGCAUGGAAGAAAGUUUGCAUGUAUGACUUUAGAGGUUCCAGUUAUUGUCUAUUUAGGUUUGGGCGGUUGGGGCUUGGCAAUUUGUUUGCCCUUCAUAUUAGGUCAUAGGGUCUGUGAUUUAGGGUUAGCAAUGGGAUUAAGAACAGGUUUAGGCUUACUCAUAGUACGGGAGUAGAUGGAUGGGUUGGGCAAUUGAUGUAGCUCCUUCGGGGAUUCAUGGAAGGCCACUCCCACAGUCUCAACAUAAUCAACAGCAUCAGCAAGAACAGUGAAGCGUGACAUGCCAGCAUUAUGAUUUUGGUUUUGCAUGCUGCUACUCACAUUCUCCUUACCAAGAAUUGGCGCAGCCCUUCUUCUCCUUGGAGCAAUCAUCCAGGGGCCAAAAAUAUAUUCUCUAUUUCGAUCCUCCUUUCCGGCAUUAGUGUGAAUGGUUGUGGGAGGUAUGAAUGCGACCUCAGUUCCAAUAGGUGCCUCCAAUGCAACCUCCUGUGUAGCUCCAUCUGUACACCCAUUGCUAGAAUGACCAUAGCACCCACAUUUGAAGCAUAUUAUUGGCAAUCCCUCAUAUUCAACUUUUUGAACACUGCCAUUAAUUUUAAACUGAGAAACCAUAGGCUUAUUGAGCGAUAUUCACACCGCCAACCUUGCGAAUUUUCCUCUUUCAUUGGAUGCAGUGUUCACAUCAAUUUUGAGGACAAACCCUACAAGCUGGCCAACUUUCUUCAGGAUACGCUUAUCGUAAAGAUGCAUGGGCAAUCUAGGUAACCGGAUCCACGCAUUAACUGUAUCUAAUUUAGUCACCAUGCUGUCAAAUUGUGGAGACCAUGGUUGCACAGUUAAAUAAUGCCCCAUAAUGACCCAUGGCCCCUCCGUUAAAGCAUAUUCAACAUCCUCAUAAGACUGUAGCCGAAUCAGGAAAAAGUUAUUCUCCAAGUCCACCACCGAAAACUCCCCAAUCUUUUUCCACAUCAAUUUCAAUCUAUUGUACAGCACUCGGUACCCAAUAUCUCUACCCAGAAGUUUAACCACGACUGAGUUUUUCCAUGGUUUGAUUAGCUUCUCUUGAAUGCGUUCCGAAAAGUCUAUUGCUGGCAUAGCUCCAUCAGAACUUACCAUGACAUCUCCUGGCUCAAAAUCCCAAUCAUCGUCGUGAAAUUCCUCUCCCUCAGUCAUCCCAUGGACACUAUUCUUCCCUUGGCCAAAAUCUCGAAGUGCAUCUCUAUAAGAUGCUGGAAGCGGAUUAUUGGCAUCGUCCAUUCGCCCUCCAGCGGGCCUUUUUACUUGAUCGAUUGUCGACAAAUGGCAGCGGAAAAGUCCCAAAAAAAACUAGAGUUAUCGUUUGUUCCAAUGUUCUCAUAGGGUUCCGACAUACUCGGAGAACUUUUAAAGUUUAAAUUUUGUUUACUUUUUAGUACAUAUAGAAUUAUGCUACGGAUGCGAGGAGAAAAAAUGUGGAGUCCAUUUAUUGGAAGCCCCAAAUUCUAACUUACGAUCCAAGCGUGAGUUUCAAACUAAACCAACCCAAAGUUUGUACAAAGUCCAACUCAAUGCAACUAAAAUCAUUCUAAUUUGCCUUCUCAAAAAACAAAAUCAUUCUAAUUUGCUUUUGGUUUUGGCUGACUUAGCCUUUAAUAAAUUCACAUGUUAUAUAACAUAAUUGAAAAAAAAGGAAAAUGAUAUUCUCACAACACUUAAGCACAACACUGAGCACACAAUAUAAAAUCUAAAUUUUGGGAGAAAAAUUGCCACGCACGCGCAUGCAACAAACUCUCUCACGCGUAUCGCUCUAUUCAACAGCCAGCGUUGCUCGAAUUUUCCCAAGUUUCCCAUCGCACAGUGUCGGCUCUGAUCUCCCACACCACUUAGUAGCCAGCAAGUCUCAGCUCUCCUCACGCAGUGUCGGCUCUGAUCUCCUUUACGCACCAAUAGUCUUGUCCCCAACAGCUCCCGUAAUCGUCUUGUUAAGGUAACUUGUGUAGGACAUUGUGCUGUUUAUGAGUUGACUGUUAGGGAGUUAAAGCUCAUUGUCCUGUAAUUGCAGUCUUCGUGAUAUUGAGGAAAGCUUAUCCUGUAAUUCCAGCCUCCAUGUUUAUUUCUUUCAAAGAAAGAGUGGCUUUAUAUCACUCAAAUCUUUAUGCUCUGUUAAUAAAUUAUAUUCCCCAUUGUUUCUAUAGAAUUAAAACGGCAACUCAGAUUUAAGUUCCCUCGAUUUGUAAUUAACUUCAAUUAAUUGUAUGUGUUACUCAAUGUGUGUUGAGCAUGUACUUGUUCUGAGAUUCCUUUUGUUUCUUUCUUGGUUUAUAAAUACCUUGUUGAGGAUUGCAAAUAAGAGAAGCUGAUAUAUUAAGCCCAAUUGACACUAUUAUUGCAAAUAAGGGAAGCUGAUAUAUUAAACUCAACUGACAUUAUUAUUGCAAAUAAAAAAGCUGAUAUGAUUAUAAAUAAGAGAAGCUAAUACAACUUAAAUAUAAUGCAUAUCAACAAAUGUUCAACCACCACAAUCUUGCAUCUGCAUUUGUCUACCCACUCUGCAGACUGUCAACAAAUGUUCAACCACCAAAAUGAACAAAUGAAACUUGAUUCUUGUCUAACCAAUUACAGGCCAAACAGGAUUUUGCACAAAUAUCCUACCAGCAAAUUCUAAUUCCUCUCUAACAUAAUCCAUCUCAGAAUAAUUGCUCCUUAUUUCAUCUCUGAAUCCAAAACUUUUAGCUCUUGCUUUUCUAAUAGUUUGUAGGCCUUUUUAGUAGAUUCCCCAUGGAAGGAUCGGCUAGAGUGUAAACAAGCAUUGCCCCUUCCUUGGCUGCUGGCUUUAUUAUCUCCAUCAACUGCUCUAGAUCAUUAAAUUAACAAAAUUGUAGCAACAACAAUAUGUCAGUGCUCACAUUUUAGCUGAUUAAAUUAAAUGAGAUUUCAACAUUAAGCAAACAAUCCAGAUUAUAAUAAAAAUGCAUUUCCUCUAGUACACCAGCAGCAAUUAUUGUUUCUGUGAUCAAAUCACAUGCAGAAAAAUAACUAAUUUGACAAGAGUUUUUUUUUUUUUUAAUCUAGGAUCAAGAAUAAUAGCUUCUCAAGCUCCAAUUACUUGGUGCACGAAAGUAAUGAAUUGAUUUGCAUUCUUACCUCCAAAAUCAUUUCAGGGGAUAAAGUAGCAAGUUGAAAUAUGUCAAUACUUUCACCAGACUCGGCUCCUGAAGAGGAAGAAAAACACAUAACCAAAUUAAUUACAAAAAAUUCGUAAUAUUUUUUAAAAAAUACAAAUUAAUAAUGGUUUUGUAUAAUUAAUCAAUUAAAUCCUUCUAUUAAUUUUUUCUUAGAUUUCUUUGACCAUAUUUGAUCAUAAAAUUUAAUAUAAGUUUUAUUUUACUAUUUUAUUAGUAUAAUAUAAAAUGACCAAAUUAUCCAAUAAACAUGAGUUAUUGUAUCUAAUAAUUUUGGUAUUUAAUUAUGUGAACUAAAGUUUUUAAAUGAAAUUUAAUUAUUGUUUUCUCUACCUUACGUGUAAAUGAUAUAAAUUUGACAACCUAAUAAUUUACAUGUAUUCCGCCAUAGAGAUGUUAUAUUAGUUUAAUUAAAGUUUUAUAAUCAUACUAAUAAGUAGUAUUAGAAACAAUGAAUUUGAUAUAAAAUUAGAAACAUAUUGAAGUUAAAGUAAAUUCAUGGUACUUUUACCUUAUAAGGAUAAAAUAAUCAAUUUAGAAUUAUGCCAAAGCAAUCUUUAUAAUCAAAUAUAAUAAAAACAAUUAUGUCACAAAAAAAUAAAUUAGGAUAGAUUUGUUAAUUUGUUUUCCAAAGUUCUUUUUUAUUUCAAUUUUUUUUUAAAAAAUAAUGUAUACUUUUUGUAAUUAUUUUUUUAAAAAUGGGGCAGGCUUACAAGAAAUAUGGGGUGAAGAUAUCAUCACCCAACAAAAAAUUAAGUAAGAAUUAAUUUGAUAACUGCCCAUAAAAAGAAAGCAUAUUGUCACGGGAUCAGUGUUUUGCGCAGCAAACCCGUGCGGCACUUAGACAACCUUUGCCGAAUAUUGCUAAGUAAGCCUUGAACUUCUCGACUAGCUAAACCUAGAGGUUUUGGAAGAGCUAGAGAGAAGAGAGCAAUGGAGCCGAAUAAGGAAACUUGUAUUGCUAACAAGAGAGAUUACAAGAGAGCUUACAAGUGUUUGAUUUGCUUGUGCUAAGCUUGUUGUUGUGCAAAUGCUAAAUGCCAUCCCAUAUUUAUAGGGGAGGCUUGCCAAGCUCUAGAGAUUCUAGAGAAAUCUACCAACUAUUUAGAAUUUACAUGUGCUGGAAAUGUAUAGAGAAUUCUAGAGUAUUUACAAGCUCAAAUGUGCUAGAGUUGCCUAGAAAUUUCUGGAAUUGGGCCAAGCUAGCACUCUUGGCCUUGUCUUGGGCUCUUGGUGGGCAAAUUGGGCUAACAAAAUGGGCAGUCCGCAACAUCCUCCCCACCUAAUCUCGCGGCGUCCUUGUCGCGCUCUCGUGCCUGAAAUUCUGGAUGUGCUCAACGAAUUGCCACAAAUUAUCUUCACAUUCCCAAGUGGCUUCGCUUUCGGGGAGGUUUUUCCACUUCACCAAGUACUCGUUGUGUGCUAGCACGCCUCUCCUCGAGACCACAUGAUCCGCAAGGAUGUAGUCCACAUCUUUGUCGAAUGCAGUGACAACGGCGGUUGGCGCGCGCCUUGAUUCUCCGUGACUUGGGUGUUCCACAUCUCCAUGAUAUGGCUUGAGAAGGCUCACAUGGAAGAUUGGAUGGAUCUUGAGUCUUGGCGGAAGUUGAAGUUCAUACGAGAUGUUGCGCACUCGUCGUACAACUCAGAAGGGUCCCUCAUAGUGGCUCACUAACCCCUUGUGGACUUUCCGCAACGUCUUGCAUUGUUCGGAUAGGAGCUUGAUCAUGACUUGAUCACCUUCCUUGUACUCAACAUGCCGUCUCCUUGUAUUCGCCAACUUUUUCAUUUUCCUCGCGGCCUUGUCGGCUCGUGUGAUGUCCCGCUUCCUCGUUGACACGACUUAAAAGUGUUUGAUUUACUCUCAAGUAUAAGAGUGCCUAGUUAUAAUAUAUCUCGGUGAGUCCGAGGUCGAUCCACAGAGAAAAGAUUUAAUUUGUUUAUUUUAUUUUAUCUAAAAUUUGAAAAUAAAACUUAAAUAUAGACAACUUAAUUUAAAUAAAACUAUGAAAUUGAAUUAGUUAGGGUUGUGGAUUCACUCUUAGUAGUAAAUAAAACUUAAUAAAUUCUUUUUGCCAUUUUUUUAGAUUUAUUGCCCAAAAGAUUAAUUAUAUAAAUUAUUAUUAUUUUCCCUUUAAUUUUAUGAUGGAUUAAGUAUUCAUUGUGCCAAAAUUUAAUUUGUCUACAAUAAGACAAAAUACCAUUUUACCAUACCUUAUAUUUAGAUAAAAAGAAUUUAUUGUGCCAAACUCCCUUGUUUGUCUACAAUAAAUCAAAAUCUCAUAAUAUAAAAUAUGUAUAAAAUUAAAUAGAAAAUAAUUUAAUUUAUAAAAUUAAAAAUAGAAUUUGAUUAAAUCAUAUUUAUUUUCUAAGAGUUUCACCUUCCCCUAACUAUUAAUAUUUAGCUAAACAUUUUUUUAAUAAAGGAAAUUACUAAAAUUGAAAAACACGACUGAUAUUUUCAUCAAAUCGAUAAAAUUAUAAGUUUUAAAAGGCAAAUCACUUCUUUUACUCAAAAACAAUGGAGAAACAUUACACCAAUGUUGGGAUAGGUUUAAAGAAUUGCUUAACAUAUGUCCACACCAUGGUUUUGAAACUUGGCGAUUGGUCACUUAUUUCUACGAGGGCUUAAUACCACAAACUAGACAAGUUGUAGAAAUGAUGUGUAAUGGUGAAUUUAAAGAUAAAAGUCUUGAAGAUGCACUAGAUUACCUUGACCAAUUAGCUGAAAAUGCACAACCCUUCGAAUGUAGUACAAGAGGGUGUUGUUGGUGUGGAUGUUCCGCCGGAACCAAGCCGCGGCCGUGAGGGAGAGCGCGCCCAAGGCAAGACUCGCGGCAAGUCCAAGGUCCCAUCCGUGGAUGCGUUGGAGCCUCACAUAGCCACUCUCGAAGUCGCAUUGUCCGCCACUCAAGAUAGCCUCGAUAGUUUAGAGGAAAGAGUGGACGGUCUCAAGGGAGAAUACGCCGAGUUCACGGUGGCAACAAAAGCCCUCAUCCAAGAGCAAGUGAACACUCUCCGAGGUGAGUUUCGUUCAAUCCAUGAUGAGUUGCUAAAAUUUCGUAGCUUUGUUCAGGAUGAACUACGCGCUGUCCGUGCGGAAGUGGAUGAAGUCCGCUCAGAUUGGGCAUGGCACAAGCGCACACUCUCUGCUAGUCUAGCUUCCGCAAGCACGAGUGAUGCGCAGCGCAUUGACGUGUCAAAUCCCGACACCUACGAUGGCACACGCAACGCCACAAUCGUGGACAACUUCCUAUUUGGGCUUGAUCAAUACUUCAAUGCCAUGGGUGUUCGAGAUGAGGCAUCGAAAGUGGGCACAUCACCCACCUAUCUUCGAGGCGCUGCACAACUAUGGUGGCGUCGCAAGCAUGGCGAGAUGGGAGAGGGCAUUUGCACCCUCGACACUUGGGCCGACUUCAAGCAAGAACUCUGAAAGCAGUUCGCCCCAAGCAAUGUGGAGAAGGAAGUGCGAGCACGCCUACGUCACCUCAAGCAAUCGGGUAGCAUUCGGAACUACAUCAACGAGUUCACUACCCUUAUGUUGGAGAUAAGCGACAUGUCCGACAAAGAUUCGCUCUUCUACUUCCAAGAUGGCCUCAAGGAUUGGGCCAAGACCGAGCUUGAUAGGCGUGGCGUUCAAACACUUGACGACGCCAUCGCCAUUGCGGAGUCGCUCACCGAAUACUCUACCCAAUCCAAGGAUAAAAAGGCCAACCAAGGCAAAGGUGGGGGAGAGAGUCGCAAGGACAAGGGCAACAACCGCAAAGAUUGGGGGCAGAAAAAGUCGUCUAGCAACAAAAGCGGGCAAGGAAAAUCAGAGGGCAAGAAGGAGGUGCCAAAGCCACAAAGCCCAUGCUUCAUAUGCAACGGUCCUCAUUGGGUACGCGACUUUCUGGAGAAGAAGUCGCUCAACACUCUCGCAGCCCAACUCAAGAGCAACCCCACAAUAUCCUCGGAGGAACCCCAACUCAGCAUGGGUUCUCUCCAACUCCUCGGCGCACUCAAUCGCCAACAGCCCACACUUGUCAAGAAAGGGCUUGUGUAUGUAAGAGUGAAGAUAAACGACCAGUCCGUCCGCGUGCUGCUGGACACGGGAGCAACGCACAACUUUGUGUUCGUAGACGAGGCCAACCGCUUAGACCUCAAGGCAACCAAGGAAGGAGGCACAAUGAAAGUGGUAAACUCACCCGCCAAGCCAAUUGCGGGUAUCGCACAAGGCGUGCACAUAACGCUUGGAACAUGGAGCGGAAAGCUUGAUUUCUCCAUCGUUCCCAUGGAUGACUUUAAGAUGUACAUUAUUUUGGAAUAAUGUAGUGUUUAAAAACUUGAUGUGAAUAUAUUUACAUACGCUCGCACUCGUGAGUCUUAGAAUUAAUGGAAGAGUGGCAAUGAUUAGAAAAAACAAUAGUGGUUAGAUGACGUAGCAAUAAAUUAUAAAUGCGAUGACAAUUUGCAUAACCGUUUGCAAGCAUAGUUGAUAUGUAAAUUUGUCUAUGACACAUGCAGAAUUUUUAUGUUAAUUAUUACUUGUGUUAUUAUGUUUCUUUGUGCAUUUGCAAGUAAGAGUUUAACUGCAUAGCAAUAACUAUAAACAUGAAUUAUUGAAAUUUGAUUCCAGUAAUGACAGAGAGCCCCACUCCAAUCCCACAUAAACUCCAUGCAAGAAUAAAUAAAAAUUGAAUUAAUAACUAAGCUACCUCUAAUUGUAAAUUAGUGACAAAAUUGCCCCAAAAAUUUUUUCUUGGUGGGGUUGAAGUGCAAUUCAUUAGUGGAAUAUACAUAUCAUCUUUCAUUUGAUUUUAAGUUUAUUUAUUUUAUUUAUUUUUAGGGGACAAAAAAAAUUGAGGGCAUCUGUUUGGAUAUAUCAAAGGUAAAAGAGAUUCGUCUAAAUCCUAAUACUUUCACAAAGAUGCCUAAAUUGAGAUUUUUAAAGUUCUAUAGUUCAUCAGUCAAUGGAGAGAACAAAUGUAAGAUAUCUUAUUUGCAAGAUCCCAGAUUUGCUGAAGUGAAAUAUCUUCACUGGUAUGGAUAUCCGUUGAAGUCAUUGCCUUCAAACCUUAGUGCAGAGAAACUUGUGUUACUUGAAGUGCCUGAUAGUGACAUUGAACGACUUUGGGAUUGUGUGAAGGUAUGCAUAUCUUAUUAUACAUGUGCAAUCUUUCAAAUUACAACAUUAAAUUAUUAUACGUGGUAACGAUUUUGUCUUGGCCUCUUUUUUGACCGAGCAGCAUUAUAGUAAGUUAAACCAGAUAAUCCAUGCUGCCUGCAAUAAGCUAAUUGCCAAAACUCCAAAUCCCACGUUGAUGCCAAGUCUGAACAAGCUAGUUAUCUUGAAUCUAAGAGGUAGCAAAAGCCUAAAAAGUCUUCCAGCUAGAAUACUAAAUUUGGAAUUUCUUAUCAAACUUGAUCUUUCGGGCUGUGCGGAAGCUAAACUAGCAGAGAGUGUGCGCUUGUGCCAUGCCCAAUCUGAGCGGACUUCAUCCACUUCCGCACGGACAGUGCGUAGUUCAUCCUAAACAAAGCUACGAAGUUUUAGCAACUCAUCAUGGAUUGAACGAAACUCACCUCGGAGAGUGUUCGCUUGCUCGUGGAUGAGGGCUUUUGUUGCCACCGUGAACUCGGCGUAUUCUCCCUUGAGACCGGCCACUCUUUCCUCUAAACUAUCGAGGCUAUCUUGAGUGGCGGACAAUGCGACUUCGAGAGUGGCUAUGUGAGGCUCCAACGCAUCCACGGAUGGGGCCUUGGACUUACCGCGAGUCUUGCCUUGGGUGCGCUCUCCCUCACGGCCGCGGCUUGGUUCCGGCGGAACAUCCACACCAACAACACCCUCUUGUGCUACAUUCGAAGGGUUGGCCAUUGCUCGUGAGCUAACUUGCGUGCGUGCAAACCUUAGCUCUGAUACCAUUUUUCAUGGGAUGAGUGUUUUGCACAGCAAACCCGUGCGGCACUUAGACAACCUUUGCCGAAUGUUGCUAAGUAAGCCUUGCACUUCUCAACUAGCUAAGCCUAGAGGUUUUGGAAGAGCUAGAGAGAAGAGAGCAAUGGAGCUGAAUAAGGAAACUUGUAUUGCUAACAAAAGAGAUUACAAGAGAGCUUACAAGUGUUUGAGUUGCUUAUGUUAAGCUUGUUGUUGUGCAAAUGCUAAAUGCCAUCCCAUAUUUAUAGGGGAGGCUUGCCAAGCUCUAGAGAUUCUAGAGAAAUCUAUCAACUAUCUAGAAUUUACAUGUGCUAGAAAUGUAUAGAGAAUUCUAGAGUAUUUACAAACUCAAAUGUGCUAGAGUUGCCUAGAACUUUCUGGAAUUAGGCCAAGCUAGCACUCUUGGCCUUGUCUUGGGCUCUUGGUGGGCAAAUUGGGCUAGCAAUUGGGCGGUUCGCAACAAUAUGCAUGGUGGUGGUGGGGAAGCCUUUUCCCAUUUCCCAUUUCCUUUAAAAUUUGACCGUUAUUUUUCACCUAAUUCUCUAAGAAAUUUUAGUAGAGUGAGGAUGAAAAAUCCUCACGUGAAGAUCAAUUUUUCUAUCUACAUCCUGUUACACAUUUAUCUAUUUUAUAAUAGAUUCUCACAUAUAAUUUUAGUGAAACAAAAAUUAAAAUGACUCAAAUAAAAUCAUCACUAACAUAUCAUAAAAAUAUUUAAAUUAUUAACAAUAAUAAAUAAAAAAUAUACAUACCCACAAAUAAUUUUGGAAUCAUUUUUGGGUAAAAGCCCAUUUAGUCCCUAUAUUUUAAGAUUACUGUCCGUUUAGUCCCUGUAUUUUUAAAAAUGCCUGAAAACACCCUCGGCAUCACCUCCGUUACUGUUAAUUCUAGAUUCAUGAGGGUAAAAAUGUAUUUUUCUUGGUAAAAUUUAAAAUUUUAAAAAAUUAUUACGAUAACCUAGAUCCAUAAUGGUAAAAAUGUAUUUUAACCCUAAUAUUCUUUAAAACCCUCACUUUAAGAACUUAAGUGACUUGCUUUUUUAAAACUCAUAACAAUUUUCUUACUAUAAAAUUUUUUCUAUUGGAAACGUAGUCUUGCAGUAAAUGUCAAAACCGACAACGAAGGAAAUUGGCCUAUUCUGGUACGUCUCACGUUGGUCUUGUUUAUUUAUUUAUUUUUUUAAUCUUCCAUUUGUUCAGUGAAAAGAAAUUAUUUUUCUUUUCACUUGAAUGGGUAUUCCAUUUGAAGUAGACUAAAAGUUGAACGGUUUUUGUUUUGCAGUAGACUAAAAGUUGAAUGGUUUUUAUUUUCUUUCUUUUUUUUAACCCUUUCAUGGUUGUUUCGUAGCUUAAUAUUGGUAGUGGAAUGGAUUUGUAAUUGAAAAGAAAUUAUUUUAACUUCACUUGAUUGAGUAUUUUUUUGUAAAAAAAAAUCAUAAUCAUAUAAAGUUCUAUAAUGUCGAUUUUGUAUUUUAUGAAUUCGUAUGUAAUAGUUUUAAGUUUCUGAUAUUUUUUGUUCAUCUUUAUGUUGGCAGAUUCAAAUGAGUCAAAUCAGCAUUUCAGUUCGAUUUUUAGGCAAAGAUGUAGAGGAUGCUUAUGAUCCUGAUUGCUUGAGUCUUGUAUCCCUCAUCAACGAUGUCUUGAAUAAUGUCUUUGGAAGGCACAAGCAUUAUGAUGAGAGCUUUAAGCUUACUGGCAUUGUCCCAUGGUCCAAUGAAGGGAUUGAAUUGAACAAUGAUAAAAACUUCCAGAAUUUGGUUAACUUAAUUCAAGCCAAGGGUCUUAAUUCUAUUAAUUUGGAGAUGGAUGCGUUAUCCUUGGCCAGCUUGUCACCCGUUUUAGCUCAAACUCGCCCUAAAGAUAAUCAUUUUGCCUCAAAUGCAGUUAAUGUUGAUAUUUUAGAUGGUGAAAGUGAUGAUGCAACCAGUGUUGAGUCUAUUGACUGGUCUGAUGAAGAUAUUGGUGAUACUGUUAAGUCUGAUAGUGAACCUAAAGUUGAUUUAGGGUUUGAUAUUAAUGAAUUUGAUGGAGAUGAUGGCAUGUCAGAUUGUGAGAGUGAUAAUGAAGAUGUAUCUAUUGCAAGUGAUGAAGAAGAUGAUGCUGUAAUAUUGAAGAUGACAAGGGAUUUAAGAAAAAAAAGGUUCAAGAAACCCGAUGGUGAUGAUGAUAUUGUUUUGGGAGUUGGGCAAACUUUUAGUUGUGCUCAAGAGUUUAAGAAUGUAUUGAAGGAUUAUGCUAUUCAAGAGUCAAGAGUUUUGAAAAGGAAAAAGAAUGACAAAUGUAGAGUUACAACCGUGUGUGCUGGGAAGGACAAAGAAGGAAAGGAAUGUCCAUGGAGAAUCCAUGCAUCUUUAUUGGUUGACAAAGUUACAUUCCAGAUUAAAACUUUAAAAGGUGGUGAACAUAAGUGCAAAGAGUUGUUUAAGAAUCCUGAAGUAACUAGUAGAUGGAUAACUCAGAAAUUGUAUGGUUUUAUUAGUUUUAAUCCUGAUAUCGGUUGUGAAUCCAUGUCAGAUGAAUUGAGGAAGAGGUUUUCUUGUUCAACUACAAAGAAAAGGUUGUAUAUGGCCAAAAAAAGGGUUCUAAAAAUUGCUGAUAGUGACUACACAAAAUCUUAUGCAAAGUUACAUGACUAUGCCAACGUUCUUCUUAUAAAGAAUAAAAGGGCAAUGGUGAAAAUUCAAUAUGAAAUGCAAGGUGUAGAGACGUACUUCAAGAGGAUAUUCAUAAGUUUUGACGCACUAAAAAAUGGAUUUAUACGUGGAUGUAGAAGGUUCAUUGGAGUUGAUGGCUGCCACCUUAAGACAUCAUUCGGUGGUAUCUUGCUGACAGCCGUUAUACUUGAUGCCAAUAAUGGCAUAUUCCCAUUGGCAGUUUGCAUUUGUGAGGUUGAGUGCAAGGACAGUUGGAAAUGGUUUCUUGAAUUGUUGAAGGAACAUCUUGGUAUAGUGAAUGAGAUGGCUCUUACUAUAAUGUCCGACAGACAAAAGGGUUUAAUUCAGGCAAUUGAUGAAGUUUUGCCUGGGUGUACCAUAAGACAUUGUGUAAAAGUAAGCCAAAAUAAAUGAAAGAUAACAGUAGGGUAUCAAUACUUUAACGGUAGGGAUGUUUUAAGGCAUUUUUAAAAAUAUAUGGACCAAAUGGAUACUAAGCUUAAACUAUAGGGACUAAAUGGGCUUUUACCCAUCAUUUUUUAUCGUUCUUCAAAAACUUAUCAAAAUUUGGUGCGUGGGACCUGUGAACCAUCUCUAGUCGGCCACAUUGGACUUCUUACUGUCGGUCUUCAAAGAACUUUUGAGAAAGGCAGUAGACAAUGAGUUGAAUGAAAUUACUACGAAACUUCCCUGAAGAUUCAAGGGAGUAGUGGAGGAUACAUAUCAAGCGCACAGACACAUUCAAUUCAGUUGAACUGUUUUUGUUAUGGCUUCUUCUUUUUCUUCUUCUUCUUCUUCUUCUUCUCAUUGAUCCACCAGUCUGAGGCUGAUUAGACCACGAAAGUAUGAUGUUUUUGUCAGUUUCAGUGGAGAGGACACCCAUGACAACUUUACUAGCCAUCUCUAUUCGGCUCUGUCUCGACAAAAUAUCCAAACUUUCAUUGAUGACCAGCUCAACAGGAGAUGAAAUUUCACAGUCUCUUGUAAAUGCAAUUGAAGCAUCAGCCAUUUCAGUUAUCAUUUUCUCUUAAUCAUAUGCUUCUUCCAGAUGGUGUGUCGAUGAACUUGUAAAGAUCCUCGUGUGCAAGAAAGAGCGUGCACAGAUUGUGAUUCUGGUUUUCUAUCGGGUUGAUCCAUCAGACAUGAGAAACCAAACUGGGAGUUUUGGGGAUUCAUUUUCGAAGCUUGAAGAAUUCAAAGAAGCUGCAGAGUUGGAGGAAUGCUUUGAAGGAAGCAGCCAGUUUGUCUGGCUUUCCUUCUCAGAACAUCAGGUGAAAAGUUACUUUUAAUUUCGUAUACUAAUAUUCAACACUAUAAAUAAUAUUCACGCAGCACUCUUAGUUAAAUUUUCCAGAUGCUAAACUACACUUUUAAAUUUUAUCAGGCAUCAAAUUCUAGACAUCUUGAACUUCCCCACUUUUGAACUCCUAUAAAAGAAUUUUUGCAGAAUUAAUAAUAAAAGCUCCAGAAGUUACAAUAUAUUUUAAAAUUAAUAGUGUUCUGUCGUUUUUUAAUCAAUUUCAAUCUCUCACUCAUAUACCAUAAGGGAAAAAAAAUCUCUUCCACCUAUAACAUAUUCGUGUAAUUAAAGAGUUAUUAAUUUAUAGGGAGAUUGUAAAUUCCCUUACUCAAAUCAAUAGAUAUCACUUAUUCUGACUAUUUUUACAAUAUUUAAUAACUCUCCUGGUACCAUUAUUUUACAAUAUUAUCCUUAUGAAAAAAAAUAAGUGGUAUAUAUUAAUUUCAAUUGAAAAACUAGCAAUCUCCCUUAUUUCAUAUUUGAUGCAAAUCCCUUCUAUUCGGAGUUACUGCUGCUAAUUUUAUGUGUUUGAUAGGCCUGAAUCGAAGCUUAUAAAUGAAGUUGUCAAUCACAUUUUAAAGAGACUGCUGGAUGAAGUGUUUCGGCCGAGUGAUAACAAAAACCAGCUGGCUAGAGUAGAAUCAAGAGUUGAGGAAAUUGAAUCUCUUCUAGGUGUUGAGUCGAAAGAUAUUUACGCUUUAGGGAUUUGGGGCAUUGUUGGUAUAGGCAAAACAAAAAUCGCUAGAGCUAUUUUCGACAAAAUCUCUAGUGAUUUUGAAGGUUCUUGCUUCCUUGAAAAUGUUAGGGAAGACGCACAAAGACCGGGAGGAUUAGCUUGCUUGGGACAAAAACUUCUUUCAAAUUUAUUGAAGGAUAAAAAUGUGAGCCUUGAUAUUGGUCUCAAUUUUAGAAGGCUCAGCCGCAUGAAGGUUCUGAUUUUUUUUUAUGAUGUAUCUUGCUUCAGCCAAUUAGAAUCCUCGGCCUUUGUUAUAAACAUCUAAUAACAUAUAUGCAUCAUUAAAAAAUAUAUUCAAAACUUGCAUAGUUCACAUCUCAUUGUACAUACAUACACUUCAGAUAUAUACAUAUAAACAUGGAUGUGCUCAAAAUGUAAGUCAUGCAGUAAUGCGUGUCAUAGCCCAACCUCAACUGAUCAGAAACUGAACUGCACGAAAUCCUACGGAAACCUUAGAGAAAUGGGAUAAAUAGGAAAAUAGUAAGCUUGCUGCUCAAUGAAUGGAUAUAAUUAUAUACAAAAAUAAAUUAGUGCUUUAGUGCUUGUAUAUAAUUGUAUGACAUAACUUCACACUGAAUGCAUUACAAAAGUAAACAUAAAGUCAUAUAUACAUACAUGACAAAACUGCAUUGAAUAAUAUCCAGGAGAAAUAACUCUCAAUACUCACUGGGAUCAUCAUCGCACGAGUGAAAGUGGGGGAAAAACCUCUCAAUACUCAGUGGAAUUAACUGCAUCACAAGGGCCGAGUAAUCUAACUCUCAAUAUGCAUGCGUAGAGCCUAUGGGGAAGGGUACACAUAUGGUGCUUGGCAAUCACAUCUGAUGAUUCAAUCAAUCAUAUAUUGUACGUACAUAUAAUCAUAACAUUAUACUAAAUCAUACUAUUGAACAUAAAUGCUUUGUAGGAUACAUAAUAGUAAUAAUAAUAAUCCAUCACAUAUCUUGUUUCACUUUAGGGUUCGUUGGGGAUCUUGUGGAUUCCUUAAUUCUUGGAUUUCUCCUAACAUAAAGGGUUAAAAAAUUAAAUGUUAGAACCAACUGAUAUAAAAGCUUUUAUGUAUGAUGUAAACUAAAUCAUAAUUGUUCAAAUUUCUUAAAUAUGUUACCCACUGACUCAUUGCAAAUAGAUCUAACUACCCAAUUCUCUUUCUGUAACAUUUCCUCUCAAUUCCUAUUUUCAAACUUAAUUUUCACUCUCGGUUUUUCUUUUCUUUAUUUUUUCUUCUGUUCUUUUCCUCUUCUCUUUUCCUUUUGUUUUCUUCCUUUCUCUCCUUUUCCUUUCUUUUUCUUCUCUCUUUGAAUUGCUCUUUUUCGGUUUGAUUCAUGAAAAUGGUGAGAGCUACUUCAAUUCUUUACUUUAUAUAUAUCCACUACCUCCAAUUAUGCUUGACAAGCACAUAGGUGAAGCAUGCAUGUGCUUUGCUUUAAGCUAACAACUUGUUAUUGCUUGUGAAAUAAAAUACAACAAUACUUGUAACUCUAUACAAUUAGUAAAAUACUUCCUAUCAUUUUCUCUCAUGGACGUAGGCCAAAAAGCUGAACCACAUAAAUCCUCGUGUCUCUUGUGUGAUAUUACUCUCAANNNNNNNNNNNNNNNNNNNNNNNNNNNNNNNNNNNNNNNNNNNNNNNNNNNNNNNNNNNNNNNNNNNNNNNNNNNNNNNNNNNNNNNNNNNNNNNNNNNNNNNNNNNNNNNNNNNNNNNNNNNNNNNNNNNNNNNNNNNNNNNNNNNNNNNNNNNNNNNNNNNNNNNNNNNNNNNNNNNNNNNNNNNNNNNNNNNNNNNNNNNNNNNNNNNNNNNNNNNNNNNNNNNNNNNNNNNNNNNNNNNNNNNNNNNNNNNNNNNNNNNNNNNNNNNNNNNNNNNNNNNNNNNNNNNNNNNNNNNNNNNNNNNNNNNNNNNNNNNNNNNNNNNNNNNNNNNNNNNNNNNNNNNNNNNNNNNNNNNNNNNNNNNNNNNNNNNNNNNNNNNNNNNNNNNNNNNNNNNNNNNNNNNNNNNNNNNNNNNNNNNNNNNNNNNNNNNNNNNNNNNNNNNNNNNNNNNNNNNNNNNNNNNNNNNNNNNNNNNNNNNNNNNNNNNNNNNNNNNNNNNNNNNNNNNNNNNNNNNNNNNNNNNNNNNNNNNNNNNNNNNNNNNNNNNNNNNNNNNNNNNNNNNNNNNNNNNNNNNNNNNNNNNNNNNNNNNNNNNNNNNNNNNNNNNNNNNNNNNNNNNNNNNNNNNNNNNNNNNNNNNNNNNNNNNNNNNNNNNNNNNNNNNNNNNNNNNNNNNNNNNNNNNNNNNNNNNNNNNNNNNNNNNNNNNNNNNNNNNNNNNNNNNNNNNNNNNNNNNNNNNNNNNNNNNNNNNNNNNNNNNNNNNNNNNNNNNNNNNNNNNNNNNNNNNNNNNNNNNNNNNNNNNNNNNNNNNNNNNNNNNNNNNNNNNNNNNNNNNNNNNNNNNNNNNNNNNNNNNNNNNNNNNNNNNNNNNNNNNNNNNNNNNNNNNNNNNNNNNNNNNNNNNNNNNNNNNNNNNNNNNNNNNNNNNNNNNNNNNNNNNNNNNNNNNNNNNNNNNNNNNNNNNNNNNNNNNNNNNNNNNNNNNNNNNNNNNNNNNNNNNNNNNNNNNNNNNNNNNNNNNNNNNNNNNNNNNNNNNNNNNNNNNNNNNNNNNNNNNNNNNNNNNNNNNNNACAUGAACUUAUCAUUAAUUCAUUUGCUAGCCCAUUUUUCAAAUCUAUUUUUAAUUUAAGAUUUACUAUACAAAUAUAAUCAACUUUGUUAUAAUAUGGUGUAAUGUCUAUAUUGCUACAUAGUGUGAUAGGCCAUUAAUGUAAUAUAUAUGGUAUUUAUUUUCACUUGACCAAUUUGCCCAAAUUUAUAUUUUAUAAGCAGUUUUAAUCCUAGAUUCAUCAGGUCGUGAUUUUUAAUUUGUGGGUCGAACCAAACUUGUUACAAACUGACUCAAAUCGAGUCGAUACGGUCAAGUUGGUUCGAUCUAACUGGUUUCGUUUUGAAAUGCCCACCCCAACGAACAACUUUUGAGUUUUCCAUUAUUGGCCUAUUGCAGUUUUUUCCAACAUUCCUUGUUUAAUUGAUAUAUACAUUUGUCACUUUAUUUAUCAAAAAAAAAAAUUAAUAUCCAAGGAACAUAGGAAUUAAAUAUGGGAAUAUAGGAAGCACAAAACAACUAAAAUCCCUAGAUAAAAAGUAAGUUGUCUAUAAGUAUCUUAAUGUUCUUUUCAUUCCUUUUGUCAAAAUUUUAUAAUCUAUUUUUUUAUUUUUGUCAAAGUAUCAUUGUUCUUUUAAAAAAUAUAUAUAUAUAUAUACAAAGUAUAAAUUUAUUUUUUAGUCUAUUAAUUUCUCUAAAAUUUAAAUAUAAAUGAUCAACUAAAUGUUAGUUUGUUGAAAACACUCCUACCGUCGAUGCUGACCGUUACUCGAAAUGUUAUCAAUAAUAUGUGAUUUAUGCAACUGAACAUAUAGCAUUAGUUAGGAAUGAACUUUGCAAUAAAAACAGAAAUUGAGCUAGAAAAGACAACCGAGUGAGAUCAACAAAUGUAGAUCCAAGACAAAUAGUUUUGUAUAUAUUAUUAAUUUGAUUUCCCGUUUGAAGAAGUUUUCAACCGUAACGGAAUGUGACACGUGGCGCGUGCAUCUGACCUCAUACUACCGGUGACCAAUAACCAAUAGCCAACACUCGAUCAUUUUUUAAAAAUUUACCCGCACAGAGAAAACGACGUCGUGAGCGACCCUCGCACGUACCAUUUGAAAAAAGAAAAAAAUGCAGUUGUAUGUAUCAUCAUCAUUAUUGCUCUCCUUAAUCAUGUACAAGAACGUGUCCGUGUCUAUCGUCUCACUUUGAUUCAUUUUCUCACCAGACACCCACUUUAUUGCUCCUCUUCAUCUUUUAAUUUAAAAACCAAAUAUUAUUUUUUCUUUUUCUUAUGAUUAAGAAAUGGCUGCGAAAAUUGGAUCAUUUAGACACAGUUUUGCAGAAAGGAGCAAAGAAAGAUUGCUAUCUAGGAAGGGCUAUUCAGACUUUGGCCUGAACAGCACGGAUGACGAUGGCAGCGAAGAUGGAAUCAAAUGCAGAUGUUUCCGUUGGAUAUCAGACGGAGUCACCAAUUUUUGGACCAAUUUGCAAAACAUUUUUAUUCAAUUCUAUGACAUGGGUCGUAAGGAUCCUCGUAAAGCCGUUUUUGCUGCCAAGAUGGGCUUGUCGUUGGCACUUGUGUCAUUGGUUGUCUUUUUCAAAGAGCCACUCAGUAAUGUUAGCCAAUAAUCGAUCUGGGCAAUUCCUACUGUUGUUGUAGUUUUUGAAUUCAGCGUAGGUACUAGUUUACAAUCAUGCGAUGCGACUAAAACAAGCAAAAUCGUAUUGAGAUUUGGAUAUGGAAGUGAUUUUGUAAUGUUAUUGAAUUUCAUGUAGGUGCAACGCUUAACAAAGGAUUCAAUCGCGCUUUAGGGACGUUUUCUGCUGGUGGCCUUUCUCUGGGCAUUGCAGAGCUCUCUCUGUAUGCAGGGGCUUACCAGGAAGUUAUUUGUCAUCAGUAUUUUUAUAGCAGGUUGGCAUCUUGUUAGCAAUUAAUAUCUAUCAAUCAUUGCCUUGGAGCCCAUUUCUUGAAUUGUUGCUCUUAUAUUUUUAUUUUGUCCUUUUCAAGAUUCUGUGCAAGUUGUGCUAAAUUGUACCCCAAAUUGAAACCAUACGAAUAUUUCGAGUCUUCUUGUUGACAUAUUGCAUUGUACUUGUGUCUGGAACUUCAACAACAUUUUUCCGCACAGCAUUUUAUCGGUUAGUGCUUAUUGCAGUUGGUGCUGGGAUAUGUUUGGUUGUAAAUGUGUGCAUAUAUCCCAUCUGGGCAGGGGAGGAUCUGCACAAGUUGGUGGUCAAAUUUUCAAAGGCCUCGCUACUUCCUUGGAAUGUUAGACAUUUGCUUCUUAGAUAUUCGGUUCUCUUUGAUUUGAGCUGAAUUCUGAUGAGUAGUUGAUUGAUUUAUCAUAUUGGACUUGGAUUUAGGAUGUGUUAGUAACUACUUGCAGUGUGUUGAAUAUGAGAGAGUCCCUUCGAAAAUUCUUACAUAUCAGGCUUCUGAUGACCCAGUGUAUAAUGGUUAUGGAUCGGCUGUACAGUCUACGAGCCAAGAGGAAUCUCUGGUAUAAUCAGUAUAACUUUGCUGGUUCUUUCCUCAACUCCAUCAUCUUUGAUUUCUUUUUCUUUCCUGCAAGGCCUGUCCUUUUGACAGACCAGAAAGUUUGGAUCGCUUGUACUCUUGUACUCUGCAGAUGGAUUUCGCAGUAUGGGAGCCACCUCACGGCCCUUACAGGUCAUUCAAUUAUCCCUGGAAAAAUUAUGUUAAAGUAAGUGGUGCAUUGAGGCACUGUGCAUUCAUGGUCAUGGCUAUGCACCGAUGUGUACUUUCUGAAAUACAGGUAAGUGGCUUUUUUCCUAUUGCUUUAGCUGCUGUUUUAGCAACUUAGGCUUAUGGUCAAAUCUGUACUUGGAGAAUGAAAGUGUCAUUCAAGGAUCCUUUUAUUAUCUCAAAUAUGUCUAGUGAACCAUAUUUCUCUUGGAGUAAUGGUAGCCCAUCUAGGUAAGUCGUUUCAGUCAUUAAUAGUGAGUUUCUGAGCUUCAAUGUACUAAUGAAGUUUAGCUCUAGUCCCAUCUUUCCAAUCUUUUGCUGGUCCUUCUUCUUGAUAAUUGGUACAAUCCAGCUCUUAAUCGGCAUAUAUCCCCACCAGAUUUUUCUCAAUCAGAAGCACUUGAAUUGCGAUCCUUGAACUCCUUUCACAAACUAAUAGUUUCAGCUUUGUGGGCACAGCUUUGAUGGUCUCAAAUGCCAAAACUCCCCUUUUCUUCUCCCCAUUCACUCUGCAAAUUGCCAUCAAAUUUGGUUAAUUGGCAUUUUAUUUAUUUAUUUGUUCCCGUAUUGCAAUUCAAAAGAAUAGUAUAUAUUCAUGCAUGCUGGUUUGGUAGCAUUAUUUUGUUCUUCUUAAUCUUAAUUAAAUUUUUUAUAUAUACGCUAUCACUUUCCAAAUAAAUGAGAAUUACAUGGUAUGUGAAGAAAUAAAUUGAAAAAAAAAAGAAAAUUUCAGAUGCAAGGCACUUAAUUAAAGAGUGCAGUUAAUGAAUCAAAUUUCCUUGAAACUUUAUACUUCAGGAAACAUUAGCAAUAAAGCUGAAGAAGUCUGGAUCAAGUCGAAGUUUGUAGAAUUUAUGAGUAUUAUAUUUAAUUUAGGUUUAUUAAAAUUUACUUUCUUUCAUAGUGGUUUAUUUAAUUUAAGUUUAUAAAAAAAAUGAGUGAGAGGUAGGAAGGGUAUGAAAAAGCACAGAGAACAAACAACAAAUUGUGAUUGCCUUGUCACGGACCUCUUUCUAUUAUAUGGCCCUCAUUCCAUGUCUAAUUUCUGUGAGAAACAAAGGUCUAGAUUCUAGAAAUAAGAGAUGAAAAGAGAAGAUAAAACAUCCUUAUAAUCUACUGAAUGUAUAAAUCUGCAUCUGCAUAUUAUAUAGCAAACAAAAUUAAAUAGUUUCCGUCUUACGAAGUUUUGAAAUUGAUUUACCUUUCUUUAGCUGUUGCCAAGUCAUUUCCAUGUGAUUUUGUUGUUCUUAACCAGUAAUUUUUCUCUCCACUCUUGUGUAUUAGCAGCAGAUGUCUUGUGGUGAUUCCUUUUUGUAAGCUCCAUUUCUUUGUUUCAUUCUUGAGUGAGUUAAUAAAAUAUGUAGCAAAAACAUUCAGGAUUCUAAAUUUUGUGUUAGGCUGCAAGUAUUUGGAGUCUGGAUUUAGAUAUAUGUUUGGUUUGCAAAUUUUAAUGUGCAGGCACCACCAGAGAAGAGACAAGUUUUUGCUAGUGAGCUCCAAAAUGUUGGCAAUGAAGGAGCUAAAGUAUUACGCAAGCGUGGAGACAAAGUUGAGAAGAUGGAAAGGUUAAGCCCUGAAGGCAUACUAUUUGAAGUUCAUGAGGCGGCAGAAGAGUUGCAAAUGAAGAUAGACCAAAAAUCAUAUCUUCUGGUCAAUUCAGAAAGCUGGGCAGCCAUAGCGCAGCGCAAGGAACUGCAAGAUUCUGAGAACUUUAAUGAAGUCAAAGAUGAUGAAAACAAAGUGAUUAACUUGAGCGAAGUGUGUGUAAGAAAAUUAACAGUGAGAUAACAAUUUAAUACAGUAGCUAAUUUAAACAACAACGAAAAACAGCAACUGGAAAUCACGAAUGAACAACUGGAAAAACAGCAGGGAAAAGAAAACCGAAAUAGAAAAUAAACCCGAGGCUUGCAGCACGGUUUCCUUAAAACAGAUUUACCACCUACUGUAGUGCUUUAGGCUUGCUGGUAAUUGUUUCCCAGGAUACAACAGGCACGAAUUAUCCGUCAAGUACAGAUUGAUAAUUCUGGCGAACCACAACAGUGUUCAAAGCUCGAUAAAAAACAUAACGUUAGGAGGAAAGAAAUUUUGAAGUGCUCUCUGUGUGCUGGUUGUUCUUGUGUGUGUAAAAACAAAAGAGGAAUGUGUCUUUUUAUACUCAUGUGGGUACGUAACAGCAGCAUAAAAAUUGAAUUUCAAAAUUCAAUAUAUGCUAUUUAAUUGCUGUAACAACCAUUGAAUUUAAACAAUUCAAUUCAAAAAUUGAAUUGCAUAACAGCCCAAAAAUAAUUGCAAAGUUGUUACAAAUCUUUUGAAUUCAAAAGGUGUGAAACUGUUAACAAAAAAAAUUAAAAGGAAAAUAAAAACGUACCAUGCAAGCUUGGGUGAUUUUGGGCUGACAUUCGCGUACGCACAUGAGUUCAACCAAAUCGGUCAUGAAUUAUUUUGGGUUGACAUUCACGUACGCACAUGAGUUCAACCAAAUCGGUCAUGGGAUUCACACCCCCUGUGAACACACGUGUGGAGAGAGCCUCUAUUAUUAAAAUUCUUGUUCAUGCAUGGUUAAGUGUUUAUAUAUAAACACUAAUCCCUUGGCUUCUUUUUCCCAUGUGGGAUAAGCUUCAUUUCCAUUCAAAUUUCCAACUUCAAAGGUGAACUUUGAGAGACAAUUUCUCAUUCACCCAAACACCAUUUUGAGAAAAUAAAAAUACACUUUUGAAGUAUUAACGGAGUAGAAUCCGAACCUCACAAGAUUUUCCACUUUCAGUAAGUGGGACCUACUCAAAAUGUGCCCUCAAAAUAGCAUAUUGAUAUACUAUUUUUUCAACAGUGUGGGAUGCUCAGAACCCAAACAUGGGCAUGAACUAUCCUAUGCAAGAACGGAUUUCCUCAGAAAAUAUGUCGAGAAAUCCAAUCUCGUGGCCACGGAUGUCGUUUCAUAAUAUUGAGUCCACGCUUGGCUUACAGGAAUCAAAAGUAUUGCUUCACUCUUGAUUGAAUUUGUUGCGAGGCUCCAAAAUCUUGUUGAUGCCUUUGAAGAACUAUGUGAAAAAGAAAAUGUCAAGGAACCUGUUGAGCCGCCAAUUGGGAAAGGGGAGGUAGGAUUUUGGAGCAGGCUUAGCAGAUGCUUUCAGUUGAAGCGCUGAGAUAGCUUUAAAGAUCAUUUUUUCCGAUCCAUAAGUUGAAUACAUGUCGUUGUCAACUGAGACAGUUUGAUAAGCUGAUGCUUUGUGACUUGUGAAUAUGAUGGCUUUAGCUUGCUCUGCCCCCCAUAUACAUAAAAAAUGUAGUAAUGCAGUGGAGAGGUUUUGUCAUAGAAAUUCUUAAUAGCAUAUGGGGUUUAGAAAUCAAUGCAUAUAAAAUCCAUUUUCAAAAAAAAAUUAUUGAGACAUUAGUCUACAGUUUUUUUUUAAAAAAAUUAUUUUUUUAUUUUUAUAAUUUUUAACCAAAUAUUUAUAUUUUAAGUGUAAAAAUAAUUUUUUCUUAGUAGUUACAGUAGCUGCAACAUAAAAUCCACAACACUUCAUUAUCAAAUAAGCCGUACGUUUGAAUCAUCUAAACAACUUACUAGGAUGCCAUGAUUCACAUAAAAUUAUCAGCACUUAACAACACAAAAGUCAAAAAGCAAAUACUCUUACUCAAGUCUUAUAUUUGUUGCACGAAGAAGAAAGAAGAUAACAAUUUUAAAUUAACCAACAGGUUGAAUCUUAUCCUAAUACACACUAUCAGCUUUGAAUUAGCAUACCUUAGAAGUCCUGAACUCAUUCACGGCCACUCGAAGAGAAUCAUCCGAUAGAAUCAACCGUGACAACGCUCCAGUGCUUAACCUGCCACAUUUUUUCCUUCCGAGUUGGGGAAUCCGAAGCAGGGAUUGAGCGGCCAGCGCCAUCAUCAAUUUCAAUUUCCCUCACUGUGAAUGUGAUAAUCCAAGCAAAGCUUCGUUCUAGUAACACAUUCUUAUAGCAGGCCCAGCCCAAUCCAGCCCAGUCGAGCAAGUGAGCAAUGUUAUUAUUUUAUUAUUUUUGAACUUGCGGUGGCUCUGUAUUAUUUGCAAAAUACUCAUGUAAGGCAGAGAAUAUAUUUUAUAUUGGAAUAUUUUCAAAAUAAAUGGUGCUUUAAACAGGUUUUCGAUUGUAAAGAUAUGUCAUAUGCCUAAUUAAACAGUGUCGGGUAUAAUAAAAAUAUAUCUUUUUAUUUAAAGAUGUAUCCAUUCACGGUUUUAUACUUCAAUUUAAAAUGGUAAUGAUUUAUUUUGGACCGGUGAUGAUCUAAUUCAAAUUUUGAUUUAAUAACCAUAAAUGAAAAACUACAUUUGUAAUGUGUCUCGAAGCACCAUCAAUUCCUACCUAUAUUUCAAUUAAAAUAAGAGUGAAACUAUUGGCACCCAUUUAUUAUUCUUAUAAAACUUAUUUCAAAUAAAAUUACAGUUAAGGGUAAAGAAGAAAUAAACACAUGUAGGAUUUUUUCUUCCCAACAAAUUACUUACAUUAAUAAUCAAUCUUUUUUUUUAAUUUCCUACCAUUAUUUCUUAUCUAACUAAGAUAAAUUGUAUAAAUCUAGCAUAAUCUAUUUUUCUUUUCCUAUUUCUUAUUGAUUAAAUAUUUUCGUACUCAAGAUUACUUUCAAACUACAAUCUAAAAUAUGUGUUAUUUAAGCUAAUGAUUAGCAUUCAAACUUUAUCACCUAGAAAACUUUUUAAUUUGUAUUUAGGAUAACAAUAAGAUUGCAAAAGAGAUGAAAAAUAGCACAAUACUACUUUGAGUUUUAAGAAUAAAAGAAUAUUAAAUGAAAAACUAAAAGAGUGUCUUUGAAAAUAAAAGGAAAUGUUUGGAAAUAAAAUAAAUAUAACUGAAAAAAGGAUUUGAUGAGGAGACUAGAGGGGUGCCAAUAGUCCAACUUUUAAAAUAAAGUUUUAUCAAUUAUUGCUCCCCUUUUCUGCAAUUAUUAUUCCCCACCCAUAUUUCUCCAACAUUUUAUUUCAUAUAUUUACUCCUACUACACUCUAACAAAGGACGCCUUUUGGACUACAUCAGUUUCUAGAUGCAUUUUAUUAAUAAAUUAAAUAAAGGCACCAUCCCUUGUUCAAUUUCUCUAAAUGACCACUUUCUGUCAGCUCUCUUAAAAUUUAUUAAGGAAUCUAUGUUGAAGACCAUUUCAUCAUUAGUAUUGUGUAAAUGUAUAAAAAUACAUUUUACACUUUGAAAUUUAAAAUGACCUUCUUUUAGCACAAAAUUUUUAAACAAAUGCCUCUAACUAAGCGACAAAUUUAAAAAUACAUGAUAAGUACCAUAUCAGCCAUAUAAAAAGUGAAUCAUACUAUGAUAUAAGUGCAUUUAUUUUGAAAAACCAUCUCGUAAAUAAUGGUUAUAUUGAAUCUAAGUAAGUGCAUAUCAUACAAGACACAACCUGGCCCAGCCUCUCUGACGGAUUCAAGGUGAAUCAUGUGAUCUUAUAUCUAAAGCUUGUGAAAUAAAUUUAAUUCAUGAAUGCAUAACACUAGUCUCGGCCUUUGUUAUAAACAUAUAAUAACAUAUGUGACUCAUUCAAAAAUAUAUUCAAAACUUUCACAGUUUACAUCUUACUGUACAUACAUACACUUUAUAUAUAUACAUAUAAACAUAAACAUGCUCAAAAUAUAAGUUAUGCAGUAAUGCGUGUCGUGGCCAACAUUAACUGAUUAGAAACUAAACUGCACAAAAUCCUAUGAAAAUCUUAAAGAAAUGGGGGUAAAUAGGAAAAUAGUAUACUUGUGGCUAAAUGAAUGGAUAUAUAUAUAUAUAUAUAUAUAUAUAUAUAUAUAUAUAUAUAUAUAUAUAUAUAUUAGCGCUCUAGUGCUCGUACAUAAUUGUAUGACAUAACUUCGCACUGAACGCAUUAUACAAGCAAACAUAAAAUCAUAUAUUUAUACAUGAUAAAACUGCACCAAAUAAUAUCUAGAAGAAAUAACUCUCAAUACUCGAUGGAAUCAUCAUUGCACAAGUAAAGUAGGGGAAACACCUCGCAAUACUCAGCGGAAUUAACUACAUCACAAGCGCCGAGUAAUCUAACUCUCAAUACACAUACAUAGAGCCUAUGGUGAAGGGUACACAUAUGGUAUCUGGCAAUCACAUCUCAUUAGUCAAUCAAUCAUAUAAUAUGAGUACAAAUAAUCAUGACAUGAUACUAAAUCAUACUAUCAAGCAUAAAUACUUUGUAGAAUACAUAUAAGUAAUAAUAGUAAUCCACUCACAAAACAUUUUUCACUCCGGGGCUUGUUGGAGCUCUUAUAGAUUCCUUAAUUCUUGGAUUUCUCCUAAAAUAUAGGGUUCAAAAAUUAACUGUUAGAACUGAUAUAAAAACUUUUACAUAUGACAUAAACUAAAUCAUAAUUGUUCAAAUUUCUUAAAUACGUUACCUACUGACUUACUGGAUAUAUAUAGAUAUAACUAUCCAACUCUCUUUCCUAUAAUUUUUCCUCUCAAUUCCUCUUUUCAAAAUUAUUUUUCACUCUCGGUUUUUCUUUUCUUCAUCCAGUUAAACAUGUUCUUUGACAUAUAAUACAGUUUAUGGUCAAAAAACUCAUACGUAAUUGAAAUUAAAUUAUUUUUUAAUCUCAAUUUUAAAAUAUUUUAAAAUAUUUUAAAAGAUUUUCAAACAUAAGAUACAAUGGUAUACAAUUGAAGCCUAAUCCAACAUUGAAAGAUUAAAUAAAAUUAAUUUUCAUCACUACUCAAGAGACUUGAAAGGACGUUAAGGUAGCGUUUAUUUUUUAUUUAAAAUCUGAAUAGGUUAGAAUUUGAUUAAAGCCGAAUGGCUUUGAAUAUAAAUGUUUCAAUAACAUGUUAAUUUUUUUAAUAUCUAAAAAUUAAAUGGCAUCUUGUUUGUUUUUAUAAUAAGAAAACACAUCAAAUGUGGUUAUUUAACAUUUAUGUCUUUAUAAGUCAAAACGAAUAAAAGGGAUUAGGCUUCGUAGUUUAUGAAAUAACUAUAUUGAAUUGAAAUAUUUUUAGGAUAUAGUAUUUAUUUUCUAUUCAAUCAUUUUUUUCAUUUCGGCAAAGGUCACAAAAAUUUACUUUUUUAAUUCAAAUGUAAAUAUCUAAAAAUCAGACAUAUGUUACAAAAAAAAAUAAAUAAUUAACUUUUUUAAAAAAAGUUAAACUUUAUAUGUUUAAAAUAAACGCUAAGGAACAUGAAUAAGAGCUAUUAAAACAAAAACAAAAAGAAUAAUUUGGAAACUAAAUACAAUUAAUUGAGAGAUGAGGACCGAUAAGAUAAAUUCUAGAUAAAAAUUAAAAUAUCAACCCUACUUAUUGCUGGUAGUUAUGAGCAUUAAAGCACAGAAGCCGUGUCUUGAUAAGUAUGGAGUUCGUGCGGAAUUUUCAGCUAGAAGUCUACAAAGCAGUGGAAUUAAUCAAUCAUCGUGGAGUGCACGGUGGUUGGACAAUGAGAUGAAAUUGAAAAAUUAUCACGGAACGUGAACGAAGGUUCAUGGCAUCCAUUUAUUGUACAGAGUCACGCACAUUUGGUUCAAUAAUUGUUUUCAUCCGAAUCAAAAUCUCUCUCUAAUCAAUUCAACCGUUCCUGUUGAUUAUGGCUUCUUCUUAUCGAAACAACAAGAAGUAUGAUGUUUUUGUUAGUUUCAGAGGAGAGGACACCCGAGACAACUUUACAUUGAGAUGNNNNNNNNNNNNNNNNNNNNNNNNNNNNNNNNNNNNNNNNNNNNNNNNNNNNNNNNNNNNNNNNNNNNNNNNNNNNNNNNNNNNNNNNNNNNNNNNNNNNNNNNNNNNNNNNNNNNNNNNNNNNNNNNNNNNNNNNNNNNNNNNNNNNNNNNNNNNNNNNNNNNNNNNNNNNNNNNNNNNNNNNNNNNNNNNNNNNNNNNNNNNNNNNNNNNNNNNNNNNNNNNNNNNNNNNNNNNNNNNNNNNNNNNNNNNNNNNNNNNNNNNNNNNNNNNNNNNNNNNNNNNNNNNNNNNNNNNNNNNNNNNNNNNNNNNNNNNNNNNNNNNAGCAUCAGCCAUUUCAGUUAUCGUCUUCUCAGAAGGGUAUGCAUCUUCCAGAUGGUGUCUCGAUGAACUUGUAAGGAUCCUUGAGUGCAAGAAAGAGUAUGCACAGAUUGUGAUUCCGGUUUUCUAUCAGGUUGAUCCAUCAGACGUGAGAAACCAAACUGGGAGUUUUGGGGAUUCAUUUUCGAAGCUUGAAGAAAGAUUAAAGGAGAAUACUGAGAAGCUGCGGAGUUGGAGGAAAGCUUUGAAGGAAGCAGCCAGUUUGUCUGGCUUUCAUUCUCUUAACAUCAGGUGAAAAGUUACUUUUAAUUUCGCAUACUAAUAUUCAACACUGUAAAUAAAAUUCACGCACCACUCUUAGUUAAAUUUCCAGAUGCUAAACUACAUUUUUAAAUUUGUUUAUGCAUCAAAUUCUAGACUUCUUGAACUUCCCCACUUUUGAACUCCUAUAAAAGAAAUUUUGCAGAAUUAAUUUUUUUUGUCUUAACCACGAGGUAUCCUGGGAAGGGCCCCAACUUGGGAGGCACAACAAAGGCGAGUUCUCUGCGACUUGAACUGGGGAGCAAACCCAGUCAAGCCACUUAAGGGGACUCCAUUGUCAGUAGAGCCAAUACUUUGUUGGUUAUUUUUACAGAAUUAAUAAUAAAAGCUCCAGAAGUUUACAAUAUAUUUUAACAAAAUUAAUGGUCUUCUGUCGUUUUUUAAUCAAUUUCAAUCUCUUACUCAUAUACCAUUAGGAAAAAAAAAAAAUCUCUUCCACAUGUAACAUAUUCCUGUAAUUAAAAAGUUAUUAAUUUAUAGGGAGAUUGUAAAUUCCCUUAUUCAAAUCAAUAUAUACCACUUAUUCUGACUAAUUUUACAAUAUUUAAUAACUUUCGCGGUACCAUCACUUUGCAAUAUUAUCCUUCUGAAAAAAAAAUAAGUGGUAUAUAUUAAUUUCAAUUGGAAAACUAGCAAUCUCCCUUAUUUCAUAUUUCAUGCAAAUCCCUCCUAUUUGAAGUUACUGCUGCUAAUUUUAUGUAUUUGGUAGGCCUGAAUCGGAACUUAUAAACGAAGUUGUUAAUCACAUUUCAAAGAGACUGCUGGAUCAAGUUUUUCGGCGGAAUGAUAACAAAAACCAGCUGGUUGGAGUAGAAUCAAGAGUUGAGGAAAUUGAAUCUCUACUAGGUGUUCAGUCGAAAGAUGUUUACGCUUUAGGGAUUUGGGGCAUUGGUGGUAUAGGCAAAACAACAAUCGCUAGAGCUACUUUCGACAAAAUCUCUAGCGAUUUUGAAGGUUCUUGCUUCCUUGAAAAUGUUAGAGAAGAGUCACAAAAACCGGGAGGAUUAGCUUGCUUGCGACAAAAACUUCUUUCAAAUUUAUUGAAAGAUAAAAAUGUGAGUCUUGCUAUUGGUCUUAAUUUUAGAAGGCUCAGCCGCAUGAAGGUUCUGAUUGUUUUUGAUGAUGUGACUUGCUUCAGCCAAUUAGAAUCUAUAAUUGGAAGUCUUGAUUGUUUGACGCCUGUGAGUCGAAUCAUAAUAACCACCAGAAAUAAACAAGUGCUUAGAAAUUGGGGGGUGAGGAAAAUAUAUGAGAUGGAGGCAUUAGAAUAUCAUCACGCUCUUGAGCUUUUCAGUCGACAUGCCUUCAAACAAAACCAUCCUGACGUUGGUUACGAGAAAUUUUCAAGCAAGGUAAUGAAAUAUGCUCAAGGUGUUCCUUUAGCUCUUAAAGUUUUGGGUUGCUUUCUAUAUGAAAGAGAAAAGGAAGUCUGGGAAAGUGCAAUAAAUAAAUUGCAAAGAAUCCUCCAUCCAAGUAUCCUAGAGGUAUUAAAAAUAAGUUACGAUAGUUUGGAUGAUAAGGAGAAAAAUAUUUUCCUUGAUGUUGCUUGUUUCUUUCAAGGCGAGGAUGUAAAUCUAGUAAUGAAAUUCCAUAAUGCAAGCGGUUUCUACCCAGAAAUAGGAAUAAGUGUUCUUGUUGAUAAAUCUCUCAUUGCUAUUGGUUCAUACAACCAGAUAAGAAUGCAUGAUUUACUACAAGAGUUGGGUAGGGAAAUUGUUCGACAAGAAUCAAUUAAUCCUGGAAACCGCAGUAGGUUGUGGCAUCAUGAGGAUAUCUAUGAAAUUCUUACAUAUAACACGGUAAGCAGUUUGUUGUGGAUAAUUAUUUUGAAAUAUUCUAGCAUUUACAAACUUGAUAUGAAUAUAUUUAUAUAUGCUCGAACUGAUGAGUCUUAGAAUUAAUAGAAGAGCAACAAUGAUUAGAAAAAACCAUAUCCGUUAGAUGACGUAGCAAUAAAUUAUAAAUGCCAUGACAACUUGCAUAAUCGUUUGCAAGCAUAAUUGAUAUGCCAAUUUGUAUAGUACACAGACGGAAUUUUUAUAUUAAGUAUUACUUGUGUUAUUAUGUUUCUUUGUGCAUUUGCAAUUAAAAGUUUAACUGCCUAGCAAUAACUAUAAGCUACCUCUAAUUGUGAAUUAGUGAGAAACUUGCCCCAAAAAUUUGACUUGGUGGGGUUGAAGUGCGAUUCAUUGGUGGAAUACACAUAUCUUUCAUUUGAUUUUAACUUUAUUGCUUUUUCACUUCCUUUUAGGGGACAGAAAAAAUUGAGGGCAUAUGUUUGGAUAUGUCAAAAGUAAAAGAGCUCCGUCUAAAUCCCAAUACUUUCACAAAGAUGACUAAAUUGAGAUUUUUAAAGUUCUAUAGUUCAUUAUUCAAUGGAGAGAACAAAUGUAAGAUGUCUUAUUUGCAAGACCCUGGAUUUGCUGAAGUGAAAUAUCUUCACUGGCAUGGAUAUCCGUUGAAGUCAUUUCCCUCAAACCUCAGUGCAGAGAAGCUUAUGUUACUUGAAGUGCCUGAUAGUGACAUUGAACGACUUUGGGAUUGUGUGAAGGUAUGCAUAUCUUAUUAUAUAUGUGCAAUCUCUCAAUAACAACAUUAAAUUAUUAUACGUGGUAACGAUUUUGUCUUGGCCUCUUUUUUGACCGAGCAGCAUUAUAGUAAGUUAAACCAGAUAAUCCAUGCUGCCUGCCAUAAGCUAAUUGCCAAAAUUCCAAAUCCCACGUUGAUGCCACGUCUGAACAAGCUGGUUAUCUUGAAUCUAAGAGGUAGCAAAAGCCUGAAAAGUCUUCCAUCUGGAAUAUUUAACUUGGAAUUUCUUACCAAACUUGAUCUUUCGGGCUGCCCAAAACUGAAAAGGCUUCCAGAGAUCUCAUCAGGUAAUAUAAGCUGGUUAUUUUUAAGGGGGACUGCAAUUGAAGAACUGCCCUCAUCAAUUGAGCGUCAACUUAGGCUUUCGUGGUUGGACCUUUCAAAUUGUAAAAGGCUUAAGAGUCUCCCAAGCAGCCUCUAUAAAUUGAAAUCUCUUGGAAUUCUUGAUCUCCAAGGUUGCUCAAAUCUUCAGAGAUUGCCCGAAUGUCUUGGCCAAUUAUCCUCGCCAACAACAUUUAAUCUAGCGAAAACCAAUAUUGAGAGAAUACCAGAAAGCAUUAUCCAACUUUUCGUGUCGGGAUACCUCCUCUUAAGUUAUGGUGAGAGGUUCGAAUUCGUGCAAAAGCCUCCAUUCCUUGAACGAGGUUGCUUGGCACUGCAACCACUUUUAGGUUUGUUCUCUAAGUUAUGAAUCUUAUAGGCAAUUUUUUUUUACCGGAGCAAUAAUUUUAAAUUGGCAGGUAAUUCUACUGCAGGAAUUCUUGAAGAUACCCUGAGAAUUCAGCAUACGAACUUUAUGCCAGCCGUACGUUGGGAAGAAAUAUGGCAAGAAGUAUGGGUAAAUGUGUGUCUUUAACUCUCUCUACUUACAAUUUCUACAAUCUUUUUUUUGGGUUUAAAAUUAUGUUUUUUUGGUACAGAGAGGUUUUUCCAUGGGCAAACUUCAUAUCGUACUGUCUGGGAAUGAAAUUCCAAAGUGGUUUGAGUUUCAAAGUGUGGGAUCUUUUAUAACCUUGGAGAUGCCGCCAGAUUUCUUCAAUAAUAGCAGAGUGCAGGGCAUUGCAUUUAGUGCUAUUUUAGCAUUUUCAGACCGUCAUGUAGAUUGUGGCACAUGGUUUUCAUUUUCUUGUGAGCUCAAAGUAAAAACCACCAAAGAUUGUGGUCCGCAUGACACACGAUUAUUUCAGAGCAGAGUUAAUUAUGUAGAAUCAUAUCACUUACAUUUGGGGUACUAUCUGUUCUGUGAAGAGGAUUUUAAUGGUUUUUGGAAAUGCAAUUGCAUUCCUGAGGCAGUCCAGCGGGGUGAAAAAAUGUGGGAUCCAUUUACUUCACACCCCAGAUUCUACGAAUUCAAUGUAAGAUCCAAGCAGAUGUUUCAACUGUAACGUAGAAGACUGAGAUAGGUGUCAUUUUCACUCAACUCACCUGAGUUGUGAAUCCAUUUGCUUAAACAUGUAUGCACUUUUUCAAGUAUCUCUACCAAUUCCAUAUUUGGAAUGGUGCAUUUGAUUCCAUAGUUGAUGUGGUAUCGUCUAUGGUUAGAAUUUAUAUUUACAAAAAUGACUUGUAAGGGAAGGAUUGAAGAUGCCCGUGAACUUAUAUUUCGAUUUAGAUUAUUGUAUCUUUUUCAUGUAUAAAAUUGGAUCCUAUCAUUCACAUAUCAUUGACAUGAGCAAUAUGGAUUACUAAAUCAUUAUUCUUUAUUAUUGUGCUGAAUUUGAUUUUUUAUUGAAUAAUUUGAUAUAUUUCUUGAAUCAAUUUGGAGCUUCUACAACAUGUCAGAGAUCAGUUUCUCCAACAUUCCUUUCGGCGCCAAAAGAUAACCAAGCGGUUGAAUAAGAAUUGAUAUAUACAACAUAAAUACAAGAGUUGUUUUGUCUUUUUACAAUAGGAAUAAUAUAUAAUGCUCGUUAAAACUUGCUGAUGAGAAAGUAAAUUCCUCAGAAAUUAAAUGUUUCAGCCAACCAAGGAAGCAGCUUUUCGUGGACCAACUCAGGCCUGUCGUCAUGGGGGCAAUGUCCUACUCCUUUCAAUACAAUUAACUUCACAUUUGAGAGUUUAGAAGGCAGAGAUGAGAUGUAUUUACCAACAGGUCCAUCGAGGGGUGUGAAUGGAUCCUCAUCAGCCCAUAAAACUAGUGCAGGUAUAGAGAUUGAUGGCAUCAAUUGAACUGGGUUCGGCCCUGGUGGGCCUGUUACAAUCGAAACAAAUGCGUCAAGUGCCCCUUCCU
rnacentral:lncRNA from 1 species